ACAAAAGAAAGCAGCAAGCAGUCAAAACAAAGGGUAGUACAACUGAUAUAAUAUAGUUCAUAUUAUCUUGUUGCAGAUCACAUAAUAAAUAAAGCGACAAGAGUCGGUGUUGAGGCAAUAUAGACGAGAUGGAUACAUAUUAAUAAAAAAGGUCUAGAAACAGACAAACGAAGGAUAGUCCUGAGACACCCUCCAUCAAUGCACAUGCAUUAUUUUCAGGUCAUAUACUCCAGUUCAGCUCAAAUGCAAACUCCUUCCACUUGUUAAUCACCAUGGCGUCAUCUCCGGUCACUGCUCAGCUUCUUGCACGCCUUUCCCUGGCAUAUCAAAUUUAGCAUGUCUUCAGUAAUACUAGUUCGGAAGAAAAAAAAGCUGAUCCAUACCCAACUUUGAUUCACGGCCCAAAUAUAUAACCACUACUUUAUGCUUCCUUGUGAAAUGGAACGAGGAAAAAGUCCAAACUUGUUUACAAGAUGUAGGGCUCUAUAAGUAAAUACUCCCUCUGUCCCAUAAUAUAGGGACUGCAAAAACGUCUUAUAUUGUGGGAUGAAGGAAGUAUGUUAUUACAACCAAUAUGUGUAGAUACUGGUUUUAAUAAUAUCUUGUAUUAUGGGACGGAGGGAGUAGCUUAUAGUAGUAGAAUGCAGCAACACAAGCUGUAACGUGUCACAGGGAAAGUUAAUUGUUCCGGUGAGAAUUUCACAGCAACAGUAGAAAACUGUAGUUCCCAAAAUGCUAGCAUUUAACUUCAGUAUUGGCUGUAUAUCUUCUUCCACCACAUGUUACACUCUGUGUUAUCGGUGCUGUGCCCCUAUACUAUAAUGUGUUCAACACCUCACCAAGUUCUUCCCAAAUCCAUAGUGGCAAACAUCACCGAUCCUAAACCUGUCUUUGAGCUGAAUGAUAUCAUUGGCCUACCAUAUCUUAUUUCGGUUGAAUUUAGAGUAUCCUCCCUAAUAAACCCUGCAAUGUCUAUGUGUGUGAUAUGNNNNNNNNNNNNNNNNNNNNNNNNNNNNNNNNNNNNNNNNNNNNNNNNNNNNNNNNNNNNNNNNNNNNNNNNNNNNNNNNNNNNNNNNNNNNNNNNNNNNNNNNNNNNNNNNNNNNNNNNNNNNNNNNNNNNNNNNNNNNNNNNNNNNNNNNNNNNNNNNNNNNNNNNNNNNNNNNNNNNNNNNNNNNNNNNNNNNNNNNNNNNNNNNNNNNNNNNNNNNNNNNNNNNNNNNNNNNNNNNNNNNNNNNNNNNNNNNNNNNNNNNNNNNGAACUUUUUUAGCAUGCACUGAAAGUGGCAGACAGUAAGGCAGUGGUGGAAACAGUUACCUGGACCAACUUUGAGAUAUUUGGAGAUCGUACUUGAAUCGUAGCCCCUGGCUAAACCAAUAGCCCUCUUGGGGCUAAACUCAGCCACUCUCUGGACAGUGUUGUUCUUCAUGUCAACAGCAAGCACCCAUGAUGUGUGCUGCCUGUCGCGGUAGUCAAUCUUAGCUAGUAAGUAAAGAAUGCAAUCAUCUUGCAGGCUCAGCUUGGGCAGGCCAAUAUGGAGAGUCGACAAGGUAGGCUGUGACACCUUCACGGACCUUCAGCUUAGGCAGCGGCGGUUCAGGUAUAGCAGAGGAAUCGAACUGGCAAUCGACACUCCAAUGCGCUUUGGAGAAGAUGCCAGUCUUGAUGCUCCAUAUUGUGGCCUUCCAACCAAUAGCACGGUGCUCCAGCUCGACCAUCUUGAUGAAGCCAUUAAGGACUGAAACGUCCCGAACAGCGGGCGAUCGAGUUGCAUUGCUAGGCAGUCUUAAGAAAUGAGGCUUGGGGCGUUUGUCCAGCACGUUGCAGAAGAUGAUCAUAUGCGAGAGAUCAACCCAGGCCACUGUUCCUUCAUCACCUCCGAUUGUGAUUGCCUUGUAUGUGAUGAACUCGUCGGCGUCGGGGACUGAAUCGACAUUCACUGGCAGCUUGCUCCAGGAGUUGGUAUCAUGGUCAUAGAGGCAGAGGUGAGAAGGAUUGCCAUAUCUGAACCCAUUAGCUCUGGGUGGUCGUUGCCGGGCUGCUUGAUGUGCUUGAGCUCGGGAACACUGGCGUCGUAGACGAAGUAGUGUCGAUUGCGGCGAUACAACGCAUCGGAUGGGCAAUCACCGACUACGACGCAUAGGAGGACGAGCCCACCGUCAGUCUCUGUGGCGACUAUGCUAGGCCGGGUGGCGAACACGUUGUGGUCGUAGGCGGUGACGUGGAAGCAUAGGUAGGAGACCUGCGGUGGUUGGGCGGUGCAGAAGGUGACCUCGAUGUUACCCCGGAGACGGAGACCCUCCAAGCCGCAGUCGGCGGUGGUGGCGUUGCGGCGGUCGGCAAAGAAGGCGUAUGGCUCGAUCAAGACGAAGCUUGGCUGGUCGCCACCGCCGUCGGGGUAGCCAUAAGCAGGGGAUUCAAGGACGGGGAAUCCUGUGUGAUUGGGCGCCUGCGGAAAAUCAAUACCUUUCCCUCUCCUGCGGAUGGACUGCUGUCAGGCUUCUUGACGGCUUCCUCCCCGCCGAGGUAAGAAGCAGCAAGAGCAGCCAGGCCGCUGUCCAUGGAUUGCAGAUCGAGUGCCAUCAAGCUCUUCCUCUCCGGUGUGUGGAUCGAUCCCAGAUCGGUUGGCCCUCCUCUCCGCCUUGGGUGUGUGGAUGGAUUUAUGUGGGGAAGGUGAGGUUGGAGUCGAUCAGAGUCGGAGAUCGAGAUGAGAUUGCAGCCGGAGCGAAAGGGGAGCAACCAGCCGCCGCUAUACCAGGAGAACGAGGGUUGGGUGGGGAGUGCCUCGUAAGCUAGGGUUAUGUUUCCCUUCAACAUCUGUUUGGGGUGGAACUUUGCGCCUCCCACAGCCGAGAGAAAAUCGGCUAUUUGCCCCUUUCAAUACCGGGCUUCGCAAAAUUGCCACUCUCAAGAUUGGCUUCGCAAAAAUGCCAUCAAGCUCGUGUGCACGUUGAUUACUAUGCCAUUUUCCUUUUUUAUUAUUGUUUUCCUUUUCUUUUCCAUUUUUUGGCACCUGAAAAGACCAUAGUACCCCUCACGCUAUCUUCACGUACUACUUGGGAUUCAGAUCGGCACUUGAAGCGAAACGAGCUCGUGCUGUCCUGCCGAGAAAAGCGACGCGAGGGUGAGCUGUGUCGGAGCGUGCAGACAUGGACGAGCGCCGGCGGAGAGCGGCAGUGAUGAGGGCGAGUUUCAGCGGAGCGUGCAGACAUGGACGAGCGCCGGCGGAGAGCGGCAGUGACGGAGGGCAACUUGCAGCAGCGCGUGCAACCAUGGGCGAGCGCCUGCAGCGACCAGCGGCUCGGACAGGCAUGAGAAAGCUAGGGCGGCGAGUUCAUGUAGCUCGCGCAGGCAUCAACGAGGUACAACAGCGAGCAACCAUGAUGACAAGAACGAGAUAAGCCUGAGAGCAAAAUCCGAUGCCAACACAGCCAGACCACAAACGCAUUGGAUAAGGUUGAAACAACCAGGGGUACUUCGGUCCUUUCAAGUGCCAGAAAAUGGAAAAGAAAAAGAAAAACAAUGAAAAGGGAAAAAUGGCAUGGUAAUCAAAGUGCACAUGAGCUAGGUGACAUUUUUGCAAAGCCAAUCUUGAGAGUGGCAAUUUUGCGAAGCCCGGUAUUGAAAGUGGCAAAUAGCCGAUUUUCUCCACAACUCACGGUGGCGAUGCAAGUCUCUAUCAAUAUAUUGUUAGAGUUUUUUUUGUUUUUGUCUUUUUAAGGCAUGAACUUUUUCCGAGAGCAACUAGUUGACGAGCGCCCAUUUGGGAGCCUCGGAACGAUCAACGCCACUUGACGCGCUCUCACUCAUUCGCCACAUGUCGCGCUCUGGACGCUCCAUCCGGAUUUUGUUUUUUAUUUUUAUUUUUCCGCACUCGUUUUCGGUUUUUAAAACGGUUUUUUGUGUCUUUUCGACGUUUCGGUUUUCCACUUGUCUUCCUUAGCUUUUGGAUAAAAAAAUUGCGCGAAAGAACGUGUUUUCUUUUUUUCCCUUUCGCGAGAGUCACGGUUUUGCUUUCGCGAGUGUCACGGUCAUGCCUCUCGGAAAUGAAAAAAACAUGUUUUCUGUUUUAUUUCCUUCCGCGAGAGUCACAGCUUUGCUUUCGCGAGAGGCACGGUUGUGCUUUCGCGAGAGUCACGGUCGUGCCUCUUGGAAACGGGGAAAAUGCGUUUUUUUGUUUUUUUUUCUUUCGCGAGAGUCACGCUUUUGCUUCCGCGAGAGGCAUGGUUGUGUUUUCAUGAGAGUCAUGGUGGUGCCUCUCGGAAACGGAAAAAACACAUUUUCUGUUUUUUCUCUUUCAUGAGAGUCACGAUUUUGCUUCCGCGAGAGGCAUGGUCGUGCUUUCGCGAGAAGCAUGGUCGUGCCUCUCCUCGGAAAUGAAAAAAACGUGUUUUUUCUUUGUUUUUUCCUUCCGCUGGAGUCACGGUUUUGCUUUCAUGAGGGACACGGUUGUGAUUUUGUGAGAGGCACGGGCGUGCCUCUUUUGGAAAGGGAAAAAACCCGUGCUCCCGGCUCGGUUUUUUGUAUGGUUUUUUCUUUCGGUUUUUUCAUGAAAAAAAGUUCGUCAAAACCUAUCAACAUGAGAUCUAGUUUUGAAGAUCUCGAUGCAAGGAAUCCAAUGGUGAAAGCGGUUCGAGAUUUGGACGCGUGGUUUAAGAGAUAAACUGUUUUGAAUUAAAGGAUCUACGAAAAAGGGAAAACUCUCAGGUUGCGACAAGUGGCGCACAUGCAGCACGCCACUUGUUGUAACCUAGGAAAGUUGGAGUGAUCUUUGCAAUGAGACUCCUCAACUAGUGAUUUCAACUUUUCCCCCUAGUGUGAUGUAGGGUCCCUUCUUUUCCUUUGGCGUUGUCCAUGUAAAAACGUCGACACCGGCCGGAUCUCACGACGAUGGCUUUCUUGAUGUAUUUGGGUAUAAACUAAACAAGGUGCCGGUGUGGGCUCAAAUUCAAGGAUGCAUGGGUGGUUUGACAAGGAAGGGAGAACUCGCCGAGAAAGUUGUUGCUAAAGUUGGGGAUCCGCCCUUCACCAUAAUGGUUGACAAUGGAGUAAUAAACCCGGGUAGUACCCCUCUUGCAGGAGUUUUUUGGCUAUGGAAAUUAUUACUACCUUUGGUGAUUCAAAAAUGGAGAAAAAAGAUUCUCGCUCGUUUCCCCAGAGGUGACCCCGAGUUAUUGAACCCACGGGAGGAAGACCCCCUUGAAGCUAAACAAGCUUUUGUUAAAGAAAAACCCUAGCUUUAGGCCGGAUGAAAAUCAAACAAACUGAAGGGGAACACAUAUGACAAAAAAUAGGCGCGGGUGUGAGAUCUUAAUGCUCACAACCCUAUAUUUGUGUUGGGACCAAAUAUGAUCUUAAUUUGUGUGUUGAAAGUCACCCAUUGAGAUGUUCUUGUUACAAACUAAAGUGGGGGGGUGUCCAAAUUACGUCUUGACUGGCACGCAUCCUGCUUCAAGAGUCAGUUGUUCAACCAAAGGCCCUACCCAUCUUGUGGGGUUGCCUCGAGAAUUAAGAUUGCAAUAACUAGACAAGAGCUUUGGGUGUUUAAUGAUUACACCUCUUGAAUCCCCAGGGAUAGGAUCAAUAUUACCAUACUAAACCUUUCUAUAACUGGUGUUUAGAAUAACACUUUACGGUCUCUCUGCGCUUAGCCUCUUCGUGGCUCACUCUUUAUGAUCCUAGUGUUGAGAAACGUAGUAGAAAACAAAAAAAAUCGCCCUGCGAUCAACGAGGUAUGCCAUGAAGAUGCAAUAACAGUUUGGAUCGGAUCGUUACCAACUCUGAGUUGCAGCGGAAGAAGACAAGUUGGUGUAGAUCGUACUUGAAGUCCCUCGAACCGUCGAUGAAUGAUCCCUCAAACAGACGAUCAGAAGCACGACCUCUUCACAGUUUGCAAGCGUACGGUCUUAGCGAUCCGGCAACGCUUUGCUGUUCUGAGCUAAUCAUCACCGAAGACUUAGAGGGAGGAUUAGAGGGAGGACUAAAGGAUCUAGGUCUUUCUCUAAUUACUCAACUAGGACCAACUAGAACUAGACCUAGUUGAACUAGAGGAGGCUUCAAAACUUGUGUGUUGAAUUGUGGCCAAAACGUCUAGUAUAUAUAGGUUGGAGGAGGGGCAGGCGGCGCCACAUAAGGGUGGAGUUUCCCCCUCCUCCCUUGGUCGGCCUAGAGGAGGGGGAACCCCCUCCAAUUUGGCUUCCCCCUUGCUUCUACAAGGGGUAAAGUGGGCUCCACCUAUAUUGGUCCCAAGUGUCCCAAUAUGCUUUCCACCACUUGGCCUUUUAAGGCCCCACUAGAGAAGCACGUGUUAUACAAACCGUUUUUAACCCCUUUCUGUGACAGAGUUUAAAACCUUUGCCUUGCCUGUGUGUGCAAUAGUGUGGCACCCCGGCUCAGAGGAACCGGAACACCCUGUAUUCCAGCCCAGAUAUCAAGUCUUCUGGAAUACGACACUGCUUGGCAUAGAAAGGUCUUAUUACAAAUAAUAGGGUUACAAAGGCUCUGGUAUACAAAAGAUUACAUCGGUGCGGCGACACUACGUCUGCUAAGGUAGCUCUAUGCUAGCUGCGGAACAAGUUGUAGCAAUGGAAUAACUUUUAGCAGCGAAACAACGACGACGGAGAUGGACUUCACUCCAUAGGGACUCUGGCUGGGAUACGUCCUAGCUCGCAAACUCGGGAUCCUUGACAAGCAAUCAAUCAUGGCAUCACCUUCAAUCUGGCAUGACACGCCAGGUGAGUACUUUGAAUGUACUCGCAAGCUCACAACAACCAAAGCAAUCAAGGCAAACAAUAGCAUGGCAUUUACAGGUUAAUUAUCAAUGAUGAACAUGAUACUACUAGAACAAUUGAAAGAGUGAGCAUGGCAUUUACAUGUUACUCAUGAUAUGAACAUGAUGAUGCUAAUGCUAGCAUGAAGGGGAGUAAACAUUUAAGGUCUCAUGGACCAACUUACUCAUCUCGGAGGUUAUCCCAUAACCACCAUAUGUAUCAAGCUUACCGUCGUGAACAUCACAUGAUCACCCCAAGAUCAACCAAGCUCGGUAUCAACAAUACCAUCAUGAUCAUCACAUGACCACGAGGAGCUUGAUCUUUACCUGUGAUCAUCGCAUGACCACAUAAAGAUCAACCAACUUAUUUCCUCACGGAACCGGGGUUAUUUAUUAUCUAGGUUAUUAUUUCUAUUACCCCGUAGUGUGACCUGCAAUGAACUAUGCCCAUAACCGAGGGUGUGACUAUCGAUAGAUUAUACACUUUGUAGAGGUUAGUACACUGUAGCCACACUAUGGAACCCAUGGCCUCGUGCUCCCAUUCAGGUGGACCAAUGACGUUCCAACAAAACCGAUCUAUUGCAUGAUGCUUUGCCGACCACUCCGAAAAACUCCCCUUUGGGCUAUGUCGUGGGUGGCCCCGAUGUCAACUCGUGACAUCCGCCACCUUCAUGUCCGCCACCAUCGUGUCAAAACUAAAACAAAAUCAUCCCAAAUGGGGACUUGUGCACAUGUGUCCAAACUGGACACACAAGGUUAUUGCCGCCUGCCAGGACAGGGUAGCACGCGCACAUAAACUUCCCUAGUUGGAGGCACCGGUGAGAGGCAUGACAAUAGAACGAAUUAGGGCCUCCCCAUCCAGGCAAGCGUGGUUGCACCAGUGAGCUCGAUUUGGUGGCACCAUGACUCGGCCAACAGAUUUGUUCAAGUUCAAUCAAUGUCAGGUUUAACUUGAAUGGGAUGAGUUGAGCCAUAGAAAAAUAACAUGAAGAAAUAAUAAUGCAUAAAAGCAUGAUAUAUUACAAUAGGUAAUCAACAAGAUUGAUUCUAUGUUAUAUGUAAAGCAGGUAAUAUUGGUGAACUCUACACCUGGACCACAUGACCCGCGAGAAGAAACUGUCAUACAUGAUCCCUUUUCCGUUUUAACGUGAUCAUCUCACAGAGUUGGCAAGCGAAGAUCACAAAAAGCACAGACUAGUACAAGGAUGAUACGUCCAUUUUGCAUCAUGUUUACCUACUGUUAUUUACUAUAUUUUGUGCAUAAUAAUGUUUUUUGGAGUAAUUCUAAUGCCUUUUCUCUCAUAGUAUGCUAGGUUUACACAAAGAGGAAGAAUACCAACAACUGGAAUUCUGGACCUGAAAAGCUACGUUAGAGUUACCUAUUCUGCACAUCUCCAAAUGAGCUGAAACUUUACGGAGAAUUAUUUUGGAAUAAAAGAAAAAUACUGAAGCAAAUAACUACCGGCGGAGGCCCACCAGGUGGGCAUAACCCACCUAGGCGCGCCCUGGUGGGUUAUGCCCUCCUCGGCCCACCUCCGGUGCCCCUCUUCUGGUAUAUAAGUCAUUUUGACCUAGAAAAAAAUAAGAAGAGGACUUUCGGGACAAAGCGCCACCGUCUUGAGGUGGAACUUGGGCAGGAGCACGUUUUCCCUCUGGCGAAGCGAUUCCGCCGGGGGAACUUCCCUCCCGAAGGGGGAAAUCAUCGUCAACAUCAUCACCAACAACUCUCCCAUCUUGGGGAGGGUAAUAUCCAUCAACCUCUUCAACACCACCAUCUCCUCUCAAACCCUAGUUCAUAUCUUGUGUUUUGUCUUUGCACAGGAUCCUUAGAUUGGUGCUUGUGGGUGACUAGUAGUGUUGGUUACAUCUUGUAGUUGAUUAAUAUACGGUUUAUUUGGUGGAAGAUUAUACGUUCAGACCCAUUAUGAUAUUUAAUACCCCUCUGAUCAUGAGCAUGAUUAUCAUUUGUGAGUAGUUACUUUUGUUCUUGAGGUCACCGGAGAAAUCUUGUUGCAAGUAAUCAUGCAAACUUGAUAUGUGUUUGAUAUUUUGAUAAUAUGUAUGUUGUGAUUCCCUUAGUGGUGCCAUGUAAACGUUGACUACAUGACACUUCACCAUAUUCGGGCCUAAGGGGAUGCAUUGUGGAGUAAUUAUUAGAUGAUGGGUUGCUAGAGUGAUAGAAGCUUAAACCCUAGUGUAUGCGCUACUUCAUAAGGGGACGAUUUGGAUCCAAAAGUUUAAUGCUAUGGUUAGAUUUUAUCUUAAUACUUUUCUCGUAGUUGCGGAUUCUUGCAAGGGGGUUAAUCAUAAGUAGGAGGUUUGUUCAAGUAAGAACAUCACCUAAGCACCGGUCCACCCACAUAUCAAAUUAUCAAAGUAGCAAACACAAAUCGAACCAACAUGAUGAAAGUGACUAGAUGAAAUUCCCGUGUACCCUCAAGAACGCUUUGCCUAUUAUAAGAAAUUGUUUUGGCCUAUCCUUUGCCACAAAAGGAUUGGGCUACCUUGCUAUACUUUAUUUACUGUUAUCAUUACUUGCUCGUUACACAUUAUCUUGCUAUGAAACUAUAUGUUAUGUACAAUUUCAGUGCUUGCAGAAGUUACCUUGCUGAAAACCACUUGUCAUUUCCUUCUGCACCUCGUUGGGUUUGACACUCUUACUUAUCGAAAGGACUACGAUUGAUCCCCUAUACUUGUGGGUCAUCAAUGCUCUUUUAUAGCACCGUUGCCGGGGAGUGAAGCGCUCUUGGUAAGUUGAAAUUGGUAAGGGAAAAUUAUUAUUACGUGCUGAAAUUUAUUGUCACUUGCUACUAUGGAGAACAAUCCUUUGAGGGGUGGCUGUUAGCGGGUUAUCAGAUCCAAAAUCGGACCUGAUAGCUUAACGGUGACCCAUUACGGUGGAUGCCACGUGUCGAUCACCCUUGACGAAAGCAAUUCCAUGACGCGCGAUUUAUCAUCAUGGAAGUGGACACUUCCGUGAUGAUAAUUUUGGUAGUGGCAUGGAACACUUCUACGACAGCACAAGUAUGACUAUCUUGAUUCUGUCAUAAAAUCACCAUGGAUGUACAUGCAUGACAAAAAACGUGACCUACUGUGACAAACACGUAUCAUCACGGAAGUGUAUUUUUUGUAGUGGUGAGUCUAGUGUAUUACCUAUGCAGAGUGUUAUUUAAAUCUAUCGAUAGUCACGUCCUCGAUUACGGACAUAACUCGUGAGUAAGUCACACCAUUAAUCAACAUUAAUAAGUAAUCUUGCACACUAAGUUAUGUUUGGCACUGGUAAAGUGAUGAUGUCGGUGAAACUGAUUGUUGUGGAAACCAAAGUGUUGGUUUUGUUUGUGAUCCGGGAAUGAUCACCAUUUGGUUACGAGGUAACCCAUUGGUAAGAGAGUCUGAGGGACUCGGUGAACAAGUUUGUUUGCACUACAUUUGUAGUAUGUUACUAUCCUACAUUCAACUUGAUUAAAUGUCAUGAUAUUGCUUGCCAUUAUGUUUAUGCUUGUUGUGAGCUUGCAAGUACAUUCAAUGUACUGACCUGGCGUGUUAUGCCAGAUUUUAGGAAAAUCUAACCGGAUCGGAGUGCUGCCGUGUUUAGAUCGGGUCCACAUCGGUGUCCCUAUGCUAUGGAGUCCUGCUUCAUCGUCAUUCCGCUGCCGCGUAGUUGUCGUGAUCGUGGCCCCUUUAUGUUCACUAAAUAAUGUACAUAUUGUUCAGCCGCACCGUGUGUGCCGCUUGGCCUCGCUACUUGAUGUAAUAUUGCACUAUGUUUCCGCUAGCAUCAAUAAAGCGGUUGUUUUCUGUAUGAAGAUGUUGUGUGUUGCCAAAAGACUUGAUCUCUGAGCUGGCAAUGCAAGGUAAACUGGUUGCUCUGAGUUGGGGUGCCACAAAGGCAUACAUAUAUUUUUUAAAUUGAACCAUUCCCGACCUUUCCUAUUCUUUUAAGCAUAUUUUGUGCAGCUCAACUAAAAUAAAAUGCCAUCACCGCCUUGACAAUUCAGUGACACUGUAUAAAAAGAAAUGACUUAACAUUACAUCAUGAUGCCAGGUAUGUAAUCGACAGGCAUUAGAGACAAACAUACAGACCUCCUUUGAUAACAUAAUGAACAUUGAUUUUAACAAAGGUGUGACUAGCCUUACCGGGAUAAUUUGAGUGAAAUCUACACCCUCUGUUCCUUAAUGUAAGACAUUUUUGCAGUUCAAUUUAAAGUAGCCAAAUGUCUAGUAUUUAGAAAAAGAGGUGGUAGUUUUCUUGAGCAUAUAUUUGGGAAAGCUUGCCACACUUUAUAUAUGUCCAUACACUAAUGCAACACCAUUCGAAUAGUACAAAUAUACACUAAUCCAGUGGCUAGUGCAAUAUUAGAGUAGUUUUUUUUAUUAUGGGGAACAGUACAAUGGUUUUACUGAACAGAUUUCUAUAAGCUAGCACCGGAAGAUUUCUAUAAGCAUUAACAAUACAAAAUGUAAAGGUAAUAAGUUUCAGCAUUGGUAUACUAGCUGUGCAACAACAUUAAACUAAAUACAAAAGUGUGAAGGUAACUAGCAUUACUAAGUAAUGACAGUAUAAAAAAUGCAAACCAUGUACCUUCAAGGUAAAUAUCAUUUCGAACUCGAGGGGACUUGAAAAAUUGCUAUCCCAACCUUGAUAAUCGAUCAAACAUAAAAACUUGAUCGAACGGAUCAAGAGAACAGCCAGAGGAGGAGGUGCCCACUCUUGACCUUGCCUCUUCUCUUCGUAAUUUUUGUGCAGUUUAACCAAAAUAAGAUGACAUCAGCGCCUUGGCAUUUUGGUGACACUGUACACAAAAACUUGACUUAUCUCAUGAAAGUGAGGUAUGUAAUCUAUAAUCAUUAACAGUGCAAAAAUCUAAAGGUCGUAACAAGUUUCAUCGUUGGUAUACUGGUUGUGCAACAACAUUAGAAUGCCUUAGCUGAAAAAUCUUUAAUACAUCCACAAUCAACAGCUAACCCUGAAAUAAUCUGGUGACAUUAAAUGGCAUUGCUUAAAUUUAUCGGCGGCAUUAGACUGAAUGCGGCAUUAGUUAAAUGUGGCAUCACUUUAGUAGUAGCACUGGCAUUAUACUAACAGCAAAAAAGUGGCAAUAAGGGCAUGGGAGGCCUAUUCGGAUAGUGGGCGUACCAGUAUGAUGUACCUCCACGGAUGCAUAGAGUGCUGCCCAAAUCAACAAAUAUCCCGGAAGCAUAUGUGGAUUACGUCCAAUUUUUGUUCUCUUUAGCACCUUUUUCCUAUGUGAGGACAACAAACCGAACGACCUGGUCAUUCUCUAUUUUGUUGUCAUGCCUUUCUACCCUUUUUCAACCAAGAGACACGGGACUCGUUCCUUAGCUACUAAUUUCCCCUUUUCAACCUAGAUGCGGGUUUGAUGCCUAGUCUCUUUGACAUUACUUUCUCCCUUCCUUUCCUUAUUCAACCCAGACAUGGAUUAGUCUGCAUGAAGUAGGGUUUCCUUUAAUAGUGAAAAUUAAGGUUUUCAUCUGCGUGACCAGCAGAGCAGAGGAUAGCAAAUUGGGAAGAAGGUGGAGUGCAGAACGAUCCAGAUGCAGCGACGUGGCAGAUGGGGCAAUAGAACAAGGGUAUGGUUUGAAAAGAGGUAGCAUACCUGAGGGUCGGCAGGAAGUGGCUUCACUCGUGGUCGUCAUCCUUCGCACAUACUAUGGCAACGAGCUUAGGGACAGAGGCCAUCCCGCACGGGCGCUAGGUUUGAGAGGACGACCUUGUUGUCAGUGCGUGACCUCGCUCGCCGACGACGAGUGCGUCAACGCCGCACGUCCUUUUCUUCCCCAGCGGAUCUGUAACCACCGGUGAGGAGGGAGAGAGUGGUCGUCUUUUUUAGAUAUGGAGAGAGGGUGAUAGUGUGAGAAGCAAGUGGGCAGCCCUUAGCAAGCAAGCGCUGAAGCUCCAGCCUAUAUAUCUUUUUUGAUACUAGUACUAGAGGUGGAGUAGUGGUAGAGUAGUUUAUAUUUUCUCUGCAUACAGUACCAGUUAGUCGUGCUUCAAAACUGAACAACACGCCAUUAUAAAAAUAAAGUCGAGAAAUAAUGUGGCACCUCGGGACAACGCGACCAGAUUGCAUUUUGCACGAGAAAUGACACAUCAUGUUUCAUUAACAUGUGGUCCCAUUCCAACAUGUCAAUGAGACGACGGCGAGUCCUUUUGUACAAUUUCUGAACGGACGGCUAUGUAGGUCGGGGCGCCUCUUCAUGUACCAUGGCAACCGUCCACCACCUCUUCGCCUUUCCCUCUCGAUUUGGAACUGUUGUCGCACGCUCUUCCUACCUCCUCCAUUUGCCUUCACCCUUCCUUCUACCAUCGUUUGAUCGUCUUCUCCAUGGAGGGAACAAGCCGGAAAUGGCCCCGUUAUUCUUGCCCCGAUCUAAAAGAUGACAUGGUGGAGGAACUCAUUGAUCGGUGUGAUGUCAUCACCUCGGCUAGCAUGGCAGGUUCAUUCAAGACCAUUCUCGACUAAACUAAUAACAUCAUUACAAAGAACCCAAGGGUCCAAGAGCGGUUUGAUCUCCCCUAUCUUCUUCGCCGUGACCCUGAUCACUGGCACGGACAAUGGAAGCCUCGCCUUGUGCAAGUUGAUGCACUACAAAAAAAAUACACUUCCGUGAUGAUACAUGUUCAUCACAGUAGGUCACAUUUUCUAUCAUGCAUGUACAUCCAUGGCGAUUUUAUGGCAGAAUCAAGAUAGUCAUACCUGUGUUGUCGUAGAAGUGUUCCAUGACAUUACCAAAAUUAUCAUCACGGAAGUGUCCACUUCCAUGACGAUAAAUCGCGCGUCAUGGAAGUGCUUUCGUCAAGGGUAACCGACACGUGGCAUCCACCAUAAUGGGUCGCCGUUAAGCUAUCGGUUCCGGUUUUGGAUCCAAUAACCCGCUAAUAGCCACGACCAAUGGGGAUUUUCCAUGUGUAAAUUUCUCAUUGGCCAGAGGAACCACAUGUAGGCUCAUCGCUGGGACAGAUGUCAUCCCUACAAUGGACGGAACACGCCUAUGAUAUGUCGCCACAUGGCACGGCCCAACAAUGGCCCAUUUAAGGUAAAAAAGAUCGGCCCAACUAAAGGCCCACCAUAUUUUUUCAGACACUAGUGGGCUGGCCCGUUAACAGCCUACCAUGUUUUGGGUAAAAUUGAGGCCCAUAUCAGAUCAGGCCCAUUCACAGCCAUCCAUGUUUUGGGCCAAAUUAUGGCCCAUAUCGGAUCAGGCCUAUUAGCAGGUCCUUGUUCUUUUGGGCCCAUUCUAAGCCAGGUUUUAUUUCACCCUGUUAGAUGCCCGUUUACCAGUUUGGCCCGAUAAUAGUUUCAGCCUGUUAGCGACCCGUGGUGCAACUCGGAUGUUGUUGGCCCAGUUUAACUUUAGGCCAUUUAAUGGCCCAUGCAAAAAUUGGGCUAUAUCUUGUCCAAAUUAACUUUAGGCCUCUUAUAGGCCCGUAGUCUUCGUGGAUAAAUUUCAACCCGUGUAACUGUUGGGCCUAAUUACAACCCGUGUUGAUUUCGGCCUGCUUACAACCCAUUCGAUAAUGGCCCGUGACACUGUUGGGCCUACGGUCCCGCGUUGAUAGCGGCCGGCUUAAAGCCCAUAGUUUUAUUGGGCCAAACAGGGCCCGAGAUAUAUUUUGGCCUGUUAACAACUCGUCCUAUUUGGGCCAAACAUGGGCCUGAGGCAGUUUUGGCUUGUAUUGGCCCAUGAAUUUUUCGGCCCAACACUAGCCCAAUCUAGUUUUUAGCCUGUUAAAAGCCCAAUGGGAUUCUCUGGCCCAGCUGGCCAGAAUUUUACUCGGCCUGUUAAAGGCGGAAAACUACUAUCGAUUAGACCUGCUAAUGGCCCAAGAUGAUUAUAGGCCCACGUUUUGGCCCAUAUGAGUAACAAGCUAGCCUGAAGACCGGCAACAUUGAGAUCCAUUGAACCUUCUAUCCUAAAUUACAGCAUACCGACCAAGAAUAAAGCCACACUAUACAAUAAAGAAAUUAUGGCAUAAUAAAGCAAAACAUGGCCGCGGAUUACAUACCCUGGGCAUCAAAGGUUGCCACCAGUGCAUACAAACGAGCCACAAAAGAAUAUACAAAACUGAGAGCACUUCAGAAGGCAUUAGGCCUGGAUGGGACGGCCACCGCAAGCAGCCGAACAAGCUGAUGAGACCUCAGUUGUGUCAAUGAUAGAUGCUGCAUCCCUAGCUUUAUAGCACCAAAGCUCGCAAGGUAGUCCUCUGAGAUCUUCAUUGCAUCUUUGACAUCAAGUCGGAGCUUAGCUGAAGCAAGCCUUUCUGCUUUAAGUUGAGACUGAAGAAGUCAAACUAAUUGAGGCAGCGACUACACAAAGGUUGUCUCACAGCUGCUGGAGAGUAGCUUCAACUCACUGUCUUCAUCAAGACAGGACCUUGGGGUCAUCUCGCUCUCUUCAAGAUGGUUUGGCUCACCAUCUUCCGUAAAGUUCUGCCUGACAUAAGAGAUACGACUCUAAAAGAGAAUCAAAGAGGCAAGUAGCAGGUUUCACAAUUAUAUAAGCAAAUAAAUGGAUCUGUUCUGCAUAAGGAACAUGUUUUUACUACUACAAUUUAAAACUAGUAGUUGUUGCAAACAUCCAAUCAGAUGUAAACAACAAAGUAAGCAGUAGUGGAGGAAAUGAUGCCUAGCCAAAUUUAUACUAGAACAAAGUUUGAAGAAUUGAGAAGGAUGAACCUACAUUACAUGCUAAUACGGGUUGGACAAAGCCCUUCUCCAUGUCAAUGGAAGGAUAAUUCAAUAAAUUCACCAAAGAAACUUCUUUAUAAGCGUUGCCAUUAUUCUACAUUUUGCAAAGAGUAAAUAUAGAUCACAUAAUAUUGGAAGAAAUAGAGGAUAAUGAAGCUGAGGUGCAGACUGAUGAUACAUAAUCAAAUAGCAAUUAAUUAAGUACUACGUUACAAGGCAAAAGGUACUGACAAGAGGAAUGCAGACAUCAAUGUGUGUAGUGGCAUUGGCUUUAUUCAACAUUUUGGUAAGAGUAAAUGUAGAUCUAAUAAUUUGGAGGAAGUGGAGGGCAGGGCAGAUAAGAUGAUGAGUAAUGCUAGACAAUCAACUAUCGCACGAUGCAAGUACAAUAAUACCACCACCGUCCGUUAUUACUUGUCGCUCAAAUGGAUGUAUGUCGCACUAUUAAGUUCUAAAUACAUCCAAUUGAUCAACAAUUAGUUCGAUACAGAGGGAGUACAUGACAACAGGUACUUACAUGAGCAAUCCAAAACUUCAUAACCAUCGUGUUAAUUCUACAUUUAUCUAAGAGUAAAUCUAUAUCUUAUAAUUUUGAGCAAAGGGAGGAUCACUAGUAGAAAAAGGACCUAAUGUGAGACACAUUAGUCCCGGUUCGAUUUUGGCCCGGUACUAAUGGUACCAUUAGUGCCGGUUCGAACGGCUAUGCAUUAAUGUCGGUUCGCUAUGAACCUUUAGUACCGGUUCAUGUCACGAACCGGUACUAAAGGGGUGUUGGCAGGCUGGCGUCAGGCCGGGGCCCCACGAUCACCUUUAGUACCGGUUCGUGGCACAAACCGGUACUAAAGGGCUAACCUUUAGUACCGGUUCGUGCCACGAACUGGGACUAAAGGGGUUUGACCUAUAGUCCCGGUUGGAGACNNNNNNNNNNNNNNNNNNNNNNNNNNNNNNNNNNNNNNNNNNNNNNNNNNNNNNNNNNNNNNNNNNNNNNNNNNNNNNNNNNNNNNNNNNNNNNNNNNNNNNNNNNNNNNNNNNNNNNNNNNNNNNNNNNNNNNNNNNNNNNNNNNNNNNNNNNNNNNNNNNNNNNNNNNNNNNNNNNNNNNNNNNNNNNNNNNNNNNNNNNNNNNNNNNNNNNNNNNNUAAAAAAAUAAAAAAAAUAAAAUUCUUCGAGAAGUAGUUAUAUUACUACAUCUACUAGUUAGGAAAAUUAAAAAAAUUUAAAUGUGGACAUGUUUUGCAAAAAGUGUAGGGAAAAUGUAAAACGGCUAUAACUUUUGCAUAUGAUGUCGGAAAAAACGUAUAAUAUAUCAAAAAAAUCGGCACGAAAAUCCGCAUCCGAUUUUGACUCCUCAUACUAAUUAUUCGUGAAUUGCUUGUAUGAACAAUAUUGUGAUUGUCAAGCCUCAAAAGAUUUCACUUUCUAAACCCAAUGUGAAGCUACCACUAGGCAUGAUAAGAUUUCAACUUCAUGAUAUUCCAUUCAUUCAACAAUUUGCUCAUAGGAUAUAAGUGAAGCACAAGAGUAAAUCUAUAGAAAAGAGCUUCGUUGACGGGAUGUGAAUGCCGCUUUCCUAGCCUCCUAUUUGAGGACUCUAUUUUAUUUAAAAACUUUUAGGUCUAAGUAUUUUAUUAAAACAGCAAGCAAAACAAAACAAAAUUACAUUCCAAGAAUAGCACACAUCAUGUGAGGAAGCAAAAACUUAGGCUCAACCGAUACUAAAAGGUAGUUGUUGAAGAGAAAAGGUGGGAUGCCUACCGAGGCAUCCCCAAGCUUAGAUGCUUGAGACUUCUUGAAAUAUUAUCUUGGGGUUCCUUGGGAAUCCCCAAGCUUGAGCUUUUUUGUCUCCUUAAUUCUUCUCAUAUCACGGUUUUCCUAAAUCUCAAAAGCUUCAUCCACACAAAACUUAACAAGAACUUGUGAGAUAAGUUAGUAUAAAGCAAUGCAAAACCUUAUCAUUCUCUACUGUAGCAAAGCACUAAAAUUAUUAGUCAACAUUGCAUACUAAAUGCCUCUGCAUAUUCAAUAGUCCGAUCCUCAAAUAUAAUCAUUAAACAAGCAAACAUAUGCAAACAAUGCAACCAUAACAGCAAUCUGCCAAAACAGUACAGUCUGUAAAGAAUGCAAGAUUCAUCAUACUUCCCUAACCCCAAAAAUUAUGAGAAAAAUACCACACUGUAGGAAAUUUAUUAGAUCUUAUUUUUCAAAAAUGUUUCAACAAUUUAUCAUUUCUGAAUUUUCUAGGGAAUUUUUGCAACAUCGAUAAACUUUCUGUUCUGAAACAGCAACUUGUAUACUUGAAAAAUAAGCAUGGCAAAGGCUAGCAUUGCCACUUUUAUUGAAAUAAAAGAUGCAAAACAUUAUUAUAAAUAAAAGCAAACAAAUCCUAGCAAAAUAAAUUGACGCUCCAAGAAAAACACAUAUCAUGUGACGAAUGAAAACAUAGCUCCAAGUGAGGUUAGCGAUAAUCUUGGAGACGAAAGAGGGGAUGCCAUCCGGGGCAUCCCCAAGAUUAGUUGCUUCGAUCUUCCUUGAAUAUUACAUUGGGGGUGCCUUGGGCAUCCCCAAUCUUAGGGUAUUUUCACUCCUUAUUCUGCUCAUAUCGACAUCUCACCCAAAACUUGAAAACUUCAAUCACACAAAACUUGACGGAACCUUGUGAGAUAGGUUAGUAUGAUAAAGAGCAAACCAUUUCACUUUUGGUACUGUCAAAGACAAGAUUCAUAAUUGUUUCCACACAAUGCCUACUGUAGCAUAUCACUUCCACAAUUUAUAUUGAGCAAUAUAAGCCAUAGAAACAAGGAAACAAGCAAACUAUGCAUUGAAAACAGAAUCUGUCAAAAACAGAACAGUGUGUAGUAAUCUGUACUCAAACCAUACUUCUGCUACUUCAAAAAUUAUUAAAAAAUGGACCACGUGAGAAAUUUGUAUAUUAAUCUUCUGCAAAAACAAUAAACUCAAAAGCACUCUUCUGUUAAAAAUUAGAGCUAUUUUCGUGAGCGCAAGAGUUUCUGUUUUUUCAGCAAGAUCAAAUCAACUAUAACCCAACAUGAUCCCAAUGGCUUUACUUGGCACUUUAUUGAAACAAAGACGAUAAAACAUGAUUGCUACAGUAUCCUAAUCAUGUGAACAUACAAAAACAGUAGGUAAAAGUGUUGGGUUGUCUCCCAACAAGCGCUUUUCUUUAAUGCCUUUUAUCUAGGCAUGAUGAGUUCAAUGAUGCUCGCAUAAAAGAUAAAGAUUGAAGCAUAACAAGAGCUUCAUGAAUCAUAAGUUCCUCUCUCAUAAUAUUUUUCAGUAGAAUCAUGAAUAGAGUCAUCCAUAUAACCAUCACAUAAAGCAUUCUUUUCAUGAUCCAAAAGCAUAGAUAAUUUAUUACUCUUUAUGGCAUACAUGUCAUCAUAAUAAUCAUCAUAAGUAGCAACUUUGUUCUCAUCAUAGUCAAUUGAAACCUCUUCCAAAAUAGUGGAUGUAUCACUAAAUAAAGUCAUGACCUCUACAAAUACACUUUCAUCAAUAUUGCAAUAAGAUUCAACACCCUCCAAAAUAGUGGUAUCACUACUACCUAGAGUUGACACUCUUCCAAACCCACUUUCAUAAUUGUAAUCAUCAUAAAUAGGAGGCAUGCUAUCAUCAUAAUAAAUUUUCUUAUUGAAAGUAGAAGGAAUCAAAGGAUCAUAUUCAUUAGGCAAAGCAUACCCAAGCUUGGGACAAGCAUUGUUUUCAGAAAAUAAAUCUUCAAACAUUUCAUACUCAUCAAACAUAGCAUUCCCAAGCUUGUGGUUUUGCAUAUCAUCAUAAACAUUCUUAUCAAUAGCAUGAAUGGCACCAAUGGUAUAGCAAACAUUAUUAUCAUAUUCUUCCAAGCAAGUGACAAAAAUAUAUUCAAGGUCAUAAGAGACAUCAUUGUCUUCCCAAUCAUAAUCAUCACAACAAGAAGUAGGCAUCAGAAAAUCAUACUCAAUAUCAUCAUCCUCCAUCAACAUAUUUGAUCACUUUCAUGAGGCACAAUGGUGAUAGGAGCAAUAUUACUUGGGAGAGUUACCUUUUCACUUCUACUUUUUCUUCUUUUAUUUUUCUUCUUCACCACCUCACAUGUGGGUUUAAUCAAUUUUUUCAAGCUUCUUAUUAAAAAGAUUGAUUGGAUAGGAAGCUCCUCCUCGUUACCUGAUUCAUCAUAAGAAACACUAGGAGGGUAUUGGGCAUAUUUUCCCUUUCAUUAGUACUCUCUUCAUAUUCUAUUUCUUUUCUUUUCUUUAGAUAGUUGGCAAUGUAAGGAUUCUCAAUGCAAUUUACUGCACAAAUAUAUAAAUUUCCUCUAGAUCAAAAUCAAGAACUCUUUCAAGGGCAAAUUCUGGAAUAUCCUUAGUUAUACGUUUCAUUUCUUCAUACCCCAAAAGAAGGCUAAGCUCUUUAUGAUGCUCAAGGGUAAUCAAGUUAUCAUAGUUUUUGGACAUGAUUUGAUCAUAAAACAAAUGGCAUUGGAGUUUUAAAUGACCACGUUAAUUGCAAAAUUCACAAGGAUGGCGAAAAAUAUUAAAUAUUUCAGCACAAACAUCUAGCCUAUCUUGCAACCAUUUUGUUUCUAAAUAUUUAUGCUUCUUACAAAAUCUAUCUUCCCUUUUUGGUGUGUGUGUGCACUCCCAAUAUACUCCGCAAAAAUUGACAUCCUUGUAGGAGACAUCACUAACAUGGCUAGUGCGAUCAUCAUUAUGAAGGAAAUAUGCCCUAGAGGCAAUAAUAAAGUUAUUAUUUAUUUCCUUAUAUCAUGAUAAAUGUUUAUUAUUCAUGCUAGAAUUGUAUUAACCGGAAACAUAAUACAUGUGUGAAUACAUAGACAAACAUAGUGUCACUAGUAUGCCUCUACUUGACUAGCUCAUUAAUCAAAGAUGGUUAUGUUUCCUAACCAUAGACAUGUGUUGUCAUUUGAUUAACGGGAUCACAUCAUUAGGAGAAUGAUGUGAUUGACAUGACCCAUUCCAUUAGCCUAGCACUUGAUCGUUUAGUAUAUUGCUAUUGCUUUCUUCAUGACUUAUACAUGUUCCUGUAACUAUGAGAUUAUGCAACUCCCGUUUACCGGAGGAACACUUUGGGUGCUACCAAACGUCACAACGUAACUGGGUGAUUAUAAAGGAGUACUACAGGUGUCUCCGAAGGUACAUGUUGGGUUGGCAUAUUUCGAGAUUAGGUUUUAUCACUCCGAUUGUCGGAGAGGUAUCUCUGGGCCCUCUCGGUAAUGCACAUCACUAUAAGCCUUGCAAGCAAUGUAGCUAAUGAGUUAGUUACGGAAUGAUGUAUUAUGUAACGAGUAAAGAGACUUGCCAGUAACGAGAUUGAACUAGGUAUUGGAUACCGACGAUCAAAUCUCGGGCAAGUAACAUACCGAUGACAAAGGGAACAACGUAUGUUGUUAUGCGGUUUGACCGAUAAAGAUCUUCGUAGAAUAUGUGGGAGCCAAUAUGGGCAUCUAGGUCCCGCUAUUGGUUAUUGACGGGAAACAAGUUCUAGGUCAUGUCUACAUAGUUCUCGAACCCAUAGGGUCCGCACGCUUAACGUUUCGUUGACGAUAUAGUAUUAUAUGAGUUAUGUAUGUGGGUAACCAAAUGUUGUUCGGAGUCACGGAUGAGAUCAUGGACAUGACGAGGAACUCCAGAAUGGUCCGGAGAUAAAGUUUGAUAUAUGGGAUAAUAGUGUUUGAUCUCCGGAAGAGUUCCGGAAUUCACCGGAAGGGGUUCCGGAUGUUUCCCGAAAUGUUUGGGUACGAGAACACGUUAUUUGGGUCAAAGGGGAAAGACCACAAGGUUUUUGGAAAGCGCAAAAGGAAGUUUUGCGGAGUCCAGGUGCCAGACGCCAGGGUCCCUGGCGUCUGGGUCCAGACACCGGGAACCCUGGCGUCUGGCCCUGAAGUCCGAGAAGGACUCUUGCCUUUCGGGUGAAACCGACUUUGUGGAGGCUUUUACUCCAAGUUUCGACCCCAAGGCUCAACAUAUAAAUAGAGGGGCAGGGCUAGCACCAAAGACACAUCAAGAAACACCAAGCCGUGUGCCGGCAACCCCGUCCCCUCUAGUUUAUCCUCCGUCAUAGUUUCCGCAGUGCUUAGGCGAAGCCCUGCGGAGAUUGUUCUUCACCAACGCCGUCACCACGCCGUCAUGCUGCCGGAACUCAUCUACCACUUCGCCCGUCUUGCUGGAUCGAGAAGGCGAGGACGUCAUCAAGCUGAACAUGUGCAGGACUCGGAGGUGCCGUGCGUUCGGUACUUGGAUCGGUCGGAUCGUGAAGACGUACGACUACAUCAACCGCGUUGAUAAACGCUUACGCUUAGCGAUCUUCAAGGGUAUGACGAUGCACUCCUCCUCUCGUUGCUAUGCAUCACCAUGAUCUUGUGUGUGCGUAGGAAAAUUUUGAAAUUACUAUGUUCCCCAACAGUGGCAUCCGAGCCUAGGUUUUAUGCGUAGAUAUCAUAUGCACGAGUAGAACACAAGUGAGUUGUGAGCGAUACAAGUCAUAUUGCUUACCAGCAUGUCAUACUUUGGCUCAGCGGUAUUGUGAGAUGAAGCGGCCCGGACCGACAUUACGCGUACGCUUACGCGAGACUGGUUUCACCGUUACGAGCACUCAUGCUUAAAGGUGACUAGCGGGUGUCUGUCUCUCUCACUUUAGCUGAACCGAGUGUGGCUACGCCUGGUCCUUGCAAAGGUUAAAACAACAUUAACUUGACGAACUAUCUUGUGGUUUUGAUGCGUAGGUAAGAACGGUUCUUGCUAAGCCCGUAGCAGCCACGUAAAAUUUGCAACAACAAAGUAGAGGACGUCUAACUUGUUUUUGCAGGGCAUGUUGUGAUGUGAUAUGGUCAAGACGUGAUGCUAUAUUUUAUUGUAUGAGAUGAUCAUGUUUUGUAACCAUAGUUAUCGGCAACUGGCAGGAGCCAUAUGGUUGUCGCUUUAUUGUAUGAAAUGCAAACGCCUUGUAAUUGCUUUACUUUAUCACUAAGCGGUAGCGAUAGUCGUAGAAGCAAUAGAUGGCGUAACGACAACGAUGCUACGAUGGAGAUCAAGGUGUCGCGCCGGUGACGAUGGUGAUCACGACGGUGCUUCAAAGAUGGAGAUCACAAGCACAAGAUGAUGAUGGCCAUAUCAUAUCACUUAUAUUGAUUGCAUGUGAUGUUUAUCCUUUAUGCAUCUUAUCUUGCUUUGAUUGACGGUAGCAUUUUAAGAUGAUCUCUCACUAAAUUAUCAAGAAGUGUUCUCCCUGAGUAUGCACCAUUGCAAAAGUUCUUCGUGCUGAGACACCACGUGAUGAUCGGGUGUGAUAGGUUCUACGUUCAAAUACAACGGGUGCAAAACAGUUGCACACGCGGAAUACUCAGGUUAAACUUGAUGAGCCUAGCAUAUAACAGAUAUGGCCUCGGAACACGGAGACCGAAAGGUCGAGCGUGAAUCAUAUAGUAGAUAUGAUCAACAUAUUGAUGUUCACCGUUGAAACUACUCCAUCUCACGUGAUGAUCAGACAUGGUGUAGUUGAUAUGGAUCACGUAAUCACUUAGAGGAUUAGAGGGAUGUCUAUCUAAGUGGGAGUUCUUAAGUUAUAUGAUUAAUUGAACUUUAAUUUAUCAUGAACUUAGUCCUGGUAGUAUUUUGCAAAUUAUGUUGUAGAUCAAUAGCUCGCGUUGUUGCUUUCAUAUGUUUAUAUGUUCCUAGAGAAAAUUGUGUUGAAAGAUGUUAGUAGCAAUGAUGCAGACUUGGUCCGUGAUCUGAGGUUUAUCCUCAUUGCUGCACAGAAGAAUUAUGUCCUUUAUGCACCGCUAGGUGACAGACCUAUUGCAGGAGCAGAUGCAGACGUUACGAACGUUUGGCUAUCUUAAUAUGAUGACUACUUGAUAGUUUAGUGCACCAUGCUUAACGGCUUAGAAUCGGGACUUCAAAGACGUUUUGAACGUCAUGGACCAUAUGAGAUGUUCCAGGAGUUGAAGUUAAUAUUUCAAGCAAAUACCCGAGUUGAGAGAUAUGAAGUCUCCAACAAGUUCUAUGGCUAAAAGAUGGAGGAGAAUCGCUCAACUAGUGAGCAUGUGCUUAGAUUGUCUGGGUACUACAAUCGCUUGAAUCAAGUGGGAGUUAAUCUUCCAGAUAAGAUAGUGAUUGACAGAAUUCUCUAGUCACCAUCACUAAAGUUACUAGAACUUCGUGAUGAACUAUAGUAUGCAAGGGAUGACCAAAACGAUUCCCGAGCUCUUCGUGAUGUUGAAAUCGACGAAGGUAGAAAUCAAGAAAGAGCAUCAAGUGUUGAUGAUUGAGAAGAUCACUAGUUUCAAGAAAAGGGCAAAGGGAAAGAAAAGGGAACUUCAAGUAGAAUGACAAACAAGUUUUCACUCCCAUGAAGAAGCCCAAAGCUGGACCAAAGCCUGAAACUGAGUGCUUACACUGCAAAGGAAAUGGUCACUGGAAGCGGAAAUGCCCUGAAUAUUUGAUCAGAAGGAUGUCAAAGUGAACAAUGGUAUAUUUGAUAUACAGGUUAUUGAUGUGUACCUUACUAGUGUUUAUAGUAGCCCCUGAGUAUUUGAUACUUGUUCGGUUGCUAAAAAUUAGUAACUCGAAACAGGAGUUACAGAGUAAACAGAGACUAGUUGAGGGUGAAGUGACGAUGAGUGUUGGAAGUAGUUCCAAGAUUGAUCUGAUCAUCAUCGCACACUCCCUAUACUUUCGGGAUUAGUGUUGAACCUAAAUAAAUGUUAUUUGGUGUUUGCGUUGAGCAUGAAUGUGAUUUGAGCAUAUUUAUUGCAAUACGGUUAUUCAUGUAAGUUAGAGAAUAAUUGUUAUUCUGUUUACAUGAAUAAAACCUUCUAUGGUCAUACACCCAAUGAAAAUGGUUUGUUGGAUCUCGAUCGUAUGAUACACAUAUUCAUAAUAUUGAAGCCAAAAGAUGUAAAGUUAAUAAUGAUAGUGCAACUUAUUUGUGGCACUGCCGUUUAGGUCAUAUUGGUGUAAAGCGCAUGAAGAAACUCCAUGUUGAUGGGCUUUUGGAAUCACUUGAUGCUUGCGAACCAUGCCUCAUGGGCGAGAUGACUAAGACUCCGUUCUCCGGAACAAUGGAGCGAGCAAUAGAUUUGUUGGAAAUAAUACAUAUUGAUGUAUGAGAUCCAAUGAGUGUUGAUGCUCGUGGCAAGUAUCGUUAUUUUCUGACCUUCACAGAUGAUUUGAGCAGAUAUGGGUAUAUCUACUUGAUGAAACAUAAGUCUGAAAUAGUUGAAAAGUUCAAAGAAUUUCAGAGUGAAGUGGAAAAAUCAUCUUAACAAGAAAAAUAAAGUUUCUACGAUCUGAUCGUGGAGACGAAUAUUUGAGUUAUGAGUUUGGUCUUCAUUUGAAACAACGUGAAAUAGUUUCGCAACUCACGCCAUCUGGAACACCACAAUGUAAUGGUGUGUCUGAAUGUCGUAAUCGUACUUUAUUAGAUAUGGUGCGAUCUAUGAUGUCUCUUAUCGGUUUACCACUAUCGUUUUGGGGUUAUACAUUAGAGACAACUGCAUUCACAUUUAAUAGGGCACCAUCUAAAUCCGUUGAGACGACACCGUAUGAACUAUGGUUUAGCAGUAAACCUAAGCUAUCGUUUCUUAAAGCUUGGAGUUGCGAUGCUUAUAUGAAAAAGGUUUUCAACCUGAUAAGCUCGAACCCAAAUCGGAGAAGUGUGUCUUCAUAGAAUACCCAAAGGUAACUAUUGGGUACACCUUCUAUCACAGAUCCGAAGGCAAGUUAUUCAUUGCUAAGAUGGAUCCUUUCUAGAGAAGAAGUUUCUCUCGAAAGAAGUGAGUGGGAGGAAAGUAGAACUUGAUGAGGUAAUUGUACCUUCUCCCUUAUUGGAAAGUAGUUCAUCACAGAAAUCAGUUCCAGUGAUUCCUACACCAAUUAGUGAGGAAGUUAACGAUGAUGAUCAUGAAACUUCAGAUCAAGUUGCUACCAAACCUCGUAGGUCUUCCAGAGUAAGAUCCGCACCAGAGUGGUACGGUAAUCAUGUUUUGGAAGUCAUGUUACUAGACCAUGAUGAACCUACGAACUAUGAGGAAGCGAUGAUGAGCCCAGAUUCCGCGAAAUGGCUUGAGGCCAUAAAAUCUGAGAUAGGAUCCAUGUAUGAGAACAAAGUAUGGACUUUGGUUGACUUGCUCGAUGAUCAGCAAGCCAUGUUAAAUAAAUGGAUCUUCAAGAGGAAGACGGACACUGAUAGUAGUGUUACUAUCUACUAAGCUCGACUUGUUGCGAAACGUUUUCGACAAGUUCUAGGUGUUGAAUACAUGAGAUUUUCUCACUCAUAUCGAUGCUUAAGUCUGUCUGAAUCAUGUUAGCAAUUGCCAUAUUUUAUGAAAUCUGGCAAAUGGAUGUCAAAACUGCAUUCCUUAAUGGAUUUAUUAAAGAAGAGUUGUAUAUGAUGCAACCAGAAAGUUUUUGUCAAUCCUAAAGAUGCUAACAAAGUGUGCAAGCUCCAGCAAUCCAUCAAUGGACUGGUGCAAGCAUCUCGGAGUUGGAAUAUAUGCUUUGAUGAGUUGAUCAAAGCAUAUGGUUUUAUAUAGACUUUUGGAAAGGCAUGUAUUUACAAGAAAGUGAGUGGGAGCUCUGUAGCAUUUCUGAUAUUAUAUGUGCAAGACAUAUUGUUGAUUGGAAAUGAUAUAGAAUUUCUGGAUAGCAUUAAAGGAUACUUGAAUAAAAAGUUUUUCAAUGAAAGACCUUAGUGAAGCUGCUUACAUAUUGAGCAUCAAGAUCUAUUGAGAUAGAUCAAGAUGCUUGAUAAGUUUUUCAAUAAGUACAUACCUUGUCAAGAUUUUCAAAUAGUUCAAAAUGGAACAGUCAAAGAAAGAGUUCUUGCCUGUGUUGCAAAGGUGUGAAAUUGAGUAAGACUCAAGACCCGACCACGGCAGAAAAUAGAAAGAGAAUGAAAGUCAUUCCCUAUGCAUCAGUCAUAGGUUCUAUAAAAGUAUGCCAUGCUAUGGACCAAAUCUAUUGUAUACUCUGCCCUGGUUUGGCAAGGGAGUACAAUAGUGAUCUAGGAGUAGAUCACUGGACAUUGGUCAAAAUUAUCCUUAGUAGAAUAAGGAUAUGUUUCUCGAUUAUGGAGGUGAUAAAAGAGUUCGUCGUAAAGAGUUACAUCGAUGCAAGGUUUUACAUAGAUCCAGAUGACUCUAAGUCUCAAUCUGGAUACAUAUUGAAAGUGGGAGCAAUUAGCUAGAGUAGCUCCGUGCAAAGCAUUGUAGACAUAGAAUAUUUGCAAAAUACAUACGACUCUGUAAUAUGACAGACCCGUUGACUAAACUUCUCUCACGAGCAAAACAUGAUCAUACCUUAGUACACUUUCGGUGUUAAUCACAUAGCAAUGUGAACUAGAUUAUUGACUCUAGUAAACCCUUUGGGUGUUGAUCACAUGACGAUGUGAACUAUGGGUAUUAAUCACAUACAGGUGUGAAUAUUGGUGUGAAAUCACAUGAUGAUGUGAACUAGAUUAUUGACUCUAGUGCAAGUGGGAGACUGAAGGAAAUAUGCCCUAGAGGCAAUAAUAAAGUUAUUAUUUAUUUCCUUAUAUCAUGAUAAAUGUUUAUUAUUCAUGCUAGAAUUGUAUUAACCGGAAACAUAAUACAUGUGUGAAUACAUAGACAAACAUAGUGUCACUAGUAUGCCUCUACUUGACUAGCUCAUUAAUCAAAGAUGGUUAUGUUUCCUAACCAUAGACACGUGUUGUCAUUUGAUUAACGGGAUCACAUCAUUAGGAGAAUGAUGUGAUUGACAUGACCCAUUCCGUUAGCCUAGCACUUGAUCGUUUAGUAUAUUGCUAUUGCUUUCUUCAUGACUUAUACAUGUUCCUGUAACUAUGAGAUUAUGCAACUCCCGUUUACCGGAGGAACACUUUGGGUGCUACCAAACGUCACAAUGUAACUGGAUGAUUAUAAAGGAGUACUACAGGUGUCUCCGAAGGUACAUGUUGGGUUGGCGUAUUUCGAGAUUAGGUUUUGUCACUCCGAUUGUCGGAGAGGUAUCUCUGGGCCCUCUCGGUAAUGCACAUCACUAUAAGCCUUGCAAGCAAUGUAGCUAAUGAGUUAGUUAUGGAAUGAUGUAUUAUGUAACGAGUAAAGAGACUUGCCAGUAAUGAGAUUGAACUAGGUAUUGGAUACCGACGAUCAAAUCUCGGGCAAGUAACAUACCGAUGACAAAGGGAACAACGUAUGUUGUUAUGCGGUUUGACCGAUAAAGAUCUUCAUAGAAUAUGUGGGAGCCAAUAUGGGCAUCUAGGUCCCGCUAUUGGUUAUUGACCAGAAACAAGUUCUAGGUCAUGUCUACAUAGUUCUCGAACCCAUAGGGUCCGCACGCUUAACGUUUCGUUGACGAUAUAGUAUUAUAUGAGUUAUGUAUGUUGGUAACCGAAUGUUGUUCGGAGUCACGGAUGAGAUCAUGGACAUGACGAGGAACUCCGGAAUGGUCCGGAGAUAAAGUUUGAUAUAUGGGAUAAUAGUGUUUGAUCUCCGGAAGAGUUCCGGAAUUCACCGGAAGGGGUUCCGGAUGUUUCCCGAAAUGUUUGGGUACGAGAACACGUUAUUUGGGCCAAAGGGGAAAGACCACAAGGUUUUUGGAAAGUGCAAAAGGAAGUUUUGCGGAGUCCAGGGGCCAGACGCCAGGGUCCCUGGCGUCUGGGUCCAGACACCGGGAACCCUGGCGUCUGGCCCUGAAGUCCGAGAAGGACUCUUGCCUUUCGGGUGAAACCGACUUUGUGGAGGCUUUUACUCCAAGUUUCGACCCCAAGGCUCAACAUAUAAAUAGAGGGGCAGGGCUAGCACCAAAGACACAUCAAGAAACACCAAGCCGUGUGCCGGCAACCCCGUCCCCUCUAGUUUAUCCUCCGUCAUAGUUUCCGUAGUGCUUAGGCGAAGCCCUGCGGAGAUUGUUCUUCACCAACACCGUCACCACGCCGUCGUGCUGCCGGAACUCAUCUACUACUUCGCCCGUCUUGCUGGAUCGAGAAGGCGAGGACGUCAUCAAGCUAAACGUGUGCAGAACCCGGAGGUGCCGUGCGUUCGGUACUUGGAUCGGUCGGAUCGUGAAGACGUACAACUACAUCAACCGCGUUGAUAAACGCUUCCGCUUAGCGAUCUUCAAGGGUAUGAAGAUACACUCCUCCUCUGGUUGCUAUGCAUCACCAUGAUCUUGUGUGUGCGUAGGAAAAUUUUGAAAUUACUACGUUCCCCAACACAUUAACCUCAUGGAUAUUCAAAGUGUUCAUACUAGCAACAUUGCAAUCAUGCUCAUCAUUCAUGCAAAUCAUUUUAUUAAAUUCUUCUUCUAACAAUUGAGCACAACUUUCCGAUCCAUCAUUUUCAAGAAAGAUAUUAUAAAGAUGAUCAAUAAUAUGAUGCAACCUUAAUUCCAUUUUUCGUGUAGUUUUCUUUUAUAGACCAAACUAGUGAUAAAACAACAAACUAAAAGAUUCGAUUGCAAGAUCUAAAGAUAUACCUUCAAGCAUUCACCUCCCCAGUAACGGCGCCAGAAAAGAGCUUGAUGUCUACUACGCAACUUUAUUCUUGUAGACACAUGUUGGGCCUCCAGGCGCAGAGUUUUGUAGGACAGUAGCAAUUUUCCCACAAGUGGAUGACCUAAGGUUUAUCAAUCCGUGAGAGGUGUAGGAUGAAGAUGGUCUCUCUCAAACGAUCCUGCAACCAAAUACAAGAAAUCUCUUGUGUCCCCAACACACCCAAUACAAUGGCAAAUUGUAUAGGUGCACUAGUUCGGCGAAGCGAUGGUGAUUAAAGUGUAAUAUGGAUGGUAGAAAUAUAUUUUUAUAAUCUGAAUAAAUAAAAACAGCAAGGUAGAAAAUAGUAAACGGGCAAAAAACGGUGUUGCAAUGCUUAAAAAUGAGGCCUAGGGUGCAUACUUUCACUAGUGCAAUCUCUCAACAAAGCUAACAUAGUUGGAUCAUAUGAUUAUCCCUCAAAAUGCAACAAAGAAUCAUUCCCGAGUUCCUAUUAGCGGAGAACAAAAGAGAGAAAUUGUUUGUAGGGUACGAAACCACCUCAAAGCUAUUCUUUCCGAUCGAUCUAUCCUAGAGUUCGUACUAAAAUAAGAGCAAGCUAUUCUUUCCGAUCGAUCUAAUCAAGAGUUCGUACUAAAAUAACACCAUAUGACACAUAUCAACCAACUCUAAUGUCACCUAGAUACCCCAAUGUCACCGUGAGUACCCAUGACCUAAUUAUACGACAUGUUCAAACAAUUUUAGAUUCAUAAUGCUCAAUCCAACACAAAACUACAAGGGGACCCCAAAGUUUCUAUCAGAGAAAAGAUAAUAAAAACAUGCAUCAACCCCUAUGCAUAGAUUACCCCAAUGUCACCGCGGGAAUCCGCAAGUUGACUGCCAUAACAUAUAUCAAGUGAAUCAAUAUGAUAAUCCAUUGUCACCUCAAUUAUUCAUACGACAAGACAUACAUCAUGUGUUUUCAAAUCUGAACAUUCAAUCCGACAAGACAAAACUUCAAAGGGUAAAGACUCAAUUCAUCACAACAAAAGUAGAGAGGGGAGAAACAUCAUAUGAUCCAUUUAAACUAACAAAGCCCGCGAUACAUCAAGAUCGUGAUAUCUCAAGAUCACGAGAGAGAGAGAGAGAGAGAUUAAACACAUAGCUACUGGUACAAACCCUCAGCCCCGAGGAUGGACUACUCGCUCCUCAUCGCGGUGGCCGCCGGGAUGAUGAAGAUGGCCACCGGUGAUGAUUCCCCCCUCCGGCAGGGUGCCGCAAUGGGGUCUAGAUUGGAUCUUGUGGAUACAGAGGUCUUGCGGUGGCGGAACUUUCGAUCUAGGUUAACCCUGAUGGGUUUCAGAAUAUUUGUGAAUUUAUAGGGUAACGAGGGGUUGCGGGAGGCCACCGAAGUGGGCACAACCCACUUGGGCGUGCCAGUGGGCCCAGGCGCGCCCUGGUGGGUUGUGCCCCCCUCGGGGUACCCCCGAGAUCCUGGUUGUUCUGGUCCAUAAAACAUCUCCAAGGAGUUACGUGGUGUUUGGACUCCGUUUGAUAUUGAUUUCCUGCGAUGUAAAAAACAAGGAAAAAAUAGCAACUGGCACUGGGCAGUAGGUUAGUCCCAAAAAAUGAUAUAAAGUUGCUAUAAAAUGAUUGUAAAACACCCAAGAAUGAUAAUAUAAUGGCAUGAAUACUUCAUAAAUUAUAGAUACAUUGGAGACGUAUCAGUGAUCAUCUGCUUUCUUUAUAUCCUUAUCAAUAUGUCGAGGCGUGUUUCGACAGACAAUGCCAUUAAUAUUAAUGCCAUGUUACAUGCCUAAAAAAGUACAUAAGGGAAAGUCUAGCACAGGGUUGUAAGUGCAUCUAGUGCCCCUUAGUGAUUUUGGUGUAUUGAUGACUUAUAGGUUAAGGGACUGAUGCGUUUGUGAGUGUACAUUGGUCUAUAAGUCUAUGAGGAGUUUGAUAUUUACAAAGAAAGUCGACCCCUAAAAAUGAAGUUCUUCAACUGAAGACUUUGGAUUUCUGAAGACUUUCUGAAGACUUUGAAAUUGAAGAAAUUGGUGUAACCUUGAAGACUUGGUAAUCAUUUGAGGAACAUGAAUCAUGAAGACUUUUGUUUUUAUAGUUUCAUUUUCUCUUUAUUGAGUCAUAGGAAACACCGUACUGUUAAAGGGGGUCGAGGAAAUACUAAGGAAAAAAUUCCAUGUGAUGCUCAACUCAAAUCCUACACCUACCAAUCCCUUCGAGUGAAGCCAUUGGAAAUCUCAUACAGUUCAGUCCUAUUCUUCAGUGACAGAGACGAAGUUCUUCUGCUCUCUGAGGAAUUUGUUCUGACUGAGGAGUUAAGAAUUCGCGAGUGCGGAUUGCCUACACAGUGAGGAACAUGAUAGCCCUGAGGAUUUUGAGAGUCAAAAUUCUGACCGUUGCUGUGCUAUGCGCCAGCUGUCCCAAAAUAUCUACCCACCUAACGGUCAUAUCUGACAAGGGCAUUUAUGUCUUAUCAUGUCGGGGUGCUCCCUAGGCUACAAAAAGCCGCCCCCUACAACCACUAGCUGGUUGGCUGCUCCAAGAGAAACUGACACUUGUCAAUUGAGAGCAUCCCAUCCUCCGAGGACUUUGAGUGAAAAUCAUCAAGUGAGGAAAACCCAAACCCAACACCUACAAACCCAAAGUGAUUGAGCAUCACUGAAGAGAUUGAUCCUGCGUCGAUCUGACGCUUGUUUUCUUUGAAGACUGUGCUUCUUCCAGACGGUUAGGCAUCAAGGUCUACAGCAUCCAAGAGGAAUUGUGGAUCGCUGAGUGACCAAGUUUGUGAAGGUCCGGAAGUCACCUGAAGACUUACCACGAGUGAUUGGGCGAGGUCUGUGUGACCUUAGCUCAAGGAGAAUACGGUGAGGACUGUGUGUGAUAACCCGCAAGUAUACGGGAUAGUUGUAUCCUCUUUCGAUAAGUAAAGAGUGUCGAAUCCAACGAGGAGCUAAAGGUAGAACAAAUACUCUCUCAAGUACUAUCGGCCACUGAUACGACUCUACGCACGCUUGACGUUCGCUUUACCUAGAACAAGUAUGAAACUAGAAGUACUUUGUAGGUGUGAUAGGAUAGGUUUGCAAGAUAAUGAAGAACACGUAAACAUAAACUAGGGGCUGUUUAGAUAAAGAAGAAAUAAAGUAAAUAUAGCGAGUGUGGAAAAGUGGUGGUAGGAGUUGUGGAAUUGUCCCUAAGCAAUUGACUACGUUACUAGACCGAUAAUCACUAUUGCAAUUUUAUUUGAGGGCGAGGCAUAAGCUAACAUACUUUCUCUACUUGGAUCAUAUGCACUUAUGAUUGGAACUCUAGCAAGCAUCCGCAAAUACUAAAGAUUCAUUAAGGUAAAACCCAACCAUAGCAUUAAAGUAUCAAGUCCCCUUUAUCCCAUACGCAACAACCCCCUUACUCUGGUUUGUGUUUCAGUCACUCACGCAACCCACUAUAAGUGAAUCAUGAACGCAUUGCAACACCCUACAACGGGAAUCCCUCACGCUUGUGCGACACAGAGGGCACCAUAGGACAUCACCAAUAAUAAAACAUGCAACUCAAACCAAUCAUAGCAAUUCAUCAAUCACCGAUAGGACAACGAAAAUCUACUCAGACAUCAUAGGAUGGCAACACAUCAUUGGAUAAUAAUAUGAAGCAUAAAGCACCAUGUUCAAGUAGAGGGUACAGCGGGUUGCGGGAGAGUGGACCGCUGGAUAUAGAUGGGGGAAGAUGAUGGAGACGUUGGUGAAGAUGAUGGAGGUGUUGGUGAAGAUCGCGGUGAUGAUGAUGGCCCCCGGCGGCGUUCCGGCGCCACCGGAAGCAAGGGGGAGAGAGCCCCCCUUCUUCUUCUUAUUCUUCCUUGACCUUCUCCCUAGAUGGGAGAAGGGUUUCCCCUCUGGUCCUUGGCUCCCAUGGCGUGGGAGGGGCGAGAGCCCCUCCGAGAUUGGAUCUAUCUCUCUGUUUCUGCGUUCUGCGGUUCUGCCCCUUCACCGUUUCCUUUAUAUCUGGAGAUCCGUAACUCCGAUUGGGGUGAAUCUUUCGCCCAGAUAUUUCUCGUAAAAUUAGCUUUCUUGCGGAAAAAGAAGAGCGUCAACCGCCUUACGGGUGGCCCACGAGAGUCCAGGGCGCGCCCAGGGGGGAGGGCGCCCCCUGUCUCAUGGCCACCCCGGACAGCUUUUCGCGUUGAUUUUUCCUCCCAAAAAUCACAAAUAUUCCAAAAUAAUUCUCCGUCCGUUUCUAUCCCGUUUGGACUCCAUUUGAUAUUGGGUUUCUACGAAACAAAAAACAUGCAACAUACAGGAACUGGCACUGGGCACUGGAUCAAUAUGUUAGUCCCAAAAAUAGUAUAAAAAGUUGCCAAAAGUAUAUAAAAGUUGAAUAAUAUUAGCAUAGAACAAUCAAAAAUUAUAGACACAAUGGAGAUGUAUCAACAUCCCCAAGCUUAAUUCCUGCUCGUCCUCGAGUAGGUAAAUGAUAAAAAAGAUAAUUUUUGAUGUGGAAUGCUACCUAGCAUAAUCUUGAUCGUAUGUCUAAUCAUGGCAUGAAUAUUAAGACACGAGUGAUUCAAAGCAAUAGUCUAUCAUUUGACAUAAAAAUGACAAUACUUCGAGCGUACCAAUAAAGCAAUCAUGUCUUUUCAAAACAACAUGGCCAAAGAAAGUUAUCCCUACAAAAUCAUAUAGUCUGGCUGUUGCUCUAUCUUCAUCACACAAAGUAUUUAAUCAUGCACAACCCCGAUGACAAGCCAAGCAAUUUUUUCAUACUUUCAUAAUCUCAAAAAAUUUCAACUUUCACGCAAUACAUGAGUUGAGCCAUGGAUAUAACACUUUGGGGAAGCCCAUCAUCGGAAUAUACAAGCCAAGUUCUAUAAUGAAAAUUCCCACUAGUAUAUGAAAGUGAAAGCAUAGGAGACUCUCUCUAUGAAGAACAUGGUGCUACUUUGAAGCACAAGUGUGGUAAAAGGAUAGUAGCAUUGCCCCUUCUCUCUUUUUCUCUCAUUUUUUUUCUUUUUUUUUCUUUUUGGUGGGCUUCUUUGGCCUCCUUUUUUAUUUGGGCUUCUUUGGCCUGUUUUAUUUUUCAUAAAGUCUGGAGUCUCAUCCCGACUUGUGGGGGAAUCAUAGUCUCCAUCAUCCUUUCCUCACUGGGAUAAUGCUCUAAUAAUGAUGAUCAUCACACUUUUAUUUACUUACAACUCAAUAUCUAGAACAAAGAUAUGACUCUAUAUGAAUGCCUCCGGCGGUGUACCGGGAUGUGCAAUGAUCUAGCAUAGCAAUGACAUCAAAAAACAGAUAAGCCAUGAAAAUGUCAUGCUAGCUAUCUUACGAUCAUACCAAAACAAUAUGACAAUGAAUGCUCAAGUCAUGUAUAUGAUGAUGAUGGAAGUUGCAUGGCAAUAUAUCUCGGAAUGGCUAUGGAAAUGCCAUGAUAGGUAGGUACGGUGGCUGUUUUGAGGAAGGUAUAUGGUGGGUGUAUGGUACCGGCGAAAGGUGCGCGGCACAAGAGAGGCUAGCAAUGGUGGAAGGGUGAGAGUGCGUAUAAUCCAUGGACUCAACAUUAGUCAUAAAGAACUCAUAUACUUAUUGCAAAAAUCUACAAGCCAUUGAAAACAAAGUACUACACGUAUGCUCUUAGGGGGAUAGAUUGGUAGGAAAACGCUCGUCCCCGACCGCCACUCAUAAGGAAGACAUCAAUAAAUAAAAUUGUGCUCCAACUUCAUCACAAAGCGGUUCACCAUACGUGCAUGCUACGGGAAUCACAAACCUCAACACAAGUGCUUCUACUAAUCCACAGUCACCCACCAGCAUGACUCUAAUAUCACCACCUUUAUAUCGCAAAACUAUUGCAAGGAAUCAAACAUAUCAUAUUCAGCGAUCUACAAGUUUAUGUAGGAUUUUAUGACUAACCAUGUGAUUGACCAAUUCCUGUCAUCUCUCUAAAUAGAUAUAAGUGAAGCAAGAGAGUUUAAUUAUUUAUACAAAAUAUAUGCCCAUGCUCUAACAAAUAUAAGUGAAGCAAAAGAGCAUUGUACAAAUGGUGGUUGUCUAUAUGAAGAGAAACAGGCAAUCCAAACUUCAAAUGAUAUAAGUGAAGCACAUGAAGCAUUCUAUAAAGCAAUACUCAAAAGAUUUAAGUGAGGUGCAAUGAGCAUUAUAUAAAUCAACCAAGGACUAUCUCAUACCAGCAUGGUGCAUAAAAGAAAAAUGAAAACUAAAUGCAAAAGAUGCUCCAAGACUUGCACAUAACGCAUGAACGAAACGAAUACGAAAACAUAUUGAUACUAGUUGAAGAAAGAGGGGAUGCCUUCCGGGGAAUCCCCAAGCUUAGAUGCUUGAGUCUCCUUGAAUAUUUACUUGGGGUGCCUCGGGCAUCCCCAAGCUUAAGCUUUUGCCUCUCUCCCUUUUCCUCAUAUCGAGACCUCCUCGUUUAAACACUUCAUCCACACAAAACUUCAACAGAAAACUCGGUAAGAUCCGUUAGUAUAAUAAAGCAAAUCACCACUCUAAGCAUUGUAGCAAACCAAUUCAUAUCUUGUUUUUGCAUUGUGUCUACUGUAAUAUAACUUUUCCAUGGCUUAAUCCACUAAUAUAAAUUGAUAUAUUCAUCAAAACAAGUAAACUAUGCAUCAAAAACAGAAUCUGUCAAAAACAGAGCAGUCUGUAGUAAUCUGAACAUCCACCAUACUUCUGGUACCCCAAAAAUUCUACCAAAAUUAGGAAAAAUAAAAAAUUUGUAUAGCAAGACAGUGCAAAAAUAAUCAUAACCAAUUGACGUUCCAGUUAAAAUGUAAAAUCGCGCACUACAUCCAAAGUUUCUAUCCUGCACCGUACAAACCAACAAGCUUUGUAAACAUCCUAAAGGCAAACCUUGGCAUAUUAUUUUUAUAAUACAAUAGAGUUAUACAAGGGGAUAAUUAUUUUUGAUGAAAAUUUUCUGUAAUCAAGAUUCACAAAGUUUCCCUGAGCAUGAACAAAGUUCAAGGAGCUCUCCCACUUCAACAAUGCUUGUCUUUCUCACUUUCACUUUCCUUUUUGAAGCGUUUUUAGGUUCCCAUCUUUAUUUUUUUGUUUUUAAACCAUAUGAAAGCACUCAACAGAAAUAAACGACUCUCUAAAACUUCCGGGUUGUCUCCCUGGCAGCGCUUUCUUUAAAGCCAUUAAGCUAGGCAUACAGUGCUCAAGUAAUGGAUCCACCCGGAUCCCAAGGUAUAUCAAAGCCAAUUUUAAUUAACAAUGAUUUGUAAUUUAGUAGUGAGCACAAAGUAACAUAUAUCAUGCAACAAUGAAGUCUAACUCUUUUCCUAUGCAUCGGCAUGUCAUAAAAGAACAAUUCAUGGACACCAAGUAAAGGCCAAUGCAUAGUAUAAGUAGUUUCUUGCAAUUCUAUCAUAUUGGAAAUGUAAAGAGGCGGAGAUGUAGUUCCUCUCUCAUAAUAAUUGCAAGUAGGAGUAGCAAGCACAUGCAUAUUAUAUCUAUCAAAAUUAUCAUGUGCAACGGUAAAAGGCAACCCAUCAAUAUAAUCCUUACUAAGCACAAACUUCUCCGAUAUAGUGUAGUCGGGAGAAUGCAAAAAGAUAAUAGGACUAUCAUGCGUGGGUGCAAUAGCAACAAUUUCAUGUUUAACAUAAGGAACUAUAGCAAGUUCAUCUCCAUAAGCAUAAUUCAUAUUGGCAUCUCGGCCACAAGCAUAGCAAGCAUCAUCAAAAAGGGAUAUUUCAAACAAAUUCAAGGGAUCAUAGCAAUCAUCAUAGCAAUCAUCCUUCGGUAAGCACGAAGGGGAAUUAAAUAAUGUAUGAGUUGGAGGGUUACUCUCAUUAGAAGGUGGCACAUGUAGCUAAUCCACUCUUCCUCCUUUUGUUCUUCGCUCUCCUUAUCAUCUUUUUCAUCCAAUGAGCUCACUGUUUCAUCAAUUUCUUCUUCCAUAGCUUCCUGCAAAAUAUUAGUCUCUUCUUGGAUAGCGGAGAAGUCCUCAAUAUAUGGUUUAACAUAGGCAUUAGAAGCAUAAUUAUCAUAACAAUAUUGAAAUAUGGCAAAAAAAUUAGAUUUGUAAAGAGUAGCAUCAUACUUCUCAAUCAAAGAGGCAAUCUCAUAAGCACCUUUAAAAGCAACAAAUUCUUCAACUUGUUGAACAUCAUAGUAAUUGUAAACACCCCUAGCAUACUAAGAUAUGAUUCCAUUAUCACUAAACAAGCAUUGAUAGGGUAGGUGUUUCUUAGGGUCUUCAGAACAACAAGUAAACUCAUAUAUUUCACAUAAAUUCCAAGCAUAACAUUGCAAACGUUGAAUUUGAUCCUAUAAUAGUUUCCGUUUUUCAGAUAUACGGUGUCGCACAAGACAAGCAUGCUCAUCUAAAGAUUUGCCCUCAACUAAACUAGUUGGGGUUUCAGCACGAGCACAAAGGGAUCGAAGAUGAUCCAAGUAAAAAGCUUCAGGAGUGUGAUAGAUUUUGAGUGGUUCUUCAACCACUGGUUUAGUAGGUACAACUAAUUUUUUGGUAUUUUGCAUUUCCUACCCAUUACUAAAGAUAGAAAACAACUAAGAACAGCAAAUAAAAUAAAAAUUGCUUAGUGAUAAAGCAAACAAGCACACACUAGAAAAUUCACCCCACGCUAUGACUCCCCGACAACGGCGCCAGAAAAAGGUCUUGAUAACCCGCAAGUAUACGGGAUAGUUGUAGCCUCUUUUGAUAAGUAAGAGUGUCGAACCCAACGAGGAGCUAAAGGUAGAAUAAAUACUCUCUCAAGUCCUAUCAGCCACUGAUACGACUCUACGCACGCUUGACGUUCGCUUUACCUAGAACAAGUAUGAAACUAGAAGUACUUUGUAGGUGUGAUAGGAUAGGUUUGCAAGAUAAUAAAGAACACAUAAACAUAAACUAGGGGCUGUUUAGAUAAAGAAGCAAUAAAGUAAAUAUAGCGAGUGUGGAAAAGUGGUGGUAGGAGUUGUGGAAUUGUCCCUAAGCAAUUGACUACGUUACUAGACCGGUAAUCACUAUUGCAAUUCUAUUUGAGGGAGAGGCAUAAGCUAACAUACUUUCUCUACUGGAUCAUAUGCACUUAUGAUUGGAACUCUAGCAAGAAUCCGCAAAUACUAAAGAUUCAUUAAGGUAAAACCCAACCAUAGCAUUAAAGUAUCAAGUCCCCUUUAUCCCAUACGCAACAAUCCCCUUAUUCAGGUUUGUGUUUCAGUCACUCAUGCAACCCACUAUAAGCGAAUCAUGAACACAUUGCAACACCCUACAACGGGAAUCCCUCACGCUUGCGCGACACAGAGGGCACCAUAGGACAGCACCAAUAAUAAAACAUGCAACUCAAACCAAUCAUAGCAAUUCAUCAAUCACCGAUAGGACAAUGAAAAUCUACUCAGACAUCAUAGGAUGGCAACACAUCAUUGGAUAAUAGUAUGAAGCAUAAAGCACCAUGUUCAAGUAGAGGGUACAGCGGGUUGCGGGAGAGUGGACCGCUGGAUAUAGAUGGGGGAAGGUGAUGGAGACGUUGGUGAAGAUGAUGGAGGUGUUGGUGAAUAUCGCGGUGAUGAUGAUGGCCCCCGGCGGCGUUCCGGCACCACCAGAAGCAAGGGGGAGAGAGCCCCCCUUCUUCUUCUUCUUCCUUGACCUCCACCCUAGAUGGGAGAAGGGUUUCCCCUCUGGUCCUUGGCUCCCAUGGCAUGGUAGGGGCGAGAGCCCCUCCAAGAUUGGAUCUAUCUCUCUGUUUCUGCGUUCUGCGGUUCUGCCCCUUCACCGUUUCCUUUAUAUCUGGAGAUCCGUAACUCCGAUUGGGGUGAAUCUUUCGCCCAGAUUUUUCUCGUAAAAUUAUCUUUCUUGCGGCAAAAGAAGAGCGUCAAGCGCCUUACGGGUGGCCCACGAGAGUCCAGGGUGCACCCCCCUGUCUCGUGGCCACCCCGGACACCUUUUCGCGUUGAUUCUUCCUCCCAAAAAUCACAAAUAUUCCAAAAUAAUUCUCCGUCCAUUUUUAUCCCGUUUGGAAUCCAUUUGAUAUUGGGUUUCUGCGAAACAAAAAACAUGCAACAGACAUGAACUGGCACUGGGCACUGGAUCAAUAUGUUAGUCCCAAAAAUAGUAUAAAAAGUUGCCAAAAGUAUAUAAAAGUUGAAUAAUAUUGGCAUGGAACAAUCAAAAAUUAUAGAUACGACGGAGACGUAUCAGUGUGUCCGGGACUGGGUAUCCUCGAAUUUAAAUACUCAGCCGCUCCAACCAGAUGUACAACUGAGACAGCAGUCGGAACUGGUCUACCAAAUUAUUGUCUUCACCAAGCUUACUGGUUCUAUUUCCUCAACUCUUUCAUUUCCUCAUGUCUGUUGGUGUGUGCUUGUUCAUAUCUGUUUGAAGACUUUGACUGAAGACUUCCUCAAUUUCCUCAGUUCAAUUUCUUCAGUCUAUCCGUCUUCUUUCUUGUGUUAUCCUUUGUUUACGCUUUCUGUACUCUGUGCUUGUCUUCAUUUCAUUAUGAUGACUAUGCUUGUGUUCUGUUAUAUCUACAUUUGAGUACUUAUUCCGCUGUUAGUAGUUCUUCGUUUAGGAAUUUCCUCACCAGCAAAUUCCUCAGUGAAGAAUUCAUAAAAGUCACCUAUUCACCCCCUCUAGUCGAUAUACGCACUUUCAAUUGGUAUCAGAGCAAGGUACUCCCUUGUUCUGUGUGAUUUUGGUUUAACCGCCUGGAGUUUUAGUUAUGUCGACCGCAGGUAUGAUCAAGGUCUCCGCUGGGUGUCCUACCUUCGAUGGAACGGACUACCCCUAUUGGAAGAAUAAGAUGCGCAUGCAUCUUGAAGCAAUUGAUAACAAUCUCUGGUGUGUUGUGGAAAAUGGUGUUCCCUCAGUCACACCUUCUCUGAACGCUACUGAUGUGAAGAGAUUCAAGCAACUCGAUUCUCAAGCGAAGAAUAUCAUAUGUGGCCACCUGAGCAAAGGACGGUAUGGAAGAGUGAGUGCUUUGGAAACUGCUAAGCUUAUCUAGGAUAGGCUGUCCAAGGUGAAUGAAGGAGUCUCAACUCAACGUGACUCUCGUGUUGACGUUCUUCGCAAUCUCUUCAACCGCUUCAAAAGACUCGACAAUGAAAAUGUCCAGCAAACCUUCGAUCGCCUCACUGACAUCUCAAAUGAGCUUCAAGCGCUUGGCGCCACUGACAUCACCGACCAUGAGGUGGUGAAGAAAUUGCUGAGAUUGCUCGAUUCUUCAUUUGAUACUCUGGCACUGAUGAUCCAAGAACGUGCUAAUUACAAGUCACUUGAUCCUGCUGAUAUCCUCGAGAGGCUAAAUACUCAUGAGUUCCAGCUUGCUGAGAAGAGAGAUCUCUAUGGUUCGAGCUAUGACAGAUCACGUGCUCUGAAGGCCAAGACAGUCUCUGAGUCUGAAGAUGAGGACUCUGCUAGCAGCCUUGGUGACCUUGAAGAACCGAGCCAGGAACUAGCACUGCUCGUGAAGAAAUUUCAAAAGUUCUCAAGACGUGGUCGCUUUGGAAAAUCCUCAAGGAGCAAUGAUUCCUCAUCCAGUGACAACAAAAAGAGGCUAUGCCACAAAUGCAAGAAACCUGGUCACUACAUCCAAGAUUGUCCUUAGUGGGAUAAGGAAUCAAAGAAGAAGAAAUACAAGGAUUACAGUUCUGAUGACGCAAAGAAGAAGAAGAAAUCCUCAAAGUCUUCAUCAUCAAAAUCCUCGAAGUCUUCAUCUCACUAGAAGAGAAGCUCCAAGAAGGCUCGGGCAUUCAUUGGCAAGGAAAUGGACUCUGAGGCUGAAUCUGAGGAACAUGAGGACAAGGGGGCAUCUAAGGAGUCCGAGUCUGGUGUGGCGAGCCUAGCUCUCGCUACUACAUUCGUCAGCAAGUCUAUCUUCAACUCUGAAGAAAAUGUCUUCACCAACAAGGCUGAUGAAGGCAAUGAUGACUACGCUCCCACCUAUUGCUUCAUGGCACAGGGUGCCAAGGUAACUAAAUACGCCUCCUCUGAAUCUAGUGAGGAUGAAUCUGGUGAAAACCUCAAGCCCAGAUACUCUAAACUUGCUAAGAUUGCUGUGAAACAACUGAAGGCUUUUGAAAAGGUUCAAAACAUGCUAGAUAAAAGUGAUGAUAUGUUGGGUGAAGAAUGGAUCGCACUAAAACCUUGACUGAAAAUCUUCAGAGACUUCAGUCCAAGUUUGACAACCUUCAAGGUCAUCAUAACACUCUCUUAUCUGAUCACGAGAAGCUUUCUUAUGAAUUUCUUCAAAGAAAGCAAGAUCUAGAAAAGCUAAGAGUGGAUUAUGAAGAUCUUCAAAAGGAGUGCGAUUCAUUACUUGCUCAACAAAUCAGCGCUCCUCAGGAAGAAUUUGUUCCUCCAUGUCUAAAAUGCAUUGAACGUGAAACUGCUAAUUCUUCACCUGAAUGUUCAAAUGCUUCUAAUGCUACAAAUUCUUCAUCUGUCUCUGCUAUCAUUAAUUCCUCAUCUGAGGACAAUGCAAGUAUCACUGAUGAUGCAGGGCUGAAGGAAUUGUACAUGACAGGCAUGUACAAAAGCCUCAAAGGGCAUCAGACUCUUUGUGAUGUGCUCAAAAAGCAGAUCCUUAACAGAAACCCUAGGAAAGAGGGUAUUGCCUUUGAGAGGAAACUCAAUGCUGAUGGAACAUAUUGGAAGCUUGAGCGGUACCCCAAAACCUCAUGGGUUGCUGCAAAGGGACCUCCAGUUGAUCCAUCCAACUUAUCUGGUUUUACAUGUUAAUCUCCUCAUUCUUCUGAUGAGUCAUUUGACUCCAACUAUAAACUGUUCAAAAAUCAGAAUGGUGAAGUAUUUGCUAGAUAUGUUGGCACUAACUGCAGGAAUGGUUCCCCUAUGAAGAAAAUCUGGGUUCCCAAAAGUUGCCUUGAAAGUCUUCAGGUGAAUGUCCUCAUGACACCACCAGUGAAGAAUAGGAACUCCAGAUCAAAUUCUUCAUAUGAACCAAACUCUUCAUAUGGAUCCAAGUCCUCAUACGGACCAAAUUCCUCAAAAGGAUCAAAGUCCUCAUAUGAUCAUCAUCGUGCUAACCUUUCUGUUUCGCAGGGUUGAGCUAAAGGCUAUGAAUAUGAGCAUUAUUCUUCAAAUCAUUAUGUUCAGAAGUCCUCAAAGAAUUACUCUGCUUAUUCAUAUGCUUACCCUAACCCCUCUUAUGUGAAACGAAGUGGAUUGGCUUCUGUGCCACCUUUCUCAUAUGGUUCUCGUAGAGUGAUGAAUUCUUUGCCACCCCUUCAGAUGUGGGUGGUGAAGAAAAAGAACUAAUCUCUUAUGCAAGGUCAGGUCUCCAUACGUGCUCAAAACAUCUGAAGAAUUUGCUGGAGACCUGAACAGUGCCUGAUAGGACGCAGGCUAAUCAUGAUGAAAUGAACUUUCAUUUCACACGUCCUCAUACUAUUUAUCUGUUCUAUUGCUCGAAGAAAUUGAACUGAUGAUAUUGAUGUCAUAUUCUUCACUGAUGAAGCACAUGCCAUUUCCUCGGACGAUCUUUGGUCUGUUGGUCCUUGAAGAAACAGAACUGCAUAUCACUCUCCACUGUAGAAGCUGAGUACAUUGCUGCCGGAUCAUGCUGUGCUCAACUACUAUGGAUGAAGCAAACACUCAAGGACUAUGGCGUCAACAUGAAGAAUGUGCCUCUCUACUGCGAUAAUGAGAGUGCUAUCAAGAUUGCUCAUAACCCAGUUCAGCACUCGAAUACUAAGCACAUCCAGAUUCGUCAUCAUUUUCUUCGUGAUCAUGUGUUGAAGGGCGACAUCUCCAUCGACCACGUUAGCACUGAAGAUCAGCUGGCCGAUAUCUUCACUAAGCCCUUGGAUGAGAAGAGAUUUAGCAAGUUGUAGUGUGAGCUAAAUAUCCUAACACUUAUGAUGACUUGAUGACUUAGAUGUGCAACACAUGAAGUAAUGUUUUUCUUCAAUCAAUGAAGACUAACCCUCUAAGUGUGAAGAAAUUAAUGAAGAAAUUGAUUCUUAGAGCCCUACGACAAUUGUACGCGGUGUCUGAAAUCAGCUUUCUUAUACGGUGGGUCACGCCACCACCCAAAGUUGGAAAUCUUCAAAUUUGAGUUUUUCUUUGUUUUUGAAAUUCCUCAGUUUUUCAAAUUCUUCAACUUUGCAUUGUCUUCACUCUUUCCGGUGUUGUUCUUCAUUUGAAUACAUACAUAUGAGUUUUAUGUCCUCUACAACAUUCACUUAUUGCUAAUUCUUCAAGCUGAUUUCUUCUGCUAAGUGAAUGUGAUCGGACCCUUCCCCCUCUAUGCUAAACUCAACCCAGUCUAUUCACAAAUUCUUCAUGUGCGUUCUAUUUGAAACUCGUUCAAAGUCUUCACUGUGUCCUUGACUGCUGAAGAAAUUGCGAACAAAAACUUUAACUUAUAUGUUCUGAAUUUUCGGCUUUGCCGCUCAAACCGUUCCACAUACCACUACAAUACUUAUCUAUUCACCCAUGAUCCUACACGAUCGUCACCUCUCAGUACGUGGGUGACACAUGUCAAGCGAAUGAGAAGGGCCAGGGGCACAUUCGUCCGAUUUCCUUGGGCGUACAAUUUUCACUCUCUCUAUAAAUACCACUGCCUCUUCCUCACUUCACUUUUACCUUGCUCGCUCUCACUCCCGCUCGAGCUCCCCAAACCCUAGCGCCGCCGCUACUUCAUCGUUGCCGGUGAGGAAGAGCUUCACUGCCUCGACCUCGUCACCGUCGUACUCACGCCGGUUGUGGAUUUCUUCACUCCGCCGCCGCCGUAGCCAUCUUCCUCUGCCGAGUUAGGGCGUGGAAGAUCUGAACUGACGAACUUCACAUCUACUCUUCCCAGUUCGUCGUGUUCUUCACUUCGGGUAAUUAAAAGUUACUUUUACUGCCCUCUUUGAUUCUUAUGUUUUCGUGAAAAUCUUCAAAGGUGUUUAUUCUUCAAAUCUUCACACACAUGAACACCUCACAUGUCAUCUGCUCUUGAUUCGUUUCUCUAAGCAAUGAUUUUCUUCAAGAUUCCUCAAUUGUGUGGAUUUUCAAUCUAUACAACUCUAGAACCUAAGACAAAGAACGCUUAGUGAAAUUCCUCAAGACUCAUCUGGUCAAAUUCCUCAAACCUAUUUUUUUUAAACCUUCUGAGAACGCAUAUGACCUCUCCAAAUUCCUCGCAACUAUACUCUGUUCACAGGUACAAAUGUCCACUGCUGAAUCACUAGGUUCUCAUCAACUUAACUCAUUUGCAGCGUUCCUCGAAGAAAAGUUGCACACCUCUUCAGAAACUUCAGUUGUUCAUAUUCCUCAGCUGAAGAAAAUGGCUGAUAAGAAGCCACAAAAGGGAGGAAAGAGGCCUGAGGUCAAUACUGCGUUUGAAACCCCUGAGGACAUUUAUGCUGGAUACUGCACUCCUGAUGAGGCCAAGUUUGCCAAGGAGGACAAGAAUCAGCGCAAGGUGCGCAUACAACGGAUAGAGAGGAGAUGGGCAUGGGAAUGGAGGGAGUACAGGUAUGUUACUCCCAAGUAUAUGAAGAAAUUCACGCUCAACCCUCCAUGCUCAAGACCUCCAUUAGCACCAGGCUAAGUGGCAGAUCCCACCAGCCUCAAGCGCGGUGAGGACUAUGCUGAUGAAUGGGCAAAGCGCCAGGCCAAACUGGCCAAGCAAGCAAAGGAAGCAGUGAAGAAAUUCAAUGCAGACUCUGCUGCUGCUACUGCCGCUGCUAAGGCCUCUGCUAGCCAGCCGAAGAAGGCGAUGCACAAGAAGCCUGCUCAUAAGUCAAGCGCUUCUCCUUCAAUGCCCUCACGGCCAAGCUCCUCAGCAAUGCCCUCAAGGCCAGAUUCUUCAAAGCCCUCACGGCCAAUCCCUCAGACUGCUCCUUCAAAGUCCUCAGCUCCUCCGACAAAGUCUUCAGCUGAUCCGACCAAAUCCUCUACACCUAUGCAUCUCGCCAUGUGCCAAAGGACAACAGGCUUCUCAAUUGCCUCAGGAGCAUCUGCAAGCUCCUCAGCCGCACGAAAUUCCUCUGCUGGCCCCUCUCUGCUGAAGAAAAAGGCCACUGCUAGACGAGGCCUUCGACCAAGUCCUCACAAGAAGCGGGUCGCCUUCCAAGUUCCCUCUGAUGACGAUGAGGCUGAUGAUGAAGAACUCACCGAAAUCAUCAGAGACGGGCAAGCCAGGGCCGCUAGAGCCAAAGGCAGCAAUGUGCCACUGAUGUUGGAUCCAAAGUCGAUCCUCGAUUACAUUAACCUAUGGCACAAGGACCCUAACACGCCUUUGCUGGAGAUGAACCUCACUCCUGGUCAAAGUCAUGUUCUGACUGCCUUCAUUGAGGAAGAAAAGUGGAAAUUUGAACAAGGCAGAAGUCUGAAGAAAGAGCAGUACAAGAAACAGCGCUACCUCAAGGACAAUGUCCUCACUCUUACCCCUGAUCAGCUCAUUGCCUUGCAAGCUGAAAUCAAGCAAUUGAGUGAUGAACUCGAUCGCCACUAUGCUGAUUAGAAGGGCGCCAAGGUUCGGUUCGUCAAUCUGAUGAAGAAAUUCAGUUCUAGUGCUGCUACUCCUAUGCACGUUGAAGUUCCUCAGGCUAAAGCAUCUGCUCAGCCUACUGAAGAACAUGCCAGCACUGCUGAUGACAAUCAGGCUGCUCAAGAAAAUUAGAGUACCAGGGCUGAUGACUCCAUUUCAGCCGCUGAAGAUAUUGCCAGGGCAUUCACUAGUGGUGCGCCUGAAGAAAGUGAAGAAGUCAGGGCAACUACAUCAGUUGCGCCUGAAGAAAAUGAUCCAAAGUCCUCUGCACCUCCUGCGCCUACACCAACUCUGAUCCUUCCAUCUGCAUCAGAUGCGAAGAAGACUAAGGCUGCAGAGCAUGCAACUGUGAAGAAAAGGAAGGCAUCAACUUCAUCAAAUUCUUCAGCUCCGAAAAAGAUGAAGCCUCUGACUAGUUCAAUUGACAACCCAAUUGAUGUCGUUCCAGUCUCUUUCAUGCCAUCAAAGGACCUUGUUCCUUUUGGUGAAGAUUGUGUGAUUCCCAAUGAAUCUGAUGAAGAAACUCCUUCUGCUUCUUCGACAGAGCAGUUGGACGAAGAAAUUGAAGUGGAUGCAAUCCCUUCAACCCUAAUCAUUUCCUCACCUAUGCCUCAGUUCCCUGCUGAAGAGGCAGGUGUUGAAGAAAUGGAAGAUGAGGAUGUGGACAUCGGUUGUACCACUCCUGUGCUCAAUGAUGACUUUUGGGAAAGUCAGCACCCCAACUCUCCAAUGUUCACUUCACUCCAAGUAAUUCCUCAGUCCCCAGCUGCUACUGAAGUGCAAAUGGGAUCUAAAGAACCUCAUGCAACCCCAAGUGUUCAUGAAGAAAUUCCAGCCACUAGUGCUGAAGAAAUUGUCAAUGAAGAAUUGAAGACCCAGGCUGAAGCUGCAGACGAGCCUGAAAUUCCUCUGCCUGAGGAACCUGAGAUUGCGAUUCCUGAGGUGAUGAUGCAAUUGGCUGACACUCCUCAGCCCAAGCCAAAGGAUCCCUUCUCAAAGAAUCAAAAAUUCAAGGCUGAUGAUUUCUUCGGCGAGCAUGUGUUCUUCACUAAAUUCAACCCAUAUGACAAUGCUCAUCUUAGAAGGAAGCAUUUCUGGACUGCCAGCCAGGCCAACUUCUAUUCCUCAUUGCUUUUCAACAAGGACAAAGUCUUCGACCACGAGCACAUUCCUCACGUGGACAUGGAAUCAAUGCCUUGCUUCUCUCAAGUCCUCAGUAUGCUUCAUGAUGCAGGCUUGCUCAACUUUUGUUCAGACAUAGUUGAUUGGAAUGAAGAGCUCAUUCUUCAGUUCUACGCAAUGCUGCAUAUCACAUGUGAUGCUGCUGACGUCAACUCUUGGGUGUUGGACUGGAUGACUGAAAACACUCAUUAUAAGGCACCAGCCUCUGAAUUGCUUCGUGCCCUGCCAAUCAGUUCUCCACCUGACGGUGCUCGUUGUCUGUAUGAUGAGCCUGAACUCACUGCUCACUAUAUGCAAGUGCUCAUGAAGCCUCUGAAGCCUGGUCAAGCCCCAAGGACCAAAUUCCUCGUGAAGGAAUUGCUCUAUGUGCUAAGAACCAUCUAUCGCAUUCUGACGAAGACCGUGAGUCCUAUCAAAGGCCAUGACUCAUUCGAUGAAGAAAUUAUUGGGACGAUGAAGAAUAUGCUAUUCAACAUAAUGCAUGGCAUCCCCAUAAACUAUCAUGAUUUCUUCAUGAGGACCCUGGCGAAUGUUGCACUUUCACCAUUUGAGCUGAAGCCUUACGCACCAUGGAUCAUGAGAUUCCUCAGAACAAGGUCUUCACUCAACUACAAGGCUGACUUUCAGAAUCACCUCAGCUACUUGCCCCCGAUUGAAGUCCUCAAGUGGACAUUUUCCUCAACUGAUGAGAAGGGCAAGUCCCCAACCAUUAUCGAUGAAGGCAUUCGUCUAUUGGAUGGUCAGUUCCGCAAAGCUGCAUCUUAUUCCACCAAUGAUGACUCUGCCACACAUGAUUCUGCUGCCAAUGCUCCCAAGUCAAGUCCUCAAGCUACUGCUCCUCGUGUGAUGACUGACCGUGAACUGCUGCUAAGUCUUCACCAGAAGGUGGAUCGAAACCACAAAUGGGUUAAGCGUCAGUUUGGCUCAAUUCUUCACAACAUGACUUCUACACAUAAUGCAGUGAAGAAAAACCAUUACUACCUCCAUGAAGUUUUUGAUCGCACCUGGGCUAUUCUGUCACAUCUAUAUGGUGAAGAAGAUCUGAAGCAAAUGGGCUUCAAGGAAGAUUUUGACUGGUCUGCUCCUCCACCGAAGAAAUACAAGAAGGCCAAGGUUCCUUCCUUGGUGGCCAGUUCAUAUUCUUCAUCACGCGCCACAGACGAAUAUGAAUACUUGGACGACACUGCAGCAGGCCCUACAACGACUCAAGACACUGACAACGCUGGCGCUCCUCCAUCAUCAUGAUAUUCUUCAGGGCCGUUAGUCCUCAUUUUCAACCCUUUUGGUCAUUCGAUGACAAAGGGGGAGAUAUUUGAGUUAGUCUUCAAGCGGGUCUAUCUUAUAUGGGCGUUUUUUGCUAAGUUACAACUCUCGUUCUUCUGAUGACUUUGCUAGAUCGAGUUGUAAUCUUAAACUCUAUGGUGGCCUGAUACUUUUGUUGUGUUCUUCUGCAUGCUUAUUCCUCAUUAAUGUUAAUGCACGCAUGCUGAAUUAUAUCAGUCACCAUAUUUCAUCAUGCAUUUCAAAUUCUUCAUAUUAUAUGUCAAAUGCAUGUAUGAAUUACAGGAUAUAGGGGGAGAUCUCCAAUGAUUAUACUCUUCAAGUGUGCAUUGCUUCAAAAGCAAAUUCCUCACUAUGCACAUCUUCAGGGGGAGUUCUUCUAUAUCUUGCAAUCAAAUUACUUAAUAUUAGUAUUUACACUUCAUAUGUUUAUCCCCGUUGAAUACUUAACCUAUAUUGUCAUCAAUCACCAAAAAGGGGGAGAUUGUAAGUGCAUCUAGUGCCCCUUAGUGAUUUUGGUGUAUUGAAGGCUUAUAGGUUAAGGGACUGAUGCGUUUGUGAGCGUACAUAGGUCUAUAAGUCUAUGAGGAGUUUGAUAUUUACAGAGAAAGUCGACCCCUAAAAAUGAAGUUCUUCAACUGAAGACUUUGGAUUUCUGAGGACUUUCUGAAGACUUUGAAAGUGAAGAAAUUGGUGUAACCUUGAAGAGUUGGCAAUAAUUCGAGUGUAGCGACCCGACCUCAGAUGGUCAAGUCUCUGUGCUUCUGUGUCAUCCCUGGAUCGGUAAUGCUGACACACACAGUACUCGAAGGAUUUAUAACAGAGUAGCAAUCACACACUUAUUACAUCGAAUGUCUCAAAAGAGAACUAUUACAAUAAUAUGGCUUAAGGCCAUCUAAUGCGAUAACAGCGGAAGGCUUGGAAGAUAAAGUGAGUCCAUCAACUCCAACGGCAUAGCUGAGCUGCACGGCAACGACCUACGAACCUUACUCCUCGUCUGAAAAGUCUGCAACAUAAUACGUUGCAGCCCGAGAACGGGUCAGCACAUGGAAUAUGCGGGCAGUGUAACACAAAAGAGCAAUAACAGAAUAAUGCUACCACUACAUGCAUAUUAGGCUGGUGGAAAAGCUCUAUGGUUACAAUUUUGCGAAAAGCCAUUUUUUCCCUACAACAAAGGAAUAUAAUUUAAUUUAACUAUCAUGGUGGUUGAAACAUCAUUUGAGAAGGUAACCCCAACUCAAGAUCCCAAUUAAAAUAGUUAACAUCCCAAGCAAUAUUAAUUAAGAGUGUUGAGAUACAUGCGAAUACUCAAGUACUAGAUACUCAGAAUUGUCCAUAACCGGGGACACGGCUAACCAUGAUUAGAUUGUACACUCUGCAGAGGUUUGCGCUCUUCAACUUCCUCCACGUUAACGUGGUUCACUUGUCCUUUGUUGAAUGGAUUGGGCUUCUUCCCUGCGCUCCCAUUUCCAUUGCCAUUCUUUCCUUCAGAGCAGUCAUUGGCAUAAUGCCCUGUCUUCCCGCACUUGUAGCAAACAACUUGGCUUAAGUCCCUCUUUGCGGGUGUAGAUGGGUUAGAGCGAUUCUGAUUAUUGUUGGCUCCAUUCCCAUUCCCGUUCUUCGCACCAUUAUGGUUAUGCGAUCCUCCUCCAGCAUGGUUAUGACUUCCAUGGUUAUGAACAAGUCCUCCCGAGUUCGGGGUCAAGCGGGGCUUCUGGUAAGCUCCUGAGUUGUAUUUCCCUUGUCCAUAUUUCCUCUUACGGCUCUCAAUUUGCUGCUGCUUUCCUUCAAUCAUUAGGGCCUUAUCUACCAACUCCUGGUAGUUGUUGAAGGUUGCCACCAUCAACUGCAUACUCAUCUCAUCAUUCAGCCCUUCCAUAAACUUCUCCUGCUUCGCGGCAUCUAUGGCCACAUCAUCAGGGGCAUAACGUGAUAACUUGCUAAACUCAUCCACGUACUGGCCCAUAGUACGGUUCCCCUUGCGUAGAUUGCGGAACUCACGCUUCUUCAUCUGCAUAGCUCCAGUCGAGACAUGGGCCCUGCGAAAAGCCUGCUGAAACUGAGCCUAUGUGACAGUGUCGAUAGGAUAGGUGGCUGUGAAAUUCUCCCACCAAGCUGUUGCAGGUCCAUCCAGUUGGUGUGCGGCAAAACGCACCUUCUCAGCAUCUGUGCAUCCUGCGGUGGUUAACUCCCUUCCAAUACGAUGUAACCAAUCAUCUGUAACUAUUGGCUCAAUGCUACUAGAGAACACCGGCGGCUGUAACCUUAAGAAACGGGCGAGGUUAUCCACUGGCGGCGGGUUGUUGUUGUUGGCAUUGUUGUUAUUGGCAUUGCCCUGGUUCUGAACUAGCAAUUGCAUCAAGGCAUUCUGCUACUGGAUCAACUGGGUGAUCUCCGGAGGGAAAACAAAAUCGGGGUCUCUUCUCGGAGGCAUCUGAUGGGUUUAGAUGGAAGAGAUUAGAAUAGAAAAGGUCUAGGGGAGAAACACUACCCAUAUGCAUAUGAGGCAAACACAAGCAUUCAUUCAAUCAAUCAAGCAAGGGCAUACAAAACGGUCUAGAACUAUCGCAAAAGUGCUCACUACUACUAGUUACAUGGGGGAAUACUAUUAUCAUAUGGUGGUCAUCUAGAAGUUUUGAUCGGUGGAAGACUCCAUAAUGUCUGCUCCAGCUUCAUCUUCAUAGUCAUCAUCACUUGAAUCUGAAUCGGUGUCGUCGAUGAUGAUGUAGUUGUCUGGACGAAUGAGGUCUUCUCUUGGAACUGGUCCUCCCAUGAAAAUUCCGAUCUUCUCGACUAGGUCGUCAUUCUUCUCCAAUAGGAUCUUGAUUUCCUCCUCAUAUCCAUCGCGUGUGGACUUAAGUUCUUCCUCCAGCUCGAUGAACCUAGUUUUCUCCUUCUUCAACUCGAUCAUGUCUGUGCACAUCUAGUUUUCCUGAUAUCGAAUGUGCUGGUUUUGCUCCUGGAUAAAGGAUGCGACAGAUCUAUCCUUCCUGGUGCUGAUCAUCUCCCAUUGUUCAUCUCGAUGCCCACAUAUUUGAUAGGUGGUAUCCUCAAGUUCCUUGUUGUAGAUUUCUCCAAUGCGUCCCAUGGUGAUAUGAGCUGCCAUACUCUUGCCAAGGCUCCAAGUGGGGGCUUCGAAAGAAAACUCUAUGGGUUUAGAAUUUGGCGAGAACGUCCUUCCUGGAACUCGUACUUGAAUCAUCUAGCGCUCUUCUUCUGGUAGAGUGGCGUUGUACGUCCCAGUGAAGCUUGGUAUUCCAAUAUUCAAGUACCUAGUGACUUCCUUCAAGUGGCGCCCAAAAGGUGUGUCUUCAUCCGGUUGUGCAAACUUGUUCUUCUUAUCCUUCAUCCUAAAGAGUGGAAAAAGAAGAGGAGCCAAAAAUGAGAGUAGAAGUGUGACCUAUGGUUUAUCUUAGUGGUCGUGUCCUACACUCAGCGUGUGCUCUGAUACCAUCUUAUAGCGACCCGACCUCAGAUGGUCAAGUCUCUGUGCUUCCGUGUCAUCCCUGGAUCAGUAAUGCUGACACACACAGUACUCGAAGGAUUUAUAACAGAGUAGCAAUCACACACUUAUUACAUCGAAUGUCUCAAAAGAGAACUGUUACAAUAAUAUGGCUUAAGGCCAUCUAAUGCGAUAACAGCGGAAGGCUUGGAAGAUAAAGUGAGUCCAUCAACUCCAACGGCAUAGCUGAGCUGCACGGCAACGACCUAUAAACCUUACUCCUCGUUUGAAAAGUCUGCAACAUAAUACGUUGCAGCCCGAGAAUGGGUCAGCACAUGGAAUAUGCUGGCAAUGUAACACAAAAGAGCAAUAACAGAAUAAUGCUACCACCACAUGCAUAUUUGGCUGGUGCAAAAGCUCUAUGGUUACAAUUUUGCGAAAAGCCAAUUUUUCCCUACAACAAAGGAAUAUAAUUUUAAUUUAACUAUCAUGGUGGUUGAAACAUCAUUUGAGAAGGUAACCCCAACUCAAUGAUCCCAAUUAAAAUAGUUAACAUCCCAAGCAAUAUUAAUUAAGAGUGUUGAGAUACAUGCGAAUACUCAAGUACUAGAUACUCAGAAUUGUCCAUAACCGGGGACACAGCUAACCAUGAUUAGAUUGUACACUCUGCAGAGGUUUGCGCACUUUUCCCCGCAAGACUCGAUCACCUCCGUUUGUUUCCUCAUACUACAUGGUGUUUCAGAAACGGAUGACCGAGACACAGUCUUUCAAAAACAUUAACUCUCUACUCCGGGCAGACCAUACCAAACCUACAAAACCCACUACCUGCUGAUCCACCUCUUCAAGAGCUUCACGUAACUUACUCAACUAUGCUAGAGCCCAUAAUAGCUUGCGGCUGCACACGGAAAUUUCUAGCAUGAAUAGACUCAGUUCCCUUUGAGCCUGGGUGGCGGUCCAUAGGAGAAUCACACGGUAACCCCGGGAUUUGCAAAAAUAAAGCAGGCAAUCACUGGAUACCCCAGGUGCCUCAAUCCACCCAGAUGUGUAUUAAAGUUGCCACCUUAAGUAAACCAUUAAUUAACAAUCUCACAUCUGUCAUGGAAAUCACUCAAACCCAAUCCACGUCUAUGAGCAUAGCAUGGCAACAUAAGCAUAACGUAGAAGUAACUCCCAAGGGUUUGAUAAUAAACAGGGCAAUAGGUUCUACCUCAGCAACUACCUCCCAAUACCCACAUGUUAAAGGCAUCCUAAUCAUGCAAUGUUUGAGGAUUGAAACUAAUGCAUAAAAACUGGGUAUGUAAAGAGUAUGAUCAAUGUGUUACUUGCCUUGCUGACGAUCCGUGUAUCCUAGAGACUCGUAGUAACACGCUUCGCACUUCGGGAAUUCUAUCACAAGCAAACAAUAACAUACAUAAGCAACAAUCAAAGAUGCACAAGUAGAACUCCAAAUAAAAUAGUUUUACCGGAGAGUUCAACUUAAGAACUCCGGUUUGCAAAAAGAAUCAAAUCAAACGGAGCAACGAAACUCAAACGGCCAAAGAAACAAGAUCCGUUAACUAAUCUGAACUAGGGUCAAAUUUUACAGAGAUAAAAACUUGUUUGGGUUGAUUAUUCGGAAGGAGAGUCUCGAGAUGAAACUCCAGGCGCUUGAAUCGCCUAAUUCCGAUAAACGAGCGAAAAGAUAAACAUGUUUGAACAUCGGAUCAGAAAUCGCGAUCAGAAUAAUCGCGGAAUAAAUCCGAUAAAAAGAAAAACGGCAAACUGCUAAACGAACGAACGUUCAUUAACAGAAACUAAACAGUGAACGCAUUCGUUAGAACGAACGGACAAACAAACGUUCGCUAAGUAAAUAAACCAAAGAAAUAAAACCGAUCUAUAUAAAAAAUCGAUCUAGGUUUUUCAAAAAAACCGAAGGGUUUUCUAAAAAACCGGCGGCGGGGCGGGUACCUCCGACGAGGUCGUCCGGCGAGGCGGGCGGCUCCGGCGGGGCUCGGCGAGGGGCGGCGGGGCUUUGGGGAGGGCGCGGGGUGGCGGUGUGAGGCGGCGGCGGCGCUAGGGCGGCGGCGGCGACUCGGCNNNNNNNNNNNNNNNNNNNNNNNNNNNNNNNNNNNNNNNNNNNNNNNNNNNNNNNNNNNNNNNNNNNNNNNNNNNNNNNNNNNNNNNNNNNNNNNNNNNNNNNNNNNNNNNNNNNNNNNNNNNNNNNNNNNNNNNNNNNNNNNNNNNNNNNNNNNNNNNNNNNNNNNNNNNNNNNNNNNNNNNNNNNNNNNNNNNNNNNNNNNNNNNNNNNNNNNNNNNNNNNNNNNNNNNNNNNNNNNNNNNNNNNNNNNNNNNNNNNNNNNNNNNNNNNNNNNNNNNNNNNNNNNNNNNNGCUCCGGGCUCCGGGAGGCGGCGGCGGCUCGGGUGGUGGCGGGGGUGGUGGCGAGGUGGCGGGGCGGCGGUAUUUAAGGAGGGGGGCUGCUCCGGCUUGGGGAAGGGGGCGCCCGGGGUGGAGUCCGGCUCGGACUCCCCUCGGCGUCCGUGCGGCGCACGACGGCGCGCGCGGGGAGGCGGCGGCGGUGGUGGCUGGGCCGGCCUGCUCGGCUGGGCCUUUGGCCCAGUCGGGCGCGAGGGUUUUUUUAAAACAUUCCGCCGAAAGAAAAAUUCCUAGAAAAAUAAAUAAAAAUCUAAAAAUUCCAAAACAAGUUUUCUCCGUCUAAAUAAAAUAUUUAGAACAGGAUGAACUUUUCUUGGCCCCUAAAAUGCAAUUUUUAAAACGUGCAAAUUUUUCUAGGGCAAAUAAAAUCCAAAAAUGAUUUUAACAUUUUUCCUCCGAUAUUUCAGUUGUUUUGGAGAAGUCAUAUUAUCUCCCCUCAUUUAUUAUUUUAAAAUGAAAUAUUUUCCAGAGAGAAAAUAAUUAAAAUCAAAAUCCUCGUCUUCUCUAUUUGAUAAAAAUUUUAAAUAUGAAAAUUGGAAAAUCCCCAACUCUCUCCGAGGGUCCUUGAGUUGCUUAGGAUUUCAAGGAUUGCAACCGGAAAAACCAUAAAAUAUGAUAUGCAUGAAUGACCUAUGUAUAACAUGCCAAAUUGGAAAUUUGGGAUGUUACAAACCUACCCCCCUUAAGAUGAAUCUCGCCCUCGAGAUUCGGGUUGGCUAGAAGAUAGGUGCGGAUGGUCCUUGCGAAUAUCCUCUUCUCGCUCCCAGGUGGCUUCCUCCUCAGUAUGAUGACUCCACUGAACUUUGCAGAACUUGAUCACCUUGUUGCGAGUGACUCGACUAUCAAACUCAAGAAUCUUUACUGGCUUCUCCUCAUAGGUCAGGUUAUUAUCCAGCUGAAUCGCUUCCAAAGGUACUGUAUCCUGCAAAGGUAUAUCGGCUAUCUCAGCGUGGCACUUCUUCAGCUGAGAUACGUGAAACACAUCGUGAACUCCUGACAAUCCUUUAGGUAACUCCAGCUUGUAAGCAACUUCUCCCAUCCGUACCAAAAUACAAUAUGGUCCUACAAACCUCGGGGCUAACUUUCCCUUAACUCCAAAACGUUUUACUCCCCUCAAGGGUGAUACUCGUAGAUAAGCUCUGUCUCCAAUCCCAUAGGUUACUUCCUUGCGUUUUGAAUCUGCAUAACUCUUCUGUCUGGAAUGAGCAAUCUUUAGUCUAUCUCUGACCAGUUUAACUUUCUCCUCUGAUUCCUUGAUCAAAUCUGGUCCAAACAACUGACGAUCUCCUACCUCAUCCCACAUUAAGGGCAUUCUACAUCUGCAUCCAUACAGAGCUUCGAACGGUGCCAUCUUCAAACUGGCCUGAUAGCUGCUGUUAUAAGAGAACUCUGCGUACGGUAAAUUGUCAUCCCAACUAGAUCCAUAAUCUAGCGUACAGGCUCUUAACAUGUCUUCCAGAAUCUGGUUGACUCUUUCUGUCUAUCCAUCGGUCUGAGGGUGAAAAGCGGUGCUGAAUUCCAAACGGGUACCCAAAGUCUGGUGUAGCUGAUGCCAAAACUUUGAAGUAAACUGGGUUCCUCUAUCUGAUAUGAUGCUCCUCGGAACUCCAUGUAAACAUAUGAUCCUGGUCAUAUAUAUCUUGGCCAACUUUGCACUUGUAUACGUUCUUUUCACCGGAAUGAAGUGAGCUACUUUAGUCAAUCGAUCCACAACUACCCACAUAGAAUCAUAUCCUGCAUUGGUUUUGGGUAAUCCGGUAAUAAAGUCCAUACCAAGUUUGUCCCACUUCCAUUCCGGUAUUGGCAUAGGCUGUAACAGUCCUGCUGGCUUCUGAUGCUCUACCUUCACUCUCUGACAUACACCACAUACGGCUACAUACUCGGCAAUAUCCUUCUUCAUUCCAGUCCACCAGAAACGUUCCUUCAAGUCCAGAUACAUCUUGGUGUUUCCGGGGUGAAUCGAGUAUGGUGAGUCAUGGGCCUCUUGAAGUAUCAAAUUCCUGAUCUCCGAAUUGUUGGGCACAUAAAUCCGAUCCUCAAACCACAAGGUAUCGUGCUCAUCCUCGCGAAAACCUUUGGCUUUACCUUCGCCCAUCCUCUCUCUUAUCUCAGCAAUCUCAUUGUCCUCCUUCUGAGCUUCUCGAAUCUUGUCCAACAAUGUCGACUGAACCUCCAUUGCUGCAAGAAAGCCUUUCGGUACAAUCUCCAACCAAAGUUCCAUGAUUUCUGCAGCUAACUCCUUUGGCAUUCCCUUGCUCACAAGAACAUUAGCAUAACUCUUCUGGCUCAAUGCGUUUGCUACGACAUUGGCUUUUCCCGUAUGAUAAUGUAGCUUCAUAUCGUAAUCCUUUAUAAGUUCCAACCAUCUCCUCAGCCUGAGGUUCAACUCCUUCUGUGUGAAAAUGUACUUCAAGCUCUUAUGAUCCGUGUACACAUCACACCAGUUUCCAAUAAGAUAAUGUCUCCAGGUCUUUAGCGCAUGCACUACGGCUGCUAACUCCAAAUCAUGCGUGGCAUAGUUCAACUCAUGUGGCUUCAGUUGUCGUGAGGCAUACGAAACAACUUUUCCUUCCUGCAUAAGCACACAUCCAAGUCCCAUGCGAGAGGCGUCACAAUACACUUGAAACUCCUUAUGUAUAUCUGGCAAGGUUAGUACUGGGUCCGUAGUCAAUCGCUUCUUCAGCUCUUGAAAACUUGUCUCGCACUCCUCCGUCCAUUUGAACUUAGUAUCCUUCUUUAACAAUUCAGUCAUUGGUUUAGCAAUCUUGGAAAAAUUCUCAAUGAAUCUCCGAUAAUAUCCUGCCAGUCCAAGGAAACUGCGGAUCUCGCCAACUGAAGUGGGUGCCAACCAUUCAGUGACUGACUGAACCUUACUAGGAUCCACUGCUAUACCCUUUCCGGAUAUAACAUGCCCAAGAAAUCCAACUUCUUGCAACCAAAACUCGCACUUGCUGAAUUUGGCGUAUAACUGGUGUUCCCUGAGUUUCUCGAGAACCAAACGCAAGUGUUCUGCGUGCUCCUCUUCGUUCUUCGAGUAUAUCAUAAUAUCAUCAAUGAAUACCACAAUGAACUUGUCCAAAUACUCCAUGAACACCUUGUUCAUCAUACUCAUGAAAUAAGCAGGGGCGUUAGUCAGUCCAAAUGACAUGACCGUAUACUCAUAUAAUCCAUACCGCGUGGUAAAUGUUGUCUUGGGUAUAUCCUUCUCUCGGAUCUUCAACUGAUGGUAUCCCGAUCGUAGAUCAAUCUUUGAAAACACCCUAGCUCCUUGUAACUGAUCAAACAGAUCAUUAAUCAUCGGUAAGGGAUACUUGUUCUUUAUCGUUACUUCAUUAAGAGCUCGGUAAUCAACAACCAUCCUCAGGGAUUUAUCCUUCUUCUCCACCAAAAGUACUGGGGCUCCCCAAGGUGAUGAGCUUCUACGAAUGUAGCCUUUCUCCAACAACUCUUUGAUCUGCUUCUUAAUUUCCUCCAAAUCAUUUGCGGGCAUCCGAUAGGGUCUCUUGGAUAUCGGUCAUGUACCUGGCAAUAGCUCUAUCAAGAACUCGAUAUCUCUAUCCGGUGGCAUGCCUGGUAAUUCUUCGGGAAAAACAUCCGGAAAAUCCUUUACUACAGGCACUUCCUCCUGUACAACUCCCGUGAGGGUGUUUACUUGUCUCCCCUUAGGCGCAUGCCUAGAUAUGUACUUAAUCCUUUUUCCCUCUGGGGUGGUGAGAUAAAUUGACUUACUAGCACAGUCAAUACUUCCUCCAUACUUCGACAUCCAGUCCAUACCUAAUAUCACAUCCAAUCCUUGUGACUCCAAGAUAAUUAGGUCAGACGGAAAUACAUGGGUGCCAAUGAUUAGGGGUAUCUGGGUGCACCAUCUGCUAGCCAUGUACUCUGCUCCCGGUGAGCUUACUAAAAGGGGUGUCCUAAGGGUUUGGGUUGGUAACUUAAACUUUUCCACAAAUCCCCUUGAUAUGUAUGAAUGCGAUGCACCAGUAUCGAAAAGAACAAUUGUGGUAAAUGACUGAACCAAAACUUUACCUAUUACCGCGUCUGGCUGCUCUUCAACUUCCUCCACGUUAACGUGGUUCACUUGUCCUUUGUUGAAUGGAUUGGGCUUCUUCCCUGUGCUCCCAUUUCCAUUGCCAUUCUUUCCUUCAGAGCAGUCAUUGGCAUAAUGCCCUGUCUUCCCACACUUGUAGCAAACAACUUGGCUUAAGUCCCUCUUUGCGGGUGUAGAUGGGUUAGAGCGAUUCUGAUUAUUGUUGGCUCCAUUCCCAUUCCCGUUCUUCGCGCCAUUAUGGUUAUGCAAUCCUCCUCUAGCAUGGUUAUGACUUCCAUGGUUAUGAACAAGUCCUCCCGAGUUCGGGGUCAAGCGGGGCUUCUGGUAAGCUCCUGAGUUGUAUUUCCCUUGUCCAUAUUUCCUCUUACGGCUCUCAAUUUACUGCUGCUUCCUUCAAUCAUUAGGGCCUAAUCUACCAACUCCUGGUAGUUAUUGAAGGUUGCCACCAUCAACUGCAUACUCAUCUCAUCAUUCAGCCCUUCCAUAAACUUCUCCUGCUUCGCGGCAUCUGUGGCCACAUCAUCAGGGGCAUAACGUGAUAACUUGCUAAACUCAUCCACGUACUGGCCCACAGUAUGGUUCCCCUGGCGUAGAUUGCGGAACUCACGCUUCUUCAUCUGCAUAGCUCCAGUCGAGACUUGGGCCGUGCGAAAAGCCUGCUGAAACUGAUCCCAUGUGACAGUGUCGAUAGGAUAGGUGGCUGUGAAAUUCUCCCACCAAGCUGCUGCAGGUCCAUCCAGUUGGUGUGCGGCAAAACGCACCUUCUCAGCAUCUAUGCAUCCUGCGGUGGUUAACUCCCUUCCAAUACGACGUAACCAAUCAUCUGCAACUAUUGGCUCGAUGCUACUGGAGAACACCGGCGGCUGUAACCUUAAGAAACGGGCGAGGUUAUCCACUGGCGGCGGGUUGUUGUUGUUGGCAUUGUUGUUAUUGGCAUUGCCCUGGUUCUGAACUAGCAAUUGCAUCAAGGCAUUCUGCUGCUAGAUCAACUGGGUGAUCUCCGGAGGGAAAAAAUCGGGGUCUCUUCUCGGAGGCAUCUGAUGGGUUUAGAUGGAAGAGAUUAGAAUAGAAAAGGUCUAGGGAGAAACACUACCCAUAUGCAUAUGAGGCAAACACAAGCAUUCAUUCAAUCAAUCAAGCAAGGGCAUACAAAACGGUCUAGAACUAUCGCAAAAGUGCUCACUACUACUAGUUACAUGGGGCAAUACUAUUAUCAUAUGGUGGUCAUCUAGAAGUUUUGAUCGAUGGAAGACUCCAUAAUGUCUGCUCCAGCUUCAUCUUCAUAGUCAUCAUCACUUGAAUCUGAAUCGGUGUCGUCGAUGAUGAUGUAGUUGUCUGGACGAAUGAGGUCUUCUCUUGGAACUGGUCCUCCCAUGAAAAUUCCAAUCUUCUCGACUAGGUCGUCAUUCUUCUCCAAUAGGAUCUUGAUUUCCUCCUCAUAUCCAUCGCGUGUGGACUUAAGUUCUUCCUCUAGCUCGAUGAUCCUAGUUUUCGCGUUCUUCAACUCAAUCAUGUAUGCGCACAUCUGGUUUUCCUGACGUCGAAUGUGCUGGUUUUGCUCCUGGAUAAAGGCUGCGACAGAUCUAUCCUUCCUGGUGCUGAUCAUCUCCCAUUGUUCAUCUCGGCGCCCACAUAUUUGAUAGGUGGUAUCCUCAAGUUCCUUGUUGUAGAUUUCUCCAAUGCGUCCCAUGGUGAUAUGAGCUGCUAUACUCUUGCCAAGGCUCCAAGUGGGGGCUUCGAAAGAAAACUCUAUGGGUUUAGAAUUUGGCGAGAACGUCCUUCCUGGAACUUGUACUUGAAUCAUCCAGCGCUCUUCUUCUGGUAGAGUGGCGUUGUACGUCCCGGUGAAGCUUGGUAUUCCAAUAUUCAAGUACCUAGUGACUUCCUUCAAGUGGCGCCCAAAAGGUGUGACUUCAUCCGGUUGUGCAAACUUGUUCUUCUUAUCCUUCAUCCUAAAGAGUGGAAAAAGAAGAGGAGUCAGAAAUGAGAGGAGAAGUGUGACCUAUGGUUUAUCUUAGUGGUCGUGUCCUACACUCAGCGUGUGCUCUGAUACCAUCUUGUAGCGACCCGACCUCAGAUGGUCAAGUCUCUAUGCUUCCGUGUCAUCCCUGGAUCGGUAAUGCUGACACACACAGUACUCGAAGGAUUUAUAACAGAGUAGCAAUAACACACUUAUUACAUCGAAUGUCUCAAAAGAGAACUAUUACAAUAAUAUGGCUUAAGGCCAUCUAAUGCGAUAACAGCGGAAGGCUUGGAAGAUAAAGUGAGUCCAUCAACUCCAACGGCAUAGCUGAGCUGCACGGCAACGACCUACGAACCUUACUCCUCGUCUGAAAAGUCUGCAACAUAAUAUGUUGCAGCCCGAGAACGGGUCAGCACAUGGAAUAUGCUGGCAAUGUAACACAAAAGAGCAAUAACAGAAUAAUGCUACCACCACAUGCAUAUUUGGCUGGUGGAAAAGCUCUAUGGUUACAAUUUUGCGAAAAGCCAAUUUUUCCCUACAACAAAGGAAUAUAAUUUUAAUUUAACUAUCAUGGUGGUUGAAACAUCAUUCGAGAAGGUAACCCCAACUCAAUGAUCCCAAUUAAAAUAGUUAACAUCCCAAGCAAUAUUAAUUAAGAGUGUUGAGAUACAUGCGAAUACUCAAGUACUAGAUACUCAGAAUUGUCCAUAACCGGGGACACGGCUAACCAUGAUUAGAUUGUACACUCUGCAGAGGUUUGCGCACUUUUCCCCGCAAGACUCGAUCGCUUCCGUUUGUUUCCUCGUACUACAUGGUGUUUGAGAAACGGAUGACCGAGACACAGUCUUUCAAAAACAUUAACUCUCUACUCCGGGCAGACCAUACCAAACCUACAAAACCCACUACCUGCUGAUCCACCUCUUCAAGAGCUUCACGUAACUUACUCAACUAUGCUAGAGCCCAUAAUAGCUUGCGGCUGCACACGGAAAUUUCUAGCAUGAAUAGACUCAGUUCCCUUUGAGCCUGGGUGGCGGUCCAUAGGAGAAUCACACGGUAACCCCGGGAUUUGCAAAAAUAAAACAAGCAAUCACUGGAUACCCCAGGUGCCUCAAUCCACCCAGAUGUGUAUUAAAGUUGCCACCUUAAGUAAACCAUUAAUUAAAAAUCUCACAUCUGUCAUGGAAAUCACUCAAACCCAAUCCACGUCUACGAGCAUAGCAUGGCAAUAUAAGCAUAACGUAGAAGUAACUCCCAAGGGUUUGAUAAUAAACAGGGCAAUAGGUUCUACCUCAGCAACUACCUCCCAAUACCCACAUGUUAAAGGCAUCCUAAUCAUGCAAUGUUUGAGGAUUGAAACUAAUGCAUAAAAACUGGGUAUGUAAAGAGUAUGAUCAAUGUGUUACUUGCCUUGCUGACGAUCCGUGUAUCCUAGAGACUCGUAGUAACACGCUUCGCACUCUGGGAAGUCUAUCACAAGAAAACAAUAACAUACAUAAGCAACAAUCAAAGAUGCAUAAGUAGAACUCCAAAUAAAAUAGUUUGACCGGAGAGUUCAACUUAAGAACUCCGGUUUGCAAAAAGAAUCAAAUCAAACGGAGCAACGAAACUCAAACGGCAAAAGAAACAAGAUCCGUUAACUAAUCUGAACUAGGGUGAAAUUUUACAGAGAUAAAAACUUGUUUGGGUUGAUUAUUCGGAAGGAGAGUCUCGAGAUGAAACUCCAGGCGCUUGAAUCGCCUAAUUCCGAUAAACGAGCGAAAAGAUAAACAUGUUUGAACAUCGGAUCAGAAAUCGCGAUCAGAAUAAUCGCGGAAUAAAUCCGAUAAAAAGAAAAACGGCGAACUGCUAAACAAACGAACGUUCGUUAACAGAAACUAAACAGUGAACGCGUUCGUUAGAACGAACGGACGAACAAACGUUCGCUAAGUAAAUAAACCGAAGAAAUAAAACCGAUCUAUAUAAAAAAAAUCGAUCUAGGGUUUUCAAAAAAACCCGAAGGGUUUUCUAAAAAAACGGCGGCGGGGCGGGUACCUCCGACGAGGUCGUCCGGCGAGGCGGGCGGCUCCGACGGGGCUCGGCGAGGGGCGGCGGGGCUUUGGGGAGGGCGCGGGGUGGCGGUGUUAGGCGGCAGCGGUGCUAGGGCGGCGGCGNNNNNNNNNNNNNNNNNNNNNNNNNNNNNNNNNNNNNNNNNNNNNNNNNNNNNNNNNNNNNNNNNNNNNNNNNNNNNNNNNNNNNNNNNNNNNNNNNNNNNNNNNNNNNNNNNNNNNNNNNNNNNNNNNNNNNNNNNNNNNNNNNNNNNNNNNNNNNNNNNNNNNNNNNNNNNNNNNNNNNNNNNNNNNNNNNNNNNNNNNNNNNNNNNNNNNNNNNNNNNNNNNNNNNNNNNNNNNNNNNNNNNNNNNNNNNNNNNNNNNNNNNNNNNNNNNNNNNNNNNNNNNNNNNNNNNNNNNNNNNNNNNNNNNNNNNNNNNNNNNNNNNNNNNNNNNNNNNNNNNNNNNNNNNNNNNNNNNNNNNNNNNNNNNNNNNNNNNNNNNNNNNNNNNNNNNNNNNNNNNNNNNNNNNNNNNNNNNNNNNNNNNNNNNACUCGGCGGCGGCGACUCGGGGCUCGGCUCCGGGCUCCGGGAGGCGGCGGUGGCUCGGGUGGUGGCGGGGGUGGUGGCGAGGUGGUGGGGCGACGGUAUUUAAGGAGGGGGGCUGCUCCGGCUUGGGGAAGGGGGCGCCCGGGGUGGAGUCCGGCUUGGACUCCCCUCGGCGUCCGUGCGGCGCACGGCGGCGCGCGCGGGGAGGCGGCGGCGGUGGCGGCUGGGCCGACCUGCUCGGCUGGGCCUUUGGCCCAGUCGGGCGCGAGGGUUUUUUUUAAAACAUUCCGCCGAAAGAAAAAUUCCUAGAAAAAUAAAUAAAAAUCUAAAAAUUCCAAAACAAGUUUUCUCCGUCUAAAUAAAAUAUUUAGAACAGGAUGAACUUUUCUUGGCCCCUAAAAUGCAAUUUUUAAAACGUGCAAAUUUUUCUUGGGCAAAUAAAAUCAUGAAUAAACUCAAAUAAAAUCCAAAAAUGAUUUUAACAUUUUUCCUCCGAUAUUUCAGUUGUUUUGGAGAAGUCAUAUUAUCUCCCCUCAUUUAUUAUUUUAAAAUGAAAUAUUUUCCAGAGAGAAAAUAAUUAAAAUCAAAAUCCUCGUCUUCUCUAUUUGAUAAAAUUUUCAAAUAUGAAAAUUGGAAAAUCCCCAACUCUCUCCGAGGGUUCUUGAGUUGCUUAGGAUUUCGAGGAUUGCAACCGGAAAAACCAUAAAAUAUGAUAUGCAUGAAUGACCUAUGUAUAACAUGCCAAAUUGGAAAUUUGGGAUGUUACAUCGAGGAACAUGAAGCGUGAAGACUUUUGUUUUUAUAGUUUCAUUUUCUCUUUCUUGAGUCAUAGGAAACACCGUACUGUUAAAGGGGGUCAAGAAAAUACUAAGGAAAAAUUUCCAAGUGAUGCUCAACUCAAAUCCUACACCUACCAAUCCCUUCGAGUGAAGCCAUUGGAAAUCUCAUACAGUUCAAUCCUAUUCUUCAGUGAUAGAGACGAAGUUCUUCUGGUCUCUGAGGAACUUGUUCUGAUUGAGGAGUUAGGAAUUCGCGAGUGCGGAUUGCCUACACAGUGAGGAACAUGAUAGCCCUGAGGAUUUUGAGAGUCAAAAUUCCGACCGUUGUUGUGCUAUGCGCCAGCUGUCCCAAAAUAUCUACCCACAUAACGGUCAUAUCUGACAAGGGCAUUUAUGUCUUAUCAUGUCGGGCUGCUCCCUAGGCUAUAAAUAGCCGCCCCCUACAACCACUAGCUGGUUGGUUGCUCCGAGAGAAACUGACACUUGUCAAUUGAGAGCAUCCCAUCCUCCGAGGACUUUGAGCGAAAAUCAUCAAGUGAGGAAAACCCAAACCCAACACCUACAAACCCAAAGUGAUUGAGCAUCACUGAAGAGAUUGAUCCUGCGUGGAUCCGACGGUUGUUUCCUUUGAAGACUGUGCUUUUUCCAGACGGUUAGGCGUCAAGGUCUAGAGCAUCCAAGAGGAAUUGUGGAUCGCCGAGUGACCAAGUUUGUGAAGGUCCGGAAGUCACCUGAAGACUUACCACGAGUGAUUGGGCGAGGUCUGUGUGACCUUAGCUCAAGGAGAAUACGGUGAGGAUUGUGUGUCCUCGAGUUUAAAUACUCAGCCGCUCCAACCAGAUGUACAACUAAGACAGCAGUUGGAACUGGUCUACCAAGUCAUUGUCUUCACCAAGCUUACCGGUUCUAUUUCCUCAACUCCUUCAUUUCAUCAUGUCUAUUGUUGUGUGCUUGUUCAUAUCUGUUUGAAGACUUUGACUGAAGACUUCCUCAAUUUCCUCAGUUCAAUUUCUUCAAUCUGUUCGUCUUCUUUCUUGUGUUAUCCUGUGUUUACGCUUUCUGUACUCUGUGCUUGUCUUCAUUUCAUUAUGAUGACUAUGCUUGUGUUCUGUUAUGUCUACAUUUGAGUACUUAUUCCGCUGCUAGUAGUUCUUCAUUUAGGAAUUUCCUCACCAGCAAAUUCCUCAGUGAAUAAUUCAUAAAAACUGCCUAUUCACCCCCCCCCUCUAGUCGAUAUAACGCACUUUGAAGGGCCUAAAAGUAAUGGUUCGAAGGCUCCAGUGAUGCCCUGCUGCACGUCUGCGCCAUUUCUCCUUAGUAACAAAUCCUUUGAUAGGAGUAUUUGAUGGUUGGACGUAAAGGUGGGAAACGCUAGCCUUGAAAGGAUCAAUGAUGCAACCAUAGAACAAAUAGGGAUUUUUAAUGAACCUGCAGCGAAAAAUAUGUAUGCGGUACGAAUAGGGUCAAGCUGUACUAUGGACUUUUUCCCUAGUAUGCCUCCGGCACUGCCCAAGUUAUUUUGAGUGCGUAGUUAUGUACGCGUGGUACAUAAGCCGCAACUUUAUGGGACAGUCGGCGGAGGCCGAACUGCUAAUCAAGGUCCGCAUCCGUCGAGUUAUUGCAGUGACGCGCGAACCGGACUCAUUUAGAGAUGUUGUUGGCUUUAAUGUCUGAAGAAUUAUUUGGCUUGAUAAGGCCGCCAUACACCUCGGCUGCAAGGGCCACAGUGUGCUCUUUAGUAUGGAGGGAGCGCUCCAUAUUUCCAUUGACUAUGGUAAUGCCAUGUGGUCCGGGCAUCUUAAGCUUCAAAUAAGCAUAAUGCGAAACUGCAUUAAAGCGGGAGAAAGCAGUUCGUCCGAGCAGUGCGUGAUAACCACAGCGGAAGGGGACGAUGUCGAAGAUUAAUUCUUCACUACAAAAGUUGUCUGGGGAGCCGAAUACUACCUCCAGUGUCAGUGAGACCGUACAACGAGCCUCCACCCCGGGUAUCACACCUUUAAAGGUAGUGUUACUGGGCUUGAUUCUUGAUGGGUCAAUGCCCAUUUUGCGGAUAGUGUCUUGAUAAAUCAAGUUGAGACUGCUGCCGCCGUCCAUAAGGACUCGUGUGAGGUGGUAUCCGUCAAUGAUUGGAUCAAGUACCAGGGCGGCCGAACCGCCAUGACCGAUACUGGUUGGGUGAUCCCUGCGAUCAAAAGUGAUCAGACAGGCUGACCAUGGGUUGAAUUUUGGGGUGACAGGCUCUACGGCGUAGACAUCCCUUAGUGCACACUUGCGCUCCCUUUUGGGAAUGUGAGUGACAUAGAUCAUGUUCACUGUUUUCACCUCGGGGGGAAACUACUUUUGGCCCCCGGUGUUCGGCUGAUGGGGCACAUCAUCGUCCUCACUUGGAGGUCCUUUUCCCUUGUGUUCGGUAUUUAUCAUACCGGCCUGUUUAAAAACCCAACAGUUCCUAUUGGUAUGGUUAGCAGGCUUAUCGGGUGUGCCAUGAAUCUAACAGGGCCUCUCAAGGAUUUUGUCCAAACUGGAUGGACCGUCCCUGUUGGCUUUGAAAGAUUUCUUCCGCUGACCGGAUUUAGAACCACUGAAUCCGGCAUUGACGGUCCUAUCAUCUGCGUUGUCAUUGUUGCUCUGGUGAUUGUUUUUAUUGCGGCGUGGUUUACCAUUGCCAUCCCUGGCCUCAAAAGUGCCGAGGUCGCCCGAGCUGUUGCUUCUACGAGCCAACCAGCUAUCUUCACCCGCACAGAAACGGGUCAUAAGUGCAGUUAAGGCUGUCAUGGUCUUCGGCUUCUCCUGCCCGAGGUGUCGGGCGAGCCAUUUGUCCCGGACGUUGUGUUUGAAUGCUGCUAAGGCUUCGGCGUCCGAACAAUCCAUGAUUUGAUUCUUCUUAAUUAGGAACCGAUUCCAAAGCUUGCGAGCCGAUUCACCUGGUUGUUGGAUUAUGUGACUCAAGUCAUCUGCAUCCGGUGGCCAGACAUAAGUGCCCUGAAAGUUGGCCCGAAAAGCAUCUUCCAAAUCUUGCCAGGUUCCAAUGGAGUUCUCUGGGAGGCUGUUUAGCCAGUGUCAUGGUGGUCCUUUCAGCUUUAGAGGAAGAUAUUUAAUGGCAUGGAGGUUAUCUCCAUGAGCCAUGUGAAUAUGGAGAAGAAAAUCUUCAAUCCAGACGGCCGGAUCCGUCGUUCCAUCGUACUGCAUGAUUUUCACAGGUUUAAACCCUUCCGGAAACUGUGUUGCAUUACCUCAUCGAUGAAACACAUAGGGUGUGAGGCACCCCUGUAUCAUGCGACAUCACGGCGGAGAUUGGAUGACAUCUAAGUUUGAUGCUGAUCCUGAAUAUUGUAAUGUUCAUCACACCGGACUUCAUAGCCGUUAUCUCAUGCCGGGCAAUGGCUUCUUGAUCCAUAGAUCGGUCUGGUCUGACCGGCUUUAUUGGCCAGGUCCCGUUGCAAGUCAUAUAUGUAGCCCGCAACUCCUGUCUCCUUGCCUCUCUGGUGAGGGGGUGCGGGCUGGUGUUCGGCUUGAUAAGCCGCUUUAUCCCGUCCACGUGGUGGUCGGUCUGGUUGAUCUUCCUGAUUGUAUUUCGAUGGUAUUGGCUCAAGAGCUUUGUCGUCGAAUUGUGGCAGCAGCCUGCGCUUGGGGUAACUUUUGGUAGGUCGCUCAUGGCCAUACUCCUUGGCGGCUAGGACCUUGGUCCACCUUUCAUUGAGCGUAUCGUGUUCAGCUUUGAGCUACUGCUGUUUAUUUUUCAGGCUCCGUGUUGUGGCAAUGAGCUGUCGCUUGAAGCGUUCUUGCUCGAGGGGUUCCUCUAGGACGAUAAAAUCUUCGCCACCGAGGCUAACAUCCUCUUCGGAGACUGGCAUAUAAUUGUUGUCUUCGGAAUCUCAUGAUCAGCAUAUUUGGGGACAUACUGACCCUCCUCCCUCUCAUCUUCUUCGGAUGUGGGCUCGACAGGGUGUUCGGGAUCUUCGGCACUAUCCAGGAUUUCAUUAUCUCCGGUGCCAAUAUUACUAUCCUUCACCCGACGUGAUCGUGAGCGGCGCCACUGACGUCGGCACUUUGGUGGUUUAUCGACGGGCUUGUCCUCAUCGGGAUUCAGAUUAUCCUUGUUGUCCUUUUUAUCAGGAGUGUCCACCACGUAUACUUCAUAGGUUGAAGUGGUCGUCCAGCGCCCUAUGAUGGGUGGGACUCGGCCUGAUUCGGCGUCGGCAUCAUCAUCCAUACUUUGAUGUCUUCGGACGCGUAGUCAAGCAUGUCGGUUAAAUCCUCGACAGUGGCUAUUAAGUGGGUGGUGGGCGGGUCGUAAAAUUCCCCACUCUCAGCCCAAGCCCAUGCUGGGUGCAGUUUGGAGGCAAGGCUUCCGUAACGGUGAGAGAUCGCAUUAAGCCCAGUGCUUUGUCUAAGGGUGAAGGCCGGGCAUGAGUCUGCGGAUCUACAGGGCUGAGUUUGGCGACAGACACCUGAUCGAGCCCGAUCGACGCAGACUUCGACAGUUCGGAGUUGUCGUCCAGAGGCGAGUCCAAAAUCACAUCUGGGUCUCCGAUCGAAAGUUCCAUGAUGGAAAAGGGUCUGGCGGGGUUGAUCCUCCCGUCUUCGGAUGAUACGGCCUGCUCCGGAUCUAAGGCCAAGGCGGGCGUGAGUGUUGACCCCUAAACGGGAUCUAAGAGCGAAUCUGAAGAGCUUCCUUCACGGGGGAAAGGAGCGGCAACCGAGGCCGCGAACCCCUCGUAGAACAGAUCUCCUCGGAUAUCGGUGAUGUAAUUCAGGUUUCCGAACCAGAUCUGGUGUCCGGGGCAUAACUGUCGACCUGCUCAAGGUGGCUAGUCGAGUUGGCACGAAGCACGAAGCCUCCAAACACAAAGACUUGUCUAGGAAGAAAGGUUUUCCUAGACGCAGCGUCAUCGUUGAUGAAGAGGCGAGCCAUCAAUCCUUCUGUCGGCGAUACAGCGGAGCUCUCAAUGAAAGCACCAAUGUCGGUGUCAAAAUGGGCAAAUCUCGUGUAGGGGGGCCCAAGCUGUAUGUUUGAGGAUCGAUGGUAACAAUGAUCAAAGGGACACAGUGUUUACCCAGGUUCGGGCCCUCUUAAUGGAGGUAAAACCCUACUCCUGCUUGGUUAUAUUCGAUGGUAUAGGGGUUACAAGAGUUGAUCUACCUCGAGAUCGUAAUGGCUAAACCCUAGCUUGGCUAGCCUAUCAAUGUUAUGAUCCUGCCUUUGGUCUAAACCCUCCGAUUUAUAUAGAGACCAGAGGGGCUUAGGGUUGUACAAAGUCGGUUUAACAGAAAGGAAAUAGUAUAUCCGGACACCUAAGCUUGCCAUCCAUGUAUACAGGAGUCCCCACCGGACACGAGAGGUGGUCUUCUUCCUUGUAUCUUGACGGAACAUUAGUCCGGCCCAUGUCCAAUAGACCGGACACCUGAGGACCCCUUAGUCCAGGACUCCCUCAGGUAGUACGAGGGUUGACUGGUUCGGCUGCGGUGUGAGGCUGCCGUCGCCGUGGAAUAACAGGGGGUGUGGGUGAGUGGAGGGAUGGCCUGGCCAGCAGUGGGAGUAGUAGGAGUGGUGAGGCCUCCACGACAGCACAGCCGGCCAUGGGAGGCAAGAGCACGCGGUGGUUUGGACGGCUGGAGCAAGAAAAUCAGAGGUUGAAGAAGUGGGAGGACCGUUGGAUGUUAACAAUCCAAUGGUCACUGGUGAUAGAAUCGUUUGUUGACUAAGUUGACAAAGCCCUCCGUACACGUCAACUUAGUAGGGCCAUAAGUCAGCCUCCGAAUCUGGUGGGCCCCAGCUGUCAUGGGGAGCACUCAUUAUUUUCUCUUAAUAAGGAGGCACUUCCUUCCAUGCAAAGAUAUAGCUAGUGGGACCCAGCUGUCAUUGGGAGGUACUUGCUUGCAUGUGGCCAUGGACCAUGUGGGUCCUAAUUGUUAGCCUCUCCAUGUACAUCCCUCUUCCGAUGUUGUCAUUUGUUGACAAUUUUGACCACGCCAUGCCGAGAACACCAGCGAGAUGGACGACGGCGAGACCCAGGAAGGCAAUGACCCAGAGGUGGUGAAGCCACAACAGUGGAGGGAUGUGGGUGAGUAGAGGGAUGGCCUGGCCGGCGGUGGGAGUAGUAGGGGGCGGUGAGGCCUGCGCUGCAGCACAGCCAGCCACGGGAGGCGGGAGCAGGCGGUCCCGUCGGCGCUGGAUUUGGCGGCUGGAGCAAGAAGAUCAGAGAUUGGAGAAGCACGACGACCGUUGCAUUGACAUCUAACGGUCAUGUCUGUUGACAUAUAGAAUAAGUAAAAAAAUCUUGCAUACAUGUCAACUUAAUAGGUCCACAAGUCAGACAAUUUUCUAUAUUUUUUAAUAAUUUACAGCUCAUUGUAACUUCUUAUACAAUUUAUUGCAGUCCUUUUUUUGUUGGCCAGAGCCAGGGUUAAAAAUUUAAACAAAAUUUCGCAUAUUCCGGUGGGGUCCAAACUAUUUUUAAUACCGAAAUUUCGAGCCAGAUUUAAAGUACUUUAAAGAUAUAUUUAAAUUAGGUUAAAACCCAGUGAAAUUGGAACUGAAAAUGUGAAAAAAAAAUCCGGAAAUUAUUAAGUAAUUGCCAAUUUGUCGUCUGUUUUUUAUAUUUACAGCCCAUGUCAUAUUACUUUCAAGAUUUGCAGCCGCCUUGAAAGAGUUGCAGCCCAUCAGGGCGUAGAAAAAUAAGUAGGCCUGGAUUGAGUAUUCUUUAGAAAAAAUAAAUUGGGCUCAUCUAUUUAUAUAUAAAAAGUGCUUUACGGGGUAACCAGAAAAAAGAGAAUUACCUAGAAAAUCCCAUAAUAAUUAGAAACAUCUGGCCGUCAAUUGAAACCGAUUAGACGAGCACAACCAAUGGAUUGAAAAAAUGAAAAUUACCCACCAAUGCCCUUGAUAAGUUAUCUCGCCCACGUAAAAAAAACAAAGUAAUUAAGUUAGAAAAUCUCACAAAAAUUAGAAACAUCUGCCCUUAAUUUAUUAGGAGAGAUAACCACAAUCGUUAGAUCUUAGAAACAACUUAGUAACACCUAGAAAUUACCCACUAUGCCCUCAGCUUUUCUCCACGCCUCUUGUAUCUCACAAAGGUACCCAAAAAAACACGGAUCAGAAAAAGGGAUCAAUCAGGGGACGUGGCUCUCCAUCCCUCUCACCGCCACCGUGAACGCAUCGUUCCUUUGCCAUGUCGAUCAUGCAUCGUCGCCAUGGGAUGAGUGGAAAGUUUCCACUGUUCCAUCAAUUCCAUUGCCAGGUAUGUUUUCCCACAAAUGUCUACGUCUCCAUGUAUGAUUAGUUGACAUUGAUUCCGUGAAUCCAUACUACUGCUUCUGUAGGCGUCUUCCCUUUUAAAUCCAUCUUCAAUUUUCAUCACCUGGCCUCGAUCCUUGCCUGCAUAUCAGAAAAUGUGGAGUUUGGGAUUGCAAAGGUGCUUAAAUAAUCAUGAUGGUUGCUGCAUACAUUGAUUUAGGAUUUUUCUUUGCUCCAUGCUUCAAAUAUUUGUUUCUCCUUUUUGCUGUGUGAUGCUAAGAAUUAACAAUGAAAUUUUGCACGAGCAAGAAAUUAACACAGGGAUGAAGGACAAUAUUAUACUGUAUCUAACAAGCAAUGGACAUAGAGAACACAUAAUAAUUAGUGCCAAUCAAUAGAUACUUAAUGUUUCAUCCAAUCAAAAGUCUAUGCAGAGAACCGAAAAGACAACCUAUUGUAGGAUAUGUCUAUAGUGCAGUCCAUACUAAUAUACAUGCUCUGAGAAGUUAACAACUUGACAUGUAUAUUGCUUCCUCAUGAUUCAUGAUAUGUAGCUCGAACUAGAAUGAGAGCAGCAGGAGUCAGCAACCCGGUGCCAGUGGCUUGCCUCGGACAUUCCUGCUCGGAGAGCACCCCAUUGUGUCUCCUACAUGAGGAUGUAUGCUCUAGACUGGACAAACGAGUACCAGCAGCAGGUGCGCCGUACCAUAACAAAUGCCACUUUAUGUCUUAGGUGAUUAAGUUAAUCUGUUUACUACAAUGUCCUACAAGAAGUAGAAUGAAGCUAAGUUCAGCGCUCCUGGGCAGCAAGUCAAUUAAUCCCGGCAACAUCCAAACUCUUCAGGAUAUUUAGUGUCAAAUGGUGAGACCAAUUAACUGCCUAAUAGUUGCUGCUUCAUACGAUUUUCUUGACACUACAUAAUCUAACUUUUCUUGGUCAACCAUCAUAGGUUUAUUCACAAAUUGAUGUAAACAAACGGUCGCUUAAAGAAGUCGUUGCGUCUUGAGGAUGUCUUAAACGGCUAUCACAAGGAUAUGAUUACUCGGCCUAGAAUUUUCAAGCAUCAUGAUUGGGCAUAGUCUUAAUCAUCCGGUCGCAAUGCCAAUGAAGCAAGAAAAUAACGAGAAGGAAGACUCAUUUAAGUGCAUGUGUCAACAUAAUUUCCGCUUCUUCCUAUAUUCAUUCUUUUCUUCUCAUUAUGUUGCCAGUUUCCUACUCUGUAGGAUGUAAAAUAUGAAAUACAUUUUUUGAUAGUUUCAUCUGUUUGUUCAAAGCAUUGGAAACAUGCAUCAACAUUUGAUGGAAAUAGCUCAAUAAUAUCAAUUAGUAUCAACAAUCUAUAUUAUGUGAUACCUGAUAUUUGAAUCUUAUUAUACAGUACAGGCCAAUAGUGAGUGCCCAUGCAUCAUUAUGUUUUAUAUGUAUAAUGCAACCAGAUCAAUUUUCCUAUUCAGUUAUUACAAAUCUCAGUUUAUCUUUGGGAAUUGUUAAAACUAUAGUGAAGCCCAAAGAAAAUAACUACUUCCUCCGUUCCUAAAUAAGUCUUUGUAGAAAUUCCACUAUUGAUUAGAUACGGAGCAAAAUGAGUGAAUCUACACUCUAAAUGCAUCUAUAUACAUCUGUAUGUGGUUCAUAGUGUAAUCUCUACAAAGACUUAUAUUUAGGAACGGAUGGAGUAUUUCUUAAGUAUGUUGAAUAUUAAUGGGAGUAGGGGGGCUAACGCCGAUGCAGGUCACAAGCCCGAAAAAAAAGUGGAGGGACAUAAACAAAUUAGGAAGUCUUGCAGUUGAUUGUCUCUGAUGCUACUAUUGUAGCAACUUAAUAAAGAGGAGGUUUAUGUGUCAAAAAAAAACAUUAUGCCCUUAGUUAUGUUUGGCAUGUAUAACUUACAAUGAUCAUGUAGUUGAUGGACCAGAAGUCAAUCUGAUGAAAAUCAACAUCAGACAAUAUGUAGGAGCACAAAAUACAUAAAUGGUGCAGAUUAUACUGGUGCAAUCGCACAAAAAAUCAGAAAAGGGGAAGGGAGAAGGAGGGACCUGCAGGUGGAAGAAUGCAACCUUUCAAAUUUUAUAGGCACAAUUCCUACCUUUUGGUAUUUCAAACCUUAACACAUAAACAAUAAAUGCAUUGUUGAUACUGGUCACAAGAAAAUCAAUUGAAAAUACAUUUUUUACAACCUACUGCAUGGCAAAGCCCCACAGUCUUUUAUUACCACCCAGAAACCAAGUUCAACUGUACAGAAAAGCAACUAAAAGCAGAAAAUAAAAAAACAUUUGAAAAUGUUGCUGUGAUGGUCCACAUAAAUAUGUAGUUAAUGUGGCUUUGAAUUGAGAUUUAUGAUAUCUGAAGUUUUAGUUUUGUACAUGGUGCAUAAUAUCAAGCAUUGAUUUUCUCUCUUGUGGAUUUGGAUUUUAUAGAAGAAGCUUAGAUCUCAUAAAUAUUUCAACAAAAAUGACCAUAGUCACCAGUGUAACACGAACUUCUAAUUGGCAUCACAAGGUUAGGAACAUGUAUACAACCAAAUUUCAUGACCCCUUAUUCUCUUGACUAAACAUGUCUUAAAUCAAUGAAGUGUGGACAAAACUAUGUUCUCAUCACAUUAGUCCCCAAUUUUUCUUUAGAUAAACCAAAUAAUAUGUUCUCAAUAUUAAACUUUCUAAAGUUCUAGCCCGCGCAUCGAGCGGGCCACUUUGCUAGUUUUCAGAAAGGAAAAAUAGCUGGGCUAAUCUUGUGGUGAACGUGAAACAUAAGACUGGGCUAGACGGGCCACAACCCAGUUGAAACCCUGCUCUGUCUCAACAAUAACAAAAAAAUACUGCUCGAGCAGCUAUGUCCAAGGUGCCAGCCGAUGUUGUGAUGUUCUCUUGCCUAUUGACUAUGUACAUUGACAAUAUCGUGGGUCCCAGAUGUCAGGAAACCACCAGGAGGAAGCAUUUUCUUUUUCUAGACGCUAACAGUGGAGAAUAUAAAAAAUGAGUAACUUCCUUGCGUACGACAAUGGACAUGAUGGGUCCCUACUGUCAUCCUCUCCACGUACAAUCCUCUCCCGAUUUAUCUUGUUUGUUGACCAUGUUGACAACGCGAGAGGGCAGCGCAGUGGCGUGUGCACGAAAGCGCGCGGAUGGCGACGGCGAGGCCUCGGAUGCCGGCGUUAACGAUUUAGGAGACGGUGGGGCAGUGAUGCGUGCGCUGAGGUGCAGCCAGCCGUGGGAGGCGGAAGCAGGCGGCCGCACCGGCGCUGGUUUGGUUUUGGCGGCUGGAAGAAGAUGAGACUGAAGAAACACAACGGACUGUAAAAGUAGCAGGAGUACUUAACAACCUUAACUGAAACCUCAUGGUCGGUGAACAGAAGAUGUUCCUCAGUCAGAACAAAUUCCUCAGAGAACAGAAGAUCUUCGUCUUUGUCACUGAAGAAAUUGAUUGGACUGAAUGAGAUUUCCAAUGGCUUCACUCGAAAGGAUUGGUAUGUGUAGGCUUUGAGAUGAGCAUCACUUGGAAAGUGUUUCCUUAGUUUUACCUCGACCCCCUUUAACAGUACGGUGUUUCCUAUGACCCAAGAAAGAGAAAUUGAAACUACGAAAACAAAAGUCUUCACGCUUCAUAGUCCUCGCAUUAAUAUCAAAGUCCUCAAGGUCACACCAAUUUCCUCAUUUUCAAAGUCUUCAAGAAAACCAAAGUCUUCAACUGACGACAUUCAUUUUUAGGGGUUGACUUUCAUCAUAAAUAUCAAACUCCUCAUAGACGUAUAGAACAUGUGUACACUCACAAACACAUUAGUCCCUUAACGUAUAAGUCUUCGAUACACCAAAAUCACUAUGGGGCACUAGAUGCACUUACAACCCUCCCCCCCCCCACCCCAUAUUGGUUGCUUGAUUCAUAUGGUUACAAUCCAUAAGCAUUUCUCCUUUGGAUUCAUCUGUACUAUUUUUCUUAGGGAAUUUUUCAUCCAAUCCAACGUCUUGUGAAGAAGGCUACAUUUUUUAGAUUGUAAUCAAAUGCCCAUGUUAAUAAUGUCAGAUCGAAGAUGGCACAUUGGUGCAUUUUACAAAUCCUGCAAACCAAGCGUGUAGUAGUGUUCAAAACUGCAUGUAGGCACUAACACGUUCUCUUCUUUUGCAGAUAAUAAUAAGCCCAGAGGUGGAUAAUGUUUAUAACAACAGUCACAUCGAGUGCAUGGUUCUGCAUCCCUCAAAUAUUACUUAGAACUCCUACCGAGGGACCUUGUCGGAGAUUACAUUCGCCAGGUUCUUUCUUUCCAGAGCAAGGGUGCUGAGGGUACUAAGGUUGAACACACUUAUAAUUAGGAAUUGUUUGUUGAUCAGAGCUGGCAGCUACUGCAGAAUGGAAGAGGCUCCAAAAAAGCUAAACUUCGUAUUGGAAGAGUAUAUGACAGAGUAAUUGGAAGUCAUUGUGUCAAACCCAUACAUGACUUGCCAGCGGCUGAUCCCUUUGCAGAAAUGACGAGGUUUGCAAUGUUUGAAUUUGGGCAUUGUAAUCUUUGAAUUUGAACCUUGCAAUGUUUAUGGUAUUUGUUAUAUAACGUAAUUGGAUGUUUAAUUUGGUCUUGCAAUCAUGUCCUAUUACAAGUAUAUAUAUGUUGUUCUUCUGUACACAGAGCAUAGAUGUUCUGCAGGCAGAGCAUAUCACAUCGCACACGGACCACACUAGGUAACCCGUCGGCGAUGAAUUCACCAAUCGCAAAUGGUUAUAUAUCGGCAAGCGUUUACCCACAACACACACGGCUUAUUCCAUCACAAACAUCUUGGAUGGAUCAAUUGUAUGCCACGUAUCACACACGCAACUCUAAUCUGAUUUGUGCUUGAUGUCUCCGACAUCGCUCGCACAGUUUGUCUUAUUUCCCACGUAUCACUAUGUCGGCCUCUGCUCGUGUCCCUCCGCAAGCUCUGCUCACUGUUAGGCGCCGCAGCAUGCUGUGCUCGCCGUUAGAUGUCGCGGCGUGCUCUGCUCGCGUCCGUAGGCAAGCUCGGCUUAUGGACAACUUUUCCUUGCGUGUUCAACUGCUAUAUGCAUAUAUAUGGUUGCUCGUCAUUGAGGCGACCGCGGAGCUCUCUGCUCACGUCCUCAGUGCGCGCUCUGCCCGUGGUUGGGCCUGCGCACGAUCACGUCGGGGGGGCCCAUAUGCAUGCGGUUGCACACCGCACGUCACCACACGAUGCAGUUAUGUGCGGCACAAUGGAGCUACGUGAUACGUCUCCAACGUAUCUAUAAUUUUUUAUAUAUUCAUGCCAUGUUUAUAAUAUUUCUACAUGCUUUUGUUAUGAUUUGGUUAGAACUAACCCGGACCGACGCUGUUUUCAGCAGAAUUGUCGUGGUGUUGUUUUUGUGCAGAAAUAAAAGUUCUUGGAAUGCACUAAAAAUCAACGGAGAUUUUUUCUGGAAGAUAUAAAAAAUACUGGAAUAAAGAGUUACUAGAGAGGAGGCUCAUGGGGCCCACGAGGGUGGUGGGCGCGCCCACCCCCCUGGGGCGCGCCCCCUGCCUUGUAGACACCCCGUGGGUCCUCCUGACUUUUUCUCCACGCCAAACCCUCCUAUAAAUACAGAAACGCCUAAAACAUAACCUAGAUCGGGAGUUCAGCCGCCGCAAGCCUCUGUAGCCACCCAAAACCAAUCGGGACCCUGUUCCGGCACCCUGCCGAAGGGGGGAUCCAUCACCAGUGGCCAUAUUCAUCAUCUCGGUGAUAUCCAUGACGAGGAGGGAGUAGUUCACCCCUCGGGGCUAAGGCUUGAUAACCCACAAGUGUAGGGGAUCGCAACAGCUUUCGAGGGUAAAGUAUUCAACCCAAAUUUAUUGAUUCGACACAAGGGGAGUCAAAGAAUAUUCUUGAGUAUUAGCAGUUGAGUUGUCAAUUCAACCACACCUGGAUAACUUAGUAUCUCCAGCAAAGUAUUAGCACAUAGUGAAUACAUGAACUCCUCAAACUACGGUCAUCACCGAGAAGUAUCCCGAUUAUUGUCACUUCGGGGUUGUCGGAUCAUAACACAUAAUAGGUGACUAUAGACUUGCAAGAUAGGAUCAAGAACACACAUAUAUUCAUGAAAACAUAAUAGGUUCAGAUCUGAAAUCAUGGCACUUGGGCCCUAGUGACAAGCAUUAAGCAUAGCAAAGUCAUAGCAACAUCAAUCUCAGAACAUAGUGGAUACUAGGGAUCAAACCCUAACAAAACUAACUUGAUUACAUGGUAAAUCUCAUCCAACCCAUCACCGUCCAGCAAGCCUACGAUGGAAUUAGUCACGCACGGCGGUGAGCAUCAUGAAAUUGGUGAUGGAGGAUGGUUGAUGAUGACGACGACGACGAAUCCCCCUCUUCGGAGCCCCGAACGGACUCCAGAUCAGCCCUCCCGAGAGAGAUUAGGGCUUGGCGGCGGCUCCGUAUCGUAAAACGCGAUGAAACUUUCUCCUUGAUUUUUUUCUCCCCGAACAUGAAUAUAUGGAGUUGGAGUUGAGGUCGGUGGAGGUCCAGGGGGCCCACGAGAUAGGAGGGCGCGCCCUAGGGGGGGGCGCCCCCUGUCUCGUGGACAGCCUGUGGGCCCCCUAGUCUUGAUUCUUUCACCAAAAGUUCUUAUUAAUUCCAAAAAGUGCCUCCGUGGAUUUUCAGGACAUUCCGAAAACUUUUCUUUUCUACACAUAAAACAACAUCAUGGCAGUUCUACUGAAAACAGCGUCAGUCCGGGUUAGUUUCAUUCAAAUCAUGCAAGUUAGAGUCCAAAACAAGGGCAAAAGUGUUUGGAAAAGUAGAUACGUUGGAGACGUAUCAACUCCCCCAAGCUUAAACCUUUGCUUGUCCUCAAGCAAUUCAGUUGAUAAACUGAAAGUGAAAAAUAAAAACUUUUACAAACUCAGUUUGCUCUUGUUGUAAACAUGAAAAGCCAGCAUUCAAGUUUCAGCAAAUAUUAUGAACUAACCAUACUCACAAUAACACCUAGGUCUCACAAUUACUCAUAUCAAUAGCAUAAUCAGCUAGCGAGCCAUAAUAAUAAAACUCGGAUGACAACACUUUCUCAAAAUAAUCAUAACAUGAUAUAACAAAAUGGUAUCUCGCUAUCCCUUUCUGAGACCGCAAAACAUAAAUGCAGAGCACCUUUAAAGAUCAAGGACUGACUAAACAUUGCAAUUCAUGGUAAAAGAGAUCCAGUCAAGUCAUACCCAAUAUAAACCAAUAAUAAUGAAUGCAAAUGACAGUGUGCUCUCCAGCGGGUGCUUUUAAUAAGAAGGGUGAUGACUCAACAUAAAAGUAAAUAGAUAGGCCCUUCGCAGAGGGAAGCAGGGAUUUGUAGAGGUGCCAAAGCUCGAUUUUAAAAUAGAGAUUGAAUAACAAUUUGAACGGCAUACUUUCGCUGUUAACACAACAACUAUGAGAUGGCUGUAUCUUCCAUACUACAUGCAUUAUAGGCAGUUCCCAAACAGAAUGGUAAAGAUUUAUACUUCCCCAACCACCAACAAGCAUCAAUCCAUGGCUUGCUCGAAACAACGAGUGCCUCCAACAUACAACAGCCCUGGGGAGUUUUGUUUAAUUAUUUUGAUUUUCUUUGAUCUUUUUGGAUCAUGGGACUGGGCAUCCCGGUUACCGGCCCUUUCUCGUGAAUGAGGAGCGGAGUCCACUCCUCGUGAGAAUAACCCACCUAGCAUGGAAGGUAUAGGCAGCCCUAGUUUUAACAUGAGCUGCUCGAGCAUACAAAACAGAAUUUCAUUUGAAGGUUUGGAGUUUGGCACAUACAAAUUUACUUGGAAUGGCAGGUAAAUGCCGCAUAUAGGAAGGUAUAGUGGACUCAUAUGGAACAACUUUGGGGUUUAAGGAGUUUGGAUGCACAAGCAGUAUUCCCGCUUAGUACAGGUGAAGGCUAGCAAAAGACUGGGAAGCGACCAACUGAGAGAGCGACAACAGUCGUAAACAUUCAUUAAAAUUAAUUCACAUCGAGUACAAGCAUGAGUAGGAUAUAAUCCACCAUGAACAUAAAUAUCAUGAAGGCUAUGUUGAUUUGAUUCAACUACAUGCGUGAACAUGUGCCAAGUCGAGUCACUCAAUUUAUUCAAAGGAGGAUACCAUCCCAUCAUAUCACAUCAUAAUAAUUCUAAUAGCAAUGUUGGCACGCAAGGUAAACCAUUAUAACUCAUAGCUAAUCAAGCAUGGCACAAGCAACUAUAAUCUCUAAAUGUCAUUGCAAAUAUGUUUACUUCAUAAUAGCUGACUCAGAAACAAUGAACUCAUCAUAUUUACAAAAACAAGAGAGGUCGAGUUCAUACCAGCUUUUCUCAUCCCAAUAAGUCCAUCAUAUAUCGUCAUUAUUACCUUUCACUUGCACGACCGAACGAUGUGUAUAAUAAUAAGAGUGCACGUGCAUUGGACUAAGCUGGAAUCUGCAAGCAUUCAACUCAAGAGAGAAGACAAGUAAUAUGGGCUCUAAGUUAAAUAAACAAUCAUGCAUAUGAGAGCCACUAAACAAUUUCAAUAUGGUCUUCUCGACCCCCAAAGGAAAGAAAAGAAAAUAAAACUAUUUACACGGGAAAGCUCCCAACAAGUAAGAAGAAGAACUACAAAUCUUUUUGGGUUUUCAUUUUAAUUCUACUACAAGCAUGGAAAUUAAACUAACUAUUUUUUUGGUUUUUCUUAAGGUUUAUCAAGCACACAAAGAGAAAACAAGAAAAAGAAAUUUAAACUAGCAUGGAUAAUACAAUGAAAGAGUAUGAGCACCGACGACUAGUGUGUGAACAUGAAUGUAAAGUCGGUGAGAAAUACGUACUCCCCCAAGCUUAGGCUUUUGGCCUAAGUUGGUCUAGUACCAAGGAUCGCCGCUACUCUCCCUGGUGUAAUGGGAGGUGUAAUCAGGAUACCACUGGCUGGUCAUCUACGGAUCCCACUGGACAGAUGAUGCAUGAUAAGGGUCCAGUUCAGGUUCCGGCUCAGGUUCAGGUUCUGGAGUAAAAGCUUGAGCUCGAUGGUUGUUCACCGCUUCCGACGUAACAAGAAAAUUUUCUGCAAGCAAAUCUAACAAUAGAGGCGCAGGCAAAAUAAUAAUCUCAAAGUGUUUCUUAUUAAAUCUAAGUUUAUACAAGAGCAUCUUCUCUUCAUUGUCAACAAUAAACUUGUGUGCUACCAUGCUCUUGUAAUCUAAGAUGUGAGGAGGCAAUUUUAUCUCCUCCUCCUCAUGGUGCCUAAUGGGUAUCUGAAAAUGUUUAGCAAGACGUGCAGCAUAGAUACUCCAAAUAUGGGGCCUUUUAUACGAUUCAGGGCUAGCCGUUUAGCAACGACAGCACCCAUACUAAAAGUAUUGUCUCCAAGCAAGGCAUGUUGAAGAAUGAUAAUAUCAGGAACACUCAAGUUUCCACUAUUUCCGCGACCAAUCAAGCAUCUACUACCAAAUAUGGCAAAGUAGCGUAAAACAGGAAAGUGUAUGCUAGAGGCUUUUCCCUCAGAGCCCUUCUUUGGCUCCUCUACAACAAUAGUAUUAAAAAAACACCCACAUCUUCACAAUGGGGUUCCUCUAAUUCUCCCUCAUAAGGUAUCCUACAUACCGCACAAAAAUGACGUAAAGACAUUUCUUUGAACUCGUCAUAUAAAUGAAAUGAUAAUGCAGGCGGUGACUUCUUAGGAUAAUAAUAAAAAUUUUGCACGAAAGUAUUGGUGAGUAAGAGAUACUGAUCGAUUCGGUCGUUGAUGAAACCGGUGACGCUUGCAGUCUCGAUUAAAGCAUAAAAGUCUUCAUGAAUUCCAGCUUCUUUCAAGAAAUCCUCGCAUGGCCAUUCACACGACCGUACUUCCGCUAAGCGAGGAAGAUUAUACUUGGCUUUUUCCUUCUCUUUGGCUUGUUUUUCCUGAGAGCUUUGGCUAGAAGAGCCCCUCAAAAGUUUCCUCAACAUUUUCUCAAAAUUUCUAAAAUUUUACUAACUUCAAAAUAAAAGUGAAUAAAACUAAACAAGAUUGAUAGCAACUACUCCUACAAGUUCCUAGAGACUAUAUCAUGCAUUGGAAUUGCUUGGGACCUCAAAAAUUUAACAUGCAAGCUCAAGAACAUGGUCACCUAUGCAACAAAAAUUUGCAAUGAAUAAAGCACUAGAACAAAAACUAAUUGGACCAUUGGAGGAGUCACAUACCAAGCAACAAUCUCCCAAAGCAGUUUUGUGAAAGGAACUUUGAGCAAGGAGAUCGAAAAUCGCAGCAAAACGAGCUAGAACUCGUGCUUGAGCUGGAUGGGGAUUUUUUUGGGUAGAAGAUGAAGUGUGUGGGUGCUAGCAUAAGUGGAGGGGGCCACCAGGGGCCAACGAGAUAGGGGGCGUGCCCUAUAAGGGGGGGGGGAUCCACUCUCGUGGCCUGGUGCUUGCCCCUCCUGCAGUGAUUUCAGUGCCUAAAAUCCUCAAAUAUUCCAAAAAAAAUCAUACUAAAUUUGCAAGGCAUUUGGAGCACUUUUACUUUCGGACUAUUUUUUAUUGCACGGAUAAUUCAGAAAACAGACGGAUAAUACUACUUUUGCUAUAUUUAUUCUAAAUAACAGAAAGUAAAAAGUGGGUACAGAAGGUUGUGCCUUCUAGUUUCAUCCAUCUCAUGGUCAUCAAAACGAAUCCACUAACAAGGUUGAUCAAGUCUUGUUAACAAACUCAUUCCGAAUAACACGGAACCGGACAAAUUUCGAAUAACACUAAGUUACCUCAAUGGGGAUAUGAAAAUCUCCAACAACAAGAAUAUCAUACUUUUUCUUGAUAGUAGGGAGAGGAAAUUCAAAACCUCCAAAAAUGAUAGUUGGAACUUUUUCAAUAGAAUUGAUGCUAUGCACUUGAGAUUGUUUCCUCGGGAAGUAUACCAUAUGCUCAUUACCAUUAACAUGAAAAGUGACAUUGCCUUUGUUGCAAUCAAUAACAGCCCUUGCAGUAUUAAGAAAAGGUCUACCAAGGAUAAUAGACAUACUAUCGUCCUCGGGAAUAUCAAGAAUAACAAAGUCCAUUAAGAUAGUGACAUUUGCAACCACAACAGGCACAUCCUCACAAAUACCGACAGGUAUAGCAGUUGAUUUACCAGCCAUUUGCAAAGAUAUUUCAGUAGGUGUCAACUUAUUCAAUUCAAGUCUAUGAUAUAAAGAGAGAGGCAUAACACUAACACCGGCUCCAAGAUCACAUAAAGCAGUUCUAACAUAAUUUCUUUUAAUGGAGCAUGGUAUAGUUGGUACACCCGGAUCUCCGAGUUUCUUUGGUAUUCCACCCUUAAAAGUGUAAUUAGCAAGCAUGGUGGAAAUUUCAGCUUCCGGUAUCUUUCUUUUAUUUGUAAUGAUAUCCUUCAUAUACUUAGCAUAAGGAUUCACUUUCAGCAUAUCAGUUAAGCGCAUACGUAAGAAAAUAGGUCUAAUCAUUUCAGCAAAGCGCUCAAAAUCCUCAUCAUCCUUUGACUUGGAUGGUUUAGGAGAAGGGCAUGGGUUUUUGAACCCAUGGUUCUCUUUCUUUACCGUGCUUCCUAGCAACAUAAUCUCUCUUAUCAUAACGCUGAUUCUUUGAUUGUGGGUUAUCAAGAUCAACAGCGGGUUCAAUCUCUACAUCAUUGUUUUUGCUACGUUGAGCAUCGACAUGAACAUUAUCAUUAACAAUAUCACUAGGUUCAUGUUCAUCACCUGAUUGUGUUUCAACAUCAGAAAUAGAAAUAUCAUUGGGAUUCUCAGGUGUGUCUACAGUAGGUUCACUAGAAGCAUGCAAAGUUCUAUCGUUUUUCUUCUUCUUCUUUUUAGAAGAACUAGGUGCCUCUAAAUUAUUUCUCUGAGAAUCUUGUUCGAUUCUCUUAGGGUGGCCUUCAGGAUACAAAGGUUCCUGAGUCAUUCUACCAGUUCUAGUAGCCACUAACAGCAAAGUCAUUUUUAUUAUUUAAUUCGACAAGCAAAUCAUUUUUAGCUUUAAGUACUUGCUCAGCUUGUGUAGCAACCAUAGAAGCAUAUUUGCUAACGAGGUGAAGUUCAUCUUUAACUCUAGCCAGAUUAUCGCUUACACGUCCUAUCUCGAAAGCAUUAUUCUUCAACUCUCUACCAACAUAAGCAUUAAAACUUUCUUGUCUAUCCAUAAAGUCAUCAAAUUCAUCUAAGCAUGGGCUAUGAAAUUUAGUAGAGGGAAUUUCAACUUUAUCAUAUCUAUAGAGAGAAUUUACCUUUACUACCUGUGUCUGGUUAUCAAGACAAUGUGGUUCUUCAAGCGGUAUAUUAAGACCAUGUAUUUCUUCAAUAGGAGGUAAAUUCUUAACAUCUUCAGCUUUAAUACCUUUUUCUUUCAUUGAUUUCUUUGCCUCUUGCAUAUCUUCAGGACUGAGAAAUAAAACACCUCUCUUCUUCGGAGUGGGUUUAGGAAUAGGCUCAGGAGUUGGCUCAAUUGGUUCAGGAAUUACUUCAGGAACUAGCUCAGGAAGAGUCCAAUUAUUUUCAUUAGUCAACAUAUUAUUCAAUAAUAUUUUAGCUUCGUCGACCGUUCUUUCCCUGAAAACACAACCAGCACAACUAUCCAAUUAGUCCAUGGAAGCAUUGUUAGUCCAUUAUAAAAGAUAUCAAGUAUUUCAUUUUUCUUAAGAGAAUGAUCAGGCAAAGCAUUAAGUAACCGGAGAAGCCUCCCCCAAGCUUGUGGGAGACUCUCUUCUUUGAUUUGCACAAAAUUAUAUAUUUCCCGCAAGGCAGCUUGUUUCUUAUGAGCAGGAAAAUAUUUAGCAGAGAAGUAAUAAAUCAUAUCCUGGGGACUACGCACAGAACCAGGAGGAAGAGAAUUAUACCAAGUCUUAGCAUCACCCUUUAAUGAGAAUGGAAAUAUUUGAAGGAUAUAAAAAUAGCAAGACUUCUCAUCAUUAGUAAAUAGGGUGGCUAUAUCAUUCAACUUGGUAAGAUGUGCCACAACAGUUUCAGAUUCAAGGCCAUAAAAAGGAUUAGAUUCGACUAAAGUAAUUAUUUCAAGAUCGACAGAGAAUUCAUAAUCCUUAUCAGUAACACAGAUAGGUGAAGUAGCAAAAGCAGGGUUAGGUUUCAUUCUAGCAUUAUGAGACUGCUGCUUCCAUUUAGCUAAUAAUUUCUUAAGAUCAUAUCUAUCAUUGCAAGCAAAGAUUUCCCUAGCAGCUUCUUCAUUCAUAACAUAACCCUUAGGAACAACAGGUAAUACAUAAUCAUUGGGAGAACCUUCAUCAUCACUAUCAUCAGUAAUAGGAUCUUCAGUAAUUUCAUUCCCCCUAACUCUAGCAAGUUGUUCAUCAAGAAAUUCACCUAAUGGCAAAGUAGUAUCACGCACAGAAGUAGUUUCAUCAUGCAUAGCAAAAGUGGCAUCAUCAAUAACAUGCGACAUAUCAGAAUUCAUAGCAGUAGCAGGUUUAGGUGUCGCAAGCCUACUAAUAAUGGAAGGAGAAUCUAGUGUAGAGCUAGAUGGCAGUUCCUUACCUCCCCUCAUAGUUGAGGGCAAAAUAGUAGUUCGGUCGUCUUUCAAGUUCUUCAUAGUGAUCAACAGAUAUAAAUCCCAAGUGACUUAGCGAAUAGAGCUAUGCUCCCUGGCACCGGCGCCAUAAAUUAGUCUUGAUAUCCACAAGUGUAGGGGAUCGCAACAGCUUUCGAGGGUAAAGUAUUCAACCCAAAUUUAUUGAUUCGACACAAGGGGAGCCAAAGAAUAUUCUUGAGUAUUAGCAGUUGAGUUGUCAAUUCAACCACACCUAGAUAACGUAGUAUCUGCAACAAAGUAUUUAGUAGCAAAAGUGGUAUGAUAAUAAAGCUAACGGUAGCAAAAGUAAAGAUAAAUGUUUUUGGGUUUUUGUAGUAGUUGUAACAGUAGCAACGGAAAAGUAAAUAAGCGAAGAACAAUAUAUGAAAAGCUCGUAGGCAAUGGAUCAGUGAUGGAUAAUUAUGCCGGAUGCGAUUCCUCAUGUAAUAGCUACAGCAUAGGGUGACACAGAACUAGGUCCAAUUCAUCAAUGUAAUGUAGGCAUGUAUUCAGUAAAUAGUCAUACGUGCUUAUGGAAAAGAACUUGCAUGACAUCUUUUGUCCUACCCUCCCGUGGAAGUGGGGUCCUAGCGAAAACUAAGGGAUAUUAAGGCCUCCUUUUGAUAGAGAACCUGAACAAAGCAUUAGCACAUAGUGAAUACAUGAACUCCUCAAACUACGGUCAUCACCGAGAAGUAUCCCGAUUAUUAUCACUUCCGGGUUGUCGGAUCAUAACACAUAAUAGGUGACUAUAGACUUGCAUGAUAGGAUCAAGAACACACAUAUAUUCAUGAAAACAUAAUAGGUUCAGAUAUGAAAUCAUGGCACUCGGGCCCUAGUGACAAGCAUUAAGCAUAGCAAAGUCAUAGCAACAUCAAUCUCAGAACAUAGUGGAUACUAGGGAUCAAACCCUAACAAAACUAACUUGAUUACAUGGUAAAUCUCAUCCAACCCAUCACCGUCCAGCAAGCCUACGAUGGAAUUAGUCACGCACGGCGGUGAGCAUCAUGAAAUUGGUGAUGGAGGAUGGUUGAUGAUGACGACGGCGGCGAAUCCCCCUCUCCGGAGCCCCGAACGGACUCCAGAUCAGCCCUCCCGAGAGAGAUUAGGGCUUGGCGGUGGCUCCGUGUCGUAAAACACGAUGAAACUUUCUCCCUGAUUUAUUUCUCCCUGAACGUGAAUAUAUGGAGUUGGAGUUGAGGUCAGUGGAGGUCCAGGGGGCCCACAAGAUAGGAGGGUGCGCCCUAAGGGGGGCGCCCCCCCCCCCCUUGUCUCGUGGACAGUCUGUGGGCCCCCUGGUCUUGAUUCUUUCGCCAAAAAUUCUUAUUAAUUCCAAAAAGUGCCUCCAUGGAUUUUCAGGACAUUCCGAGAACUUUUCUUUUCUACACAUAAAACAACAUCAUGGCAGUUCUGCUGAAAACAGCGUCAGUCCGGGUUAGUUUCAUUCAAAUCAUGCAAGUUAGAGUCUAAAACAAGGGCAAAAGUGUGUAAAAGUAGAUACGUUGGAGACGUAUCAAUGCUAUGUACCAGUAGCUAUGUGUUUGAUCUCUCUCUCUCGUGUUCUUGAUUUGGCACGAUCUUGAUGUAUCGCGAGCUUUGCUAUUAUAGCUGGAUCUUGUGAUGUUUCUCCCCCUCUACUCUCUUGUAAUGGAUUGAGUUUUCCCUUUGAAGUUAUCUUAUCGUAUUGAGUCUUUAAGGAUUUGAGAACACUUGAUGUAUGUCUUGCAUGUGCUUAUCUGUGGCGACAAUGGGAUAUCCACGUGAUCUACUUGAUGUACGUUUUGGUGAUCAACUUGCGGGUUCAGUGACCUUGUGAACUUAUGCAUAGGGGUUGGCACACGUUUACGUUUUAACUCUCCGGUAUAAACUUUGGGGCACUCUUUGAAGUACUUUGUGUUGGUUGAAUAGAUGAAUCUGAGAUUGUGUGAUGCAUAUCGUAUAAUCAUGCCCACGGAUACUUGAGGUAACAUUGGAGUAUCUAGGUGACAUUAGGGUUUUGGUUGAUUUGUGUCUUAAGGUGUUAUUCUAGUACGAACUCUAUGAUACAUCGAACGGAAAGAAUAGCUUCGUGUUAUUUUACUACAGACUCGGAUAGAUCGAUCAGAAAGGAUAACUUUGAGGUGGUUUCGUACCCUACAAUAAUCUCUUUGUUUGUGCUCUGCUAUAAGUGACUUUGGAGUGACUCUUUGUUGCAUGUCGAGGGAUAUUUAUAUGAUCCAGUUAUGUCAUUAUUGUUGAGAGAACUUGCACUAGUGAAAGUAUGAACCCUAGGCCUUGUUUCCGAGCAUUGCAAUACCGUUUACGCUCACUUUUGCUAUUAGUUACCUUGCUGUUUUUAUAUUUUCAGAUUACAAAUACUCAUAUCUACCAUCCAUAUUGCACUUGUAUCACCAUCUCUUCGUUGAACUAGUGCACCUAUACAAUUUAACAUUGUAUUGGGUGUGUUGGGGACACAAGAGACUCUUUGUUAUUUGGUUGCAGGGUUUGUUUGAGAGAGACCAUCUUCAUACUAUGCCUUCCACGGAUUGAUAAACCUUAGGUCAUCCACUUCAGGGAAAUUUGCUACUGUCCUACAAACCUCUGCACUUGGAGUCCCAACAACGUCUACAAGAAGAAGGUCGUGUAGUAGACAUCAAGCUAUUUUCUAGCACCGUUGCUGGGGAGGUGAGUGCUUGAAGGUAUAUCUUUAGAUCUUGCAAUCGAAUCUUUUAGUUUCUUGUUUUAUCACUAGUUUAGUUUAUAAAAUAAAACUACAAAAAAUGGAAUUAAGGUUGCCUCAUAUGCUUCAUCUUUUUAAUUUCUGUCGUGAAAAUGAUGGGAAGGAAAAUUGUGCUCAACUACUAGAAGAAGAAUUACAUAGAAUGCUUGGAAUAAAAUAUGUGAAUGAUGAGCAUGAUUGCAAUGUUGUUAGUAUGAAUUCUUUGAAUACCCAUGAUGCUAAUGAUAUGCAAAGCCACAAGCUUGGGGAUGCUAUGUUUGAUGAAGAUGAUAUGUUUAGUCCCCCAAGUUUUGAUGAGAAUAUUUAUUAUGAUGAAACCAUGCCUCCUAUUUACGAUGAUUAUAUUGAUGAAAGUGGGUUUGGAAGAGUGUCAACUUUAGGAAGUAAUGAUCCCACUAUUUUGGAGGAUGUUGAAUAUUAUUGUGAUAAUUAUGAAAGUGGAUUUGGAGAGGUCAUGACUUUAUUUAGUGAUGAAUCCACUAUUUUGGAAGAGGUUCCAAUUGAUUAUGAGAACAAAGUUGCUAUCUAUGAUGAGUAUUGUGAUGACUUGUAUGCUAUUAAGAAUAAUGAUAACCAUGAAACUUGUCAUCAUUAUUUUAGUUUUCAAUUGGAUUAUGCCUCACAUGAUAACUAUUUUGUUGAGUUUGCUCCCACUACUAUUUAUGAGAAGAAGUUUGCUUAUGUGGAGAGUAGUACAAUUUAUAUGCUUGUGCAUCAUGAAAAUAAUGCUUUAUGUGAUGGUUAUAUUGUUGAAUUCAUUCAUGAUGGUACUGAAAAUUAUUAUGAGGGAGGAACAUAUGCUUGUAGGAAUUGCAAUAAUAUCAAGUUUCCUCUCUAUGUGUUGAAAAUCUUGAAGCUAUGCUUGUUUUACCUUCCUAUGCUAGUUGAGUCUUGUUCCCAUAAGUUGUUUGCUCACAAAAUCCCUAUGCAUAGUAAGUGGGUUAGGCUCAAAUGUGCUAGUAAUAUGCUUCAUGAUGCUCCUGUUAUGUUUCAUUUCUUAUCUUUUAUGUGAGCAUCAUUGUCAUCAUCAUGCCUAGCUAGAAAGACAUUGAAGAAAAACGCUUGUUGGGAGACAACCCAAUAUUUACCCUUACUAUUUUUGUGUGUACACAUGAUUAUGCUACUGUAGUAAUCAUGUUUUAUAGCUUUUGUUUCAAUAAAGUGCCAAGUAAGACCUUUAGGAUAGCUUAAGGUGAUAGUUGUGUUGAUCCUGCUGAAAAUCAGAAACUUUUGAACCCAGUAAAUUAGUUUUGAUAAUUCGCGGAAACAUGAUUUUGAUCUGAUUCUUUUUUAUCUGGAUUUGUACACAAAUUUCUCAGGUUUUCAAUAUUUGGUAGAAUUUUUGGAGUUACAAAAGUAUUCGAAUGAUACAGAUUACUACAGACUGUUCUGUUUUUGACAGAUUCUGUUUUCUAUGUGUUGUUAGCUUAUUUUGAUGAAUCUAUGAGUAGUAUCGGAGGGUAUGAACCAUAGAGAAGUUGGAAUACAGUACAUAUUACACCAAUAUGAAUUUAGAAUGAGUUCACAACAGUACCUAAGUGGUGGUUUUAUUUUCUUAUACUAACGGAGCUUACGAGUUUUCUGUUGAGUUUUGUGUUGUGAAGUUUACAAGUUUUGGGUAAAGAUUCGAUGGACUAUGGAAUAAGGAGUGGCAAGAGCCUAAGCCCGGGGAUGCCCAAGGCACCCCAAGGUAAAAUUCAAGGACAACGAAAAGCCUAAGCUUGGGGAUGCCCCGGAAGGCAUCCCCUCUUUCAUCUUCGUUCGUCGGUAACUUCAAUUGGAGCUAUAUUUUUAUUCACCACAUGAUAUGUGUUUUGCUUGGAGCGUCAUUUUGUUUAGCUUGCUGCUUGAAUAAAAUACAUUAGAUCUGAAAUUCUUAAAUGGGAAAGUCUUCACAUAGUUGCACAAUUAUUUGACUACUCAAUGAUCUUCACUUAUAUCUUUCGGAGUAGUUUGUCGUUUGCUCUAGUGCUUCACUUAUAUUUUUUAGAGCACGACGAUGGUUUUAUUUUGAAGAAAUAGAUGAACUCUCAUGCUUCACUUAUAUUAUUUUGAGAGUCUUUUAGAACAGCAUGGUAAUUUUCCUUGGUUAUGAAUUUAGUCCUAAUAUGAUAGGCAUCCAAGAGGGAUACAAUAAAAACUUUCAUAUGGAGUGCAUUAAACGCUAUGAUAAAUUUGAUACUUGAGAAUUGUUUUGAGAUAUAAAGGUGGUAAUGUUAGAGUCAUGCUAGUUGGGUAAUUAUGAAAUUGAGAAAUACUUGUGUUAAAGUUGGCACGUCCCGUAGCAUGCAUGUAUGGUGAACAUUGUGUAACAAAUUUGAAGCAUGGGGUGUUCUUUGAUUGCCUUCCUUAUGAGUGGAGGUCGGGAUCGCGCCAUGGUUAACUCCUACCAACCCUUCCUCUAGAAGCAUGCAUAGUAGUACUUUGCUUUGAGGGCUAAUAAACUUUUUCAAUAAGUAUAUGAGUUCUUUAUGACUAAUGUGAGUCCAUGGAUUAUAUGCACUCUUACCCUUCCGCAAUUUGCUAGCCUCUACGGUACCGUGCAUUACCCUUUCUCACCUUGAGAGUUGGUGCAAAUUUCGCUGGUGCAUCCAAACCCCGUGAUAUGAUAUGCUCUAUCACACAUAAACCUCCAUAUAUCUUCCUCAAAACAGCCACCAUACCUACAUAUUAUAGCAUUUCCAUAGCCAUUCCGAGAUAUAUUGCCAUGCAACUUUCCACCAUUCUGUUUAUCAUGACACGCUCCAUAAUUAUCAUAUUGCUUUGCAUGAUCAUGUAGUUGACAUCAUAUUUGUGGCAAAGCCACCUUUAUAUUUCUUUCAUACAUGUCGCUCUUGAUUCAUUGCAUAUCCCGGUACACCGCCAGAGGCAUUCACAUAGAGUCAUAUUUUGUCCUAAGUAUUGAGUUGUAAUUCUUGAGUUGUAAAUAAGUAGAAGUGUGAUGAUUUCCAUUAUUAGAGCAUUAUCCCAUGUGAGGAAAGGAUGAUGGAGACUAUGAUUCCCCCACAAGUCGGGACGAGGCUCCAGACGAAAUAAAAAAAGAGAAUUUUUAAAAAAAAAGAGGCCAAAGAAGCCCAAAUAAAAAAAUGAGAGAAAAAGAGAGAAGGGACAAUGUUACUAUCCUUUUUCCACACUUGUGCUUCAAAAUAGCACCAUGAUCUUCAUGAUAGAGAGUUUCUUAUUUUGUCACUUUCAUAUACUAGUGGGAAUUUUUCAUUAUAGAACUUGGCUUGUAUAUUCCAAUGAUGGGCUUCCUCAAAAUGCCCUAGUUCUUCGUGAGCAGACAAGUUGGAUGCACACCCACUUAGUUUCUUUUUGAUGAGCUUUAAUACAUUUAUAGCUCUAGUGCAUCCAUUGCAUCGCAAUCCCUACUCCUCGUAUUGACAUCAAUUGAUGGGCAUCUCCAUAGCCCAUUGAUUAGCCGCGUCAAUGUGAGACUUUCUCCUUUUUUGUUUUCUCACAUAAUCCCUAUCAUCAUACUCUACUCCACCCAUAGUGCUAUGUCCAUGGCUUACGCUCAUGUAUUGCGUGAGGGUUGAAAAGGCUGAAGCACGUUAAAAAGUAUGAACCAAUUGCUUGGCUGAAACCGGGGUUGUGCAUGAUGGGAGCAUUUUGUGUGAAGAAAAUGAAGCAUGGCCAAACUAUAUGAUUUUGUAGGGAUAAGCUUUCUUUGGCUAUGUUAUUUUGAUAAGACAUAAACUGCUUGGUUAGCAUGCUUGAAGUAUUAUUAUUUUUAUGUCAAUAUUAAACUUUUGUUUUGAAUCUUAUGGAUCUGAAUAUUCUUGCCACAAUAAAGAGAAUUCCAUGGAUAAAUAUGUUAGGUAGCAUUCCACAUCAAAAAUUCUGUUUUUAUCAUUUACCUACUCGAGGACGAGCAAGAAUUAAGCUUGGGGAUGCUUGAUACGUCUCCAACGUAUCUAUAAUUUUUGAUGUAUUCAUGCCAUGUUUAUAAUAUUUCUACAUGCUUUUGGUAUGAUUUGGUUAGAACUAACCCGGACGGACGCUGUUUUCAGCAGAACUACCGUGGUGUUGUUUUUGUGCAGAAAUAAAAGUUCUCGGAAUGCGCUGAAAAUCAACAGAGAUUUUUUCUAGAAAAUAUACAAAAUACUGGAAUAAAGAGUUACCGGAGAGGAGGAUCAUGGGGCCCAUGAGGGUGGAGGGCACGCCCACCCCCCCUGGGGCGCGCUCCCUUGUCUCGUGGACACCCCGUGGGUCCUCCUGACUUGUUCUCGACGCUAAACCCUCCUAUAAAUACAGAAAUCCCCGAAACAUAACCUAGAUCGGGAGUUUCGCCGCCGCAAGCCUCUGUAGCCACCAAAAACCAAUUGGGACCCUGUUUCGGCAGCCUGCCGGAGGGGGGAUCCAUCAUCGAUGGCCAUCUUCAUCAUCUCGGCGCUCUCCAUGACGAGGAGGGAGUAGUUCACCCUCAGGGCUGAGGGUAUGUACCAGUAGCUAUGUGUUUGACCUCUCUCUCUCUCUCGUGUUCUUGAUUUGGCACGAUCUUGAUGUAUCACGAGCUUUGCUAUUAUAGUUGGAUCUUAUGAUGUUUCUCCCCAUCUACUCUCUUGUAAUGGAUUGAGUUUCCCUUUGAAGUUAUCUUAUCGGAUUGAGUCUUUAAGGAUUUGAUAACACUUGAUGUAUGUCUUGCAUGUGCUUAUCUAUGGCGCAAUGGGAUAUUCACAUGAUCUACUUGAUGUAUGUUUUGGUGAUCAACUUGCGGGUUCAGUGACCUUGUGAGCUUAUGCAUAGGGGUUGCACACGUUUUCGUCUUGACUCUUCGGUAGAAACUUUGGGGCACUCUUUGAAGUACUUUGUGUUGGUUGAAUAGAUGAAUCUGAGAUUGUGUGAUGCAUAUUGUAUAAUCAUACCCACGGAUACUUGAGGUGACAUUGGAGUAUCUAGGUGACAUUAGGGUUUUGGUUGAUUUGUGUCUUAACGUGUUAUUCUAGUACAAACGCUAUGAUAGAUCGAACGGAAAGAACAGCUUCAUGUUAUUUUACUACGGACUCUUGAAUAGAUCGAUCCGAAAAUAUAAGUUUGAGGUGGUUUUGUACCCUACAAUAAUCUCUUCAUUUGUUCUCCGCUAUUAUUGACUUUGGCGGGACUCUUUGUUGCAUGUUGAGGGAUAGUUAUAUGAUCCAGUUGUGUUAUUAUUGUUGAGAGAACUUGCACUAGUGAAAGUAUGAACCCUAGGCCUUGUUUCCUAGCAUUGCAAUACCGUUUAUGCUCACUUUUGCUAUUAGUUACCUUGCUGUUUUUAUAUUUUCAGAUUACAAAUACUCAUAUCUACCAUCCAUAUUGCACUUGUAUCACCAUCUCUUCGCCGAACUAGUGCACCUAUACAAUUUACCAUUUAUUGGGUGUGUUUGGGACACAAGAGACUCUUUGUUAUUUGGUUGUAGGGUUGUUUGAGAGAGACCAUCUUCAUCCUACGCCUCCCACGGAUUGAUAAACCUUAGGUCAUCCACUUUAGGGAAAUUUGCUACUGUCCUACAAACCUCUGCACUUGGAGGCCCAACAACGUCUACAAGAAGAAGGUUGUGUAGUAGACAUCAUUACGCGCUGCAAAUUAGAACUGCCAUCCGGGCGUGCCGAUAUUCCAGGCCGUCCGGCUUCCCCUUUAAUUCCUGCAGCCAUUAUAACCUUAGUCUCUUCAACCUUUCGAUCGCGCCCCACAACACAACAAGCACACCCACGACGACACAUAGAGAGGGGAUGACUAGCAGCCCUCCAAUGGAGUUUGGUGAGCAUAAAGUAGAGACCCACGCGAGGGAGACAGAUCUCUUGGUGGUGUACAUCAUUGGCCCGACCAUGGUGGACAACUUGAUCAACAUUGUUGAGCAGUUGCUUGCUCGAGACAAGUACAAGGUGGUCGGCAUCAACCUCUAGCACACCGGCGGUCGUCCCAACAUAGAUCAGAAGGUUGCCGCUGCCCAAUUGUGUGUGCGCCAUCUUGUCCUCAUCUACCACUACUGCAUGGCAUAGAGCCUUGCGACCGUUUCACCAAGUUUGUCAAUUGCACUGACUAAAAGUUCGCUAUGGUGGAAAUCACCGACGAUGUAAAAGCGCUCAGGGUUACGGGCUUGGCCUGCAAGAACCUUGUCGAAAUCCAUGAGCACUACAGGGUCUGGGCAGCACGAAGAAGGAAUCCCUGGUUGAACUCACCUCGGCCAUCAUCGACCCAUACUACAAAAAUAUGAAGCAAGAUGCCAACAGAACACGUCUCGUAUCCUGGCACAGGGCCUGGAUGAGGCAACUGGAUGAACCUCACCUCAGGUUGAUGACCAAGAACGUGUACAGAUGCUACGAGAUGCACAGGCGGAUCGUUGACAUGAGGAAGUGCCUCGUUACCGAGAUCGACGAGGCUGGAUCGAGCCACAAGAAGAGCAGUAGCGGCAAGCGUCCCAAAAAGUAGAUGAUGAUCAGAUGAUCAUUUAUCCUACUUAAUUAUGCAUGUAAUAUAUAGUUCACUUUGGUGUGUGGAAAUGUCAUGUGUGUAGUAGCCACCUAUGUAUAUAUGCAUGUAAUAGUUUACUUUGGUGUGUGCAAAUGUCAUCUGUGGAGUAGCCACCUAUGUAAUUGGAUGUUUAAUUUGAUUAUGCAACCAUGUCCUUAAAAGUGUGUGUGUGUGUGUGUGUGUGUGUAUGUAUGUUGUUGUUCUGUAUGCAAUCCCAACACACAACACACAUGCCUAGCAGCAAUCGUCUGUGUUAUUAUCGGUCUUCACACACAUUUCUGAUUACAGACCUGUUUGUCACGUAUCACACACAUCUUGUUAUAUUAAACCGUUUAUGUUAUCUUGGCUCAACGUAAAUAGUUCAUCCGAGUGAACUGUUUGCCCUCUGUCGCACACACCUUGAUCUGGUUGGCCAUUUCUUUUGUUCCGCCUAAUCACAAGCAGUUCAUCCGAGUGAACUGUAUGCUGUAUAUCACACACACAUUCAUGUGGCUGCCUGUUCUUCUGCCUCAUCGCAAACAGCUCAUUGAACUGAACUGUAUGCCCUGCAUCGCACACGCAACUAAACUCUAAACUAUGUUUGAUGCAUCUGGCAUCGCAAAUGUUUUGCAUCUUUUUUUAUGGUUCUUUUACAUCACUGUUUGUGAUUAUUGCAUCGCACACAGUUUCGUCGAAGGUUCUCUGAUCGUAGUGUCGAGUUAGCAGCAUCCUGCAGUACUGAUAUCUCUAGUCCAUACCAUGCCAUUCAUUGAACUUCCUGAAAUAUUUAUCUUCAAUGGAUAUUAGUUCAAUGAGUUAUAUGGUGUUAUGAAUUACCAAAACCACCCGGGGAUUAGUUGCACUUUCAAUCGAGAAAUUUCAUUAGUGGAGUAAUCCCAAUAGAUUUAUGCAACAUGAUAUCAUUAGAAGUGAUUGACCUAUCUGAGAACAAACUUUCCAAAGAGCUUCCCGAUUGUUAUCAUGCCUACACAUGUACCUGAGCUUUCGUUUAGUGAAUUCAUAUUGGUUUUGCUUGAAAUGGUAGUGAUGUCUAGUUGCGAAGAGUAGACACGUCUCAAGUAAAUAGUUUACCAGACGAAUAAUUCAUAUUGCAAUAGAGUGAUGGAGUUGUUGAUGGUAGGAGUGAAUUCUUCGAAACGUGGUUACAUUUGGCGAGUGGGGAAUGGACAGAAUAUCAAAUAUCUAGGAAGAUGCUUAGAUUCCUGAUAUUGUGCCACUAGGAAAGUCGUUACAUCUAGGGGGCAUAUUCUAUCUAAAGUGGUCGAUUUGAUUGAUCCUGCUUCAAAUAAUUGGGAUGAAGACCUGAUUAGACAAACUAUGUGGCCCAUUGAUGUCCAAUGGAUACUUGCAGUCCCACUGCCGCAACAUGAUAUACCAGACUUUGUUGCAUGGAGUUAUACGAAAAAUGGUAUAUUUUUGGUUCAGUCUGCUUAUUUUGUGGAAUGGGACCAUCAGCAUGGAUGUAAAUUGAGACAUUCUGAUGGAAUGGGACGAACCACAGUUAACCCUAUUUGGACUGAGGUACGAAAAUUAUCUUUCCUGACAAAAGUCAAAAAAAUUAUCUAGCGUACCCUACAUUGCACACUUUCAUGUCGUGUUACACUCACAAACAGACAUAUGAAAAUCUCGCCCACUUGUCCUACUUGCUCCAAAGGUUUAGAAGAUAUGAAGCACAUUCUACCUCUGUAAUAAAGCAAGGAGGUUUGGAGAAGGUUGGGAUGGAUGAUAUUAUUGAUAAACCCUGUGAGGUUGAUCGUGCUAGAGAGGCAGUGCUUGAAUACUUACUUCUUCUACUAGACCAAGAAUUGUGGAUUAUGAGUCAUUAGAAUGUGCAUGAAAUGAUUGUUAUAAUCUCAGCCUGGUACCUAUUGUGGGAUUGGGAAAGACGUAAAUUAGUGCACGAGAAGACAACUUAGAAUGUGUAUCAGAUCCCUAGGGGAAUAUUAGCUCUUACGGCAGACUUUGUAACUGCUUCUUCUCCAAAGGCCUCUGUGAAAAGGGGGGCUGGUUUUUCCCUCCAGUGGAUUUUUUGAAACUUAAUGUUGAUGCUUCUUUUGACCAUGACCAUCUCAAGGGCACGAUGGGGGUUAUCCUUAGAAUGACAAAGGAAAAUUUAUUGCUGGAGGAAUGGGAAGAUAGACUACUACGCGGAUGACUUGACCACUGAAGCCUUGGCUCUCGAAUUCGGACUAUCGUUGGUGCCUGGCGCAAUGAUCAGGAUGUAAUCGCCUUAUUAUUAACUCGGACAAUCUGCACGUGAUUGAUACAAUGAAGGAUUGAGGAUAGUUGGCGGGUGCAGCGGCAGCUAUUUUCGAUGAUUGUUUUCAUUAUUCUUGUGAUUUUAUUGUUACUAGGUUACAAUACCGUAACAGAGAAUCAAAUAAAAUUGCUCACGAGCUCGCUAGAUUAGCUAAAUUUUCUUUGACUUCUGAUUGGUUUGAGGAGCCCUUCAAUGAAAUUGUAACAACCCUCAUAAACAAUGUAUUGGUUAUUUCUAAUGAAUAAAUUUCUGGGUUUAUUAAAACAGUUUGUCUAAUUCACGUCUAGAUGUUUUCCAAGAAUGUCACAUCUAAGCUCCCACAAAUAGCGCAGAAACAAGGAACAAAAAAAAGCUUGAUCAAAAAAAUAGAUCACAAACAUAGUGGACAUCAGGUUAGAUGUGACAUAACUAUGUCACAUCUAGAUGUGUCCUAGACAGACCCUUACUAAAAAAAGUCCGACAAGAACAACUACCUUUUGUAAAUUUCUUCAAGUCUGAAGAUAAAACAAAUUAUAGUUGUAAGUAGUUUAUCGAUGGUAUCUGCACAAAAUAUCUAUUUCCACGUAGUAAAAAUAUAGGACAUGUAGGUAUAUACAAGCAGAUUUAGGAAUAUAAUAUUUCUUCUUGCCAAAGAAAUUUAUUUUACUAAGAUUCUCCCUUCUGACUAAAAAUGAAGGAUUUUAUUCAAAUACUCACUCAUUGGUAGCUUGGAGGCAUAGACAGUCACCAUCCCAUAAAAAGUCAUAACAUAGUAGAAACAUAUAGGAAUUGAAAGGUUGAUUUGACCAUAAUACCAUUUACGAUUGUAACUUUGGGAUGAUAACAAUCUACCUUGAUAUAGUACAUAGAAAUUUCUUGUGCUAUCUUAUAUGAAGUUAGAGACCUGGUUUCUUCGUUGACAAUAUUUGUUUCUACCUGAGACCAGAAAAUCCCUUAGCAAAAUUAUCCAUAGAUUAAUUCAAUGGUCCACAUAUUUGUAAGUAAUUGGUUAGAUCAUGUCAGAUUUCUCUUAAAUACCAUUUUUUGCUACUUAAAUACCGUAUGAAUCGAGCAGGUACCAGUCCAGCUAUCAGUAUAUAUGGUACUUUAUGCAAAAAGAAUCACCAAGAAUUGAAGUAUUGAACCCUUGAGCCAUAGACCAUUAAUGGUGGAACAUGUUAAGUUAUCUAGUACUGGAGAACAAAUUAAUGUUCUUUACAUUUAAUCCAUAACUAGAAGGGUCAGGCGCGCUUUGCUACACCGUCGCUGUUGUUGGGUUUCUUAAAAAAAUACUCACUCUGUUUCAAAUUAUAAGGUGUAUUACUCUUUUGAAAUGUCAACCAUUUGAAGUCUGAUCAAAUUUGUAGAGAAAUAUAUAAAAAAAAUAUAAUAUCAAAUUGGUAUGAUUAGAUUCAUCAUGAAAUAAUGUUUCAUACUUUUUUUGUUUAAUAUUGUGGAUGCCGAUAUUUUCUCGCUCUAAACUUGGUCGAAUUUGGAGAAAUAUGAACUUCCAAAGAACUAAUACCCCUUAUAUUUUGAAACUAAUGGAAUAUUUAGUUUGGUGGGUGGAGGAGAUGAAAAAGUGUGCUUUACUUUUAUUCAUAAUGUGGUGAUUUGAUGGGUCUUUCGUGGUGUGGUUAUGUGUUAUCCGCUAACCAACGUAUAUUUAUGAGGGGAAAUUUAUGUGUCGGAGAUUGCAUGUACUAUAUUGGUGUUACAGUAUCACAUGGUGCUGCUUUUUUCUGUAUGGAGGACGGGUGCAUGGGAUUGAUAUGUUUUUGUAGGCCGAUUGUUGCUGAUUGAUUUGAAUAAUUGUUGGCUACAUUUGAAAACCAAAUCCAAAAUUAAACACCUUAAUUGAAUGAAAAAGCUUCAAAAUUAAGGAACAUAGAAAAUUAGAAGAAUUGAAUGGAAAUAACUCUUUGAGAAUAAGACGAAUUGAAUGACCCAAUUCUAAAUUCUUAAUCAAUUGUGAGGCCUUAAAACGGUCAAGUCUCUGUGCAUCAGUGUCAUCCCUGGAUCGGUAAUGCUGACACGCACAGUACUCAAGGAAUUAUAACAGAGUUUCAAUCACACACUUAUUACAUCAAGUCCUCAUAAAGAGUAUUAUUACACAAAUAAAUCAUGGUUGAAGGCCAUCUACACUAGAUAACAGCGGAAGGCUUCGAUGGUAAAUGAGUCCAUCAACUCCAACAGCAUAGAUGAGUGAAAAACAACGACCUAUCGCACCUUAUUUGCCGUCUGAGUAGUCUGCAACAUAAGAUGUUGCAGCCCGAAACGGGUCAGCACAUGGAAUAUGCUGGCAUAGUUACACUGUAAAGCAAUGAUAAUGCAAAGACUAUAUCUACAUGCAAUAUUUGGCUGGUGGAGGCUGUAAGUUUCAUGGUUUUGCAUAAAGCUAGUUUUUCUCUACAACAAAGGCAUAAAUUUAUUUAACUACUCCCAUGUUGCCCAUUAUUUGAGAAUGUUCCUCCAACUCAAAUCCCAUUUAAAAGUAUCAUCAUUAACCCAACAACAAAAUUAAUUAGAGUAACAUAUUGAGAUCACAUCAAUAGAUUCAAGUACUAGAUACUCAAGAUGUCCAUAACCGGGGACACGGCUAACCAUGAUUAGUUUAUACACCAUGUAGAGGUUUGCGCACUUUUCCCCACAAGACUCGGCCGCAUCCAUGAUCGGAUGAUCGAGACAUAGCCUUUCUGAAGCAUUAACUCUCUACUCCGGGUAGACAGUACCACCUACAACCCUCAACAUCUGCUCGUCUACCUCUUCAAGAGCCCACGCAACUUACUCAACUAUGUCAGAGCCCAUAAUGGCUUGUGGUUGCACACAGAAGUUUCUAGCAUGAAUAAUUUUAUGAUCCCUUUGAGCCUGAGUGGCAUUCCAUAGGAUAAUCACAUGUGUACUCCGAGAUUUCCAAAACAGACAACACUGGGUACUCCAGGUGCCUCAACCAAUCCACCCAGAUUUGUAUUAAAGUUGCCACCUUAAUGUUAUCCAAUUAAAAUAACUCUCAAACUUCCAUGUGUGAAUCACGAUACAAUCCCCGUCUACAAGCAUGGCUAAGCAAUAAUAAGCAUAACAUAUAUUCCCGGGGUGAUCAAAAGGUAUUGGGUUCCUACCUCAAGCACUACAACCAAAACUACAUGUUCCCAAUCCUACCAAUGCAAGUGUUUGUGGGGCAGAACUAAUGCAUAGUAAAGCUGGGUAUAAAAGAGUAUGGUCAAAGUGUAACUUGCCUUGCUGAAGAUCUGCAAACUCUAGGGAUUCGUAGUAACAAGCUUCGCACUCCGAGUAAUCUAGCAUAGACAAACAAUAGAAUACAUAAGCAAUCACUCAAACGAAACACGAGAAAACUCAAGAAAAGAUCCAAAUCGAACAUGAAACAAGCAACAACUUAAACUAACAAGAGUCAAAACCUAACAGCAUUAUUAACAUUUGAAUUAGAUCUUAACGGAAAGUACAUGUGAUUAGCUACGAUUUGCAAAAAGAUUCAACUCAAGCGGAGCAACGAAACUCAAAAAAAUACGAACGAAACAAGAUCGUUUACUAAUCUGGACUAAAGUCAAAUUUUACAGUAUCAAAAUCAUGUUCAAGUUGAUUAACUGGAAAGUGGGCUUCGAGGCGAAGAUUUAGGCGCUGGUUUCAUCUAAGUUGGAUAAACGAGUAAAAAGUUAUACUAGUUUAAAGAUCAGGGGCUGAAUCGCGAUAAAAAUAAUCGUAGAUAAAUCCCUGCAAAAAUAAAUGAAAAGAAAAGACUAACAAACGAACGUUUGUUGUCUGAACCUAACCGGCGAACAACGUUCGUUAAAACGAACGAAUGGAAGAACGUCCGCUAAAUAAAUAAACCAACAAAAAACCGAUCUGAUAAAAUUAAACCGAAAACUAAAAAAGUCGGGGUUAACCAAAAAAACCGACCGGUCAACGGCGGCGGCUCCGGCUAGAUCCGCGGCGGCAGCGGCGUUCAGCAACGGCGNNNNNNNNNNNNNNNNNNNNNNNNNNNNNNNNNNNNNNNNNNNNNNNNNNNNNNNNNNNNNNNNNNNNNNNNNNNNNNNNNNNNNNNNNNNNNNNNNNNNNNNNNNNNNNNNNNNNNNNNNNNNNNNNNNNNNNNNNNNNNNNNNNNNNNNNNNNNNNNNNNNNNNNNNNNNNNNNNNNNNNNNNNNNNNNNNNNNNNNNNNNNNNNNNNNNNNNNNNNNNNNNNNNNNNNNNNNNNNNNNNNNNNNNNNNNNNNNNNNNNNNNNNNNNNNNNNNNNNNNNNNNNNNNNNNNNNNNNNNNNNNNNNNNNNNNNNNNNNNNNNNNNNNNNNNNNNNNNNNNNNNNNNNNNNNNNNNNNNNNNNNNNNNNNNNNNNNNNNNNNNNNNNNNNNNNNNNNNNNNNNNNNNNNNNNNNNNNNNNNNNNNNNNNNNNNNNNNNNNNNNNNNNNNNNNNNNNNNNNNNNNNNNNNNNNNNNNNNNNNNNNNNNNNNNNNNNNNNNNNNNNNNNNNNNNNNNNNNNNNNNNNNNNNNNNNNNNNNNNNNNNNNNACGAAGGAGUGGCGCGGCGGCGGCGCUGCUCAGCUGUUGUUGGUGCUGGGGCGGGGUGGGCGGGGCGGCGGCGGCUUUUAAGGAGGAGGGGGAGGGGUGCCUUGGCGGAGGGGCAAGGCGGCGGCGGCGGAGUCCGAGCCGUACUCCACCUGGAGUCUGCCGGUGGCACGACGCACGGGCGGUGGCGCGAACGGGCCUGCUGGGCCAAUGGCCCAGUUCGGUCCGGGAACAUUUUCUAUUUUUUUAAAUAUUUUCGCCCGAACAGAAAAAUCCUAAUAAAAUAUUAAAGAAAUCUAAAAAUACAAAAAAACAUUUUUCACCGUCUAAAUGAAAUAUUUAGAACAAAGUGAACAUUUUUCUGGCCUAAAAAUGCAAUUUUAAAAAAAUGCAUAUUUUUCUAAUUCAAAUAAAAUAGAAAUAAAAUACCAGAAAAAUCAUAAAUGGAUUUUAAAAUUCUUUCUCCAAUAUUUCUCUAAAUUUGAAGAAGUCAUAUUAUCUUCUCUCAUUUAUUUUUUUUAACAAUGGAAAUAUUUGGAGAGAAAAAUAAUAAAACCAAACUGAUCCUUUUCUUCAAAUUUGAGUAAACUCAAAUAUGAAUUUUGUGAAACCUCCAACUCUCUCCAUGGGUCCUUGAGUUGCUUAAGAUUUCUAUGAUCACAACCAAAAUUCAAGAAUAAAUAUGAUAUGCAUAUGAUGAUCUAUGUAUAACAUCCAAAUUAAAAAUUGGGAUGUUACAAUAGUAUAAAGAAUUGAAUGAAAGAGCUUUAAGAAAUUGUUGACCGGGUUAAAAUCGGGUUACCAAGUUGCAAUUGGAGACCUCAGUUGAAUGUGGACUCUUUAAAACUAGGGAGCAUAGUUAUAGAAGAUAUGCAAAAGAAAGAGUCAAACAAAGAGUUAAAUUAACAAGGGUGUUAAGGUUUGGUUUUAUCUAGGUGUUCAUAUUGCUAACAAUGUCAGCUCGCAUGUGAAAAAAAGAAGAGAGCAUAUAAUUACAAAUUUUGAGAUAGCAGUUACCACUGAUGCGUAUGGAUGCAUCCAUUCAUGACUGGGAAAUGAAGGGACAGUGCCAACCUAUACAUAGGAAGUGUAGGUAUGUUUGGUUCCAAAUCGUCAUUGUCUGCUAUAAUUAGUUCUGGCAUGUAACUUUGCCACUUGUAAAACUAAUUUUAAUCUUCUUCCGCCACAUAUCAAGAGAGUUGCAAAGACAUUUUUUAUGGCGACUGGUCUGCAUUGUUAUUUUUAAAUGCAUCUUUCUUUGGUCAUCAGAAACGUUGUCUCUAACUGCAGAUUUGCAUAAGGGGGCAACUUAGGGCGUGUUUGGUUGCCCGCAUUAGGCCCAGCCUGGCCCGGGCGGGAAGAAUUUGGCCCGUUUGGUUUCCUGCAUUCACUGUGCGGCCCGCAUUGCACGAAACUUAAAGCACGUCCAGGCCAGGCCUUGGGGAAACGCACGAAUCGGCAGUAGCUCACGAGUCUGGCUCAGGCGAGGCAGGGGAAGGCGACGCGCUUCUCCCCUCGUGCGAGCAGGGGAGAUGGCGCGAGCUCGCCUGCGUCGCUGAAAAAUCGGCGGGGGGAUUUCGGCUCACCUCCCGUUGCUCCACCCCUAUUUAGCCCCUCCCUCACCGCCCCAACACCUGCCACCAUUGUUCCUUCGUUCGCGCUUUCCCACCGACGCCCAUCGACACCAACGAGCAGGUAAGCGGCGCAUCUUCAUCGGUCGGCGGUCCACGGCGUCGGAGCUCCUUCACCGGCCGGCGUUCAUCUUCCACGACCGUCCACCCUCGUCCUCAAGCUGCAGCCAUGGCAUCUGUUAGUUCAAUCCCCCUUUCUCUUUGUUCCUUCUAGCUAGAUCUGAGCUACAGCUAGGGUUUGAUCUAGAUGCAUGGUUGAUUAGUGGUCUGAUCUGUGAGCUGAUAUGGUUGGUUGCUAUGCUGCGAUUGCAAUUUAUGGUAGGGCUAGACGUUCAAGCAUGUGGUAGGCUAGAUUAGUAGUAGAGUUUGAAGUUGAACCUUGUGCUUGUGUUGAAUCAUGCUUAGAUCUGUGAUUUGUAGCUAUUGGUGGUCCAUUUGUAGCAUGAUGUUUGUUGUAGAUGUAUGUUCCUGCUCAUAGAUUGUCUGGUAUGCUUAGUAUGAUAGUGAUGAAGCAUGUGCUUGCUAUGAUAGUGAUGAACCAUGUACAUGUAUGCUCCUGCUUUCAUGGGGUCCAGUAUGUUGUGUGCUAUGCUCACUGUCAAUGCGUGUUACGGUUGUAGGGCAUGACAACGCAGACACAAGAUCUUAGUCAGGCCCUUGUCGUGUCUGACAGCCAGUUUGCUCCAUCGUUUGUCGAGGACUCGCAUCCUAUGUCCGAGAUGGCACCUGAUUCAAAGGUGUUCGAGUCUGAUUCCCUCUAUGUGCCAGUAGUGCUCGUUGAGCCAACUCCUGCUGCCGCUGCAAUCAAGCUAGCAGCAGCAAAGGCAAAGAAGGAUGGUAGGCCAAACAACAUGAAGUGGCAGCCAUUCAUGUCCACGUUCGUGCUGAACAAGAUGUGUGAGCUCAUCUCUAGUGGAAUUAGUACUGACAAGGGCUUCAAGGAGGUGCACUUGAACACCGUUGUGAAGCAGGUGUUCGAGUUCUGUGGGCAAGAGGUGUCUACCACCCAGGUGUACAACCACCUGAGGAAGUGGAGAAGUCGAUGGAUCCAAGUGUCCAAGCUGAGAGACUGUAGCGGCGCCUCAUGGGAUGAGAACACUUGCUCCAUAGUUCUGGAGGCAGAGCACAAUGCCGGCCAUGUCGCGGUUAGCUCAUAGCCCUCUUCCUUUUCAUAUUGUCCACCAUUGCCUGCUCCUAAUCGCAACUAACAACACUUGUGUUUCAUUCUUAGGACCACCCAAGGGACGUUGAGUUCCUCAACACACCCAUCCAGAACUACAACCAGAUGCAGCACAUCUUCUCCUUCGGGCUCCUGUCGGUGUACUAGAAUAGGGGUACCCCAGUACCCCGAACUUCUGCACGGGCAGUUGCAGCGCCCCGCGGCAAGGGCUUGCCGGGUGACCGCCAAGAUACUCCGUGGCUCCUUUGGAGCCAUUCAAGAACAAAGUAUUCAAGUCAAGAAGACAAGGCUCCGGCAAGAGGAGCUUGCCGGGAAGGCCAACCGAGGCUUCUCGAGGAACUUGCCGCGACGCACCACGCGUCCCGGCAAGGCCCGGCUAGCGACAAGCUUCCGGGCGCGACAAGACCACGACCGCGGCAAGGCACUUGCCGUGGCAAGCGGCCACUCUGUGCCCACGCUCCAGCGCAUCCACCAACGUGUCGCCCUGGGGGCCUCUCCAGGCGCGCGUGGCGGAGGGCUGUGCAGCCAGCGGUGCGCGGAGGCAUGCGACGCUGACAAGAUCACCGUUGUGGCGAACGGUGGCGCCCCUAACGGUCCUUUUCUGCACUGUUUGGGCGACACGGACUGGCAUUUAAUGCCCUUGUCCCCUGCCGUCAGGGUUAGGUAGAGUACACUGUGCAAGUAGCUGUACCAACUACCUCUCUUUUUACGUUUUUACCCUUCUCUGCGUUGCCACCUGUCGGUGACCCCUGGUGCAUAUAAAAGGAGGCCCAUGCGCAACGUAGAGGGGGUUCGCAAGUUCAGCUGGCUCGAAUCAUUUCGAAGCUAGGAGAACACUUAGCUCUCUAAAGCAAGAACAGAAUACAAUCAGACAAGCAGCAGUAGGAGUAUUAUCUCUCCGGAGAGCUCCGAAGCUGGGUAAACUGCUCGUGUGCUUCGCCUCGAUCUGCUCUUCGUGCGACCUCCGCCCCCCGCCGAUCCGAAAGGGGCUCGGUCCGCCGGUCCCAUAGGUGUUCGUGGAUCAGUUUCCCCGACAGGCUGGCAACUGGGAAGCAUGCCAUGAGCUCGGGUGAGCCUCUUGAUUCUCCCAUGCCAGACUUCCCUGGGACACGGGACGUCGAGGUCCUUGAUGGCCCUGACAAGCCCGCUGCGAAGCCCUUCGACAAGCCAUUUGACCCCGUCCAUGAUAGGAAGAGGAAGAGUGGAGGCCUGAUGGAGGAGGAGAUCAAUGUCUUUUGCAGCACGACUGAGGCGGUGGAGGUGGCAAUAGCCAUCAGGGAGUGCAAGCCCCUCGACGUCCAACCUGACCUGUAUGGCGCUGUCAUGACCCAGGGUGGAUUCAGCGACGAGGCUCUCAUGGUAGCUCUCAGCCACCUUCUUGACAACAAGGCCCAGGGUGUUGGGUUCGUUGCCAUGCCCGACGCUCACAGGGUGAUGUGGCUCAGGAGCUGGCUGGGCAAGCACUACUACUAGAGUAGUGCUGCCUGUGAGUGUGCAUGAUCCCUGACGGCGAUGGCGGUGGCGGUGACGACGACGAUGACGAUGACGACGUACAUUUUGUGUAGCUAGGCUCAAAAACUAUUUGAUGGUCUGUAUAUUUUGGUGAGGUGGUAUAUACUAACCCCUCACGCUGAUGGUUAACUUGCGGUGAUAGGAUGACACCCUCUUUUGGAUGUGGUGGUAGGCAGUGGCGGAGCUAGCAUUUGACACCAGGGUGGUCCACCUUUAGUUAUUUUUUACAACAACUAUGACUUGCAAAUAUUUCAACUAAUUGCAAAUACCAUAGAAAUAGAUAAACACACACUAAAAUUCUCAUUCAAGUCUCAGUUUUGAAUAAAAGAAGCCUACAUAGUACAGUACAUACCUUGAGAAGUUAAUCGUGAAAAUAUCAAUUAUAUCAUCUUCAUUCACCACAGAGAAAACAUCCAACUCAAUAUAUGUGACUAUGCAAUCAUCCAAAAGAUUAUCACCCAUCUUAUUUUUCAACUUGUUCUUGACUGAACAUGGUGGUGAAAAAGUUUUGCAAUAUCUCCGGUUCUCUUCAUUCAUUAAUAAUUCUAUAAUAAGAAUUUACUUUCUAUCAAUCAUAAAUUUAUAAUGACAAAACUAAACAAAAAUAAUAUGCUUAAUUAUGUGUGUUGUUCAUCAGAUCAUGUUCAUCAGUCCAUGUAUUGUACUGUCUAGUCCGCAAUACAAAAAAUAGCAAGCAAACCCUAAAUCAAAAAUUGAAAAAUUGGGGAAUGGAUGAAUCAUACCUCAAAUCAGGUAGAACCGGGUGCUGGAAUGCGAACUGGGCGGCUGCCGCUGGCUUGCAGGCUUGCAGCGGCGCCAGGCGGAUGACUGGGACAGGGGAGGGUCGCGGCUUGGGAUGAUGGUGCGGCUGGUGCCCAGCGCCGGGCAGGCUGAGGGCGCAGCGGGGAGGUAGGAGCAGAGGAGCAUCCUGGGGGGCCGAGAGCCGGCGCCAGCGAGGCAGGCGGAAGCGGGGAUAGGCCGAUGGCGACGAGGCAGCCGGCGGCUGCGUGUCGGGAAGAGGUCUCCCGCAGUCGUGCUUGGUGUCGGGCUGCAAGCGAGAGGUGCUGGUUGUUUUGCGUCAAAGUGUUAUUGGGCCAUUUUUUUCGUUCCCAAGCCCAUCUCUAUGCGCCCGGGUAAAAAUUCCAGGGUGGUCCGCGACCCACCCUGGCCACCCUGUAGCUCCGCCCCUGGUGGUAGGUUAACACCAGGUAGUGCUAGGUUGAACUUGCUAUGUCGUAUGAUCAUGCAUGCUUUACUUCUCUUCUGCUCCAUUGUUGUUUGUGUGCUACUUGUGCUCCAUUGAUUUGCUGCUUCAACUCUUGCUCUUGUGCAUUGCUAGGGCAAGUGGUAUGUCGUGUUCAUCGGUGAGGUUCCAAGGGUUUAUAGUUCCAUGGGAAGAAGCCAAUGCACAAGUGCUAUUGUAUAGCAACAGCAACUAUAGAGGGUUCAAAACUAGGCAGGCAGCAGAACAAGCUUACUCCGCCUGGGUGCGAAAGCACGGAGGCAGCAGUGUUGACCGUGCUUGGAGCUAUCAAAGUGGAAGCUGCUAAGGUGGAUCGUCAGUUCGUCCUGAAGCCGAAGAACUUCAUCAUCUUCUCUCAGUUCGUCAGCAUUGUUGUGUAGUGGCGUUGGUGUGCUAGGUGUGAUCAUUGUGGGUAAGCUCGCCAACUAGGGUACAAGGUAAGUACAACAUGUACGCCGUAUGCAACCAAACGCCAUGUUCAUGUGCCGCUAGGGCCAAUGCAGCCAACCAAACAAAGUGCACUUGCGUAUUACCUAAUGCAGGGGCUAGGAAUGCAGGCAACCAAACAAGUUUCAUAUGGCAUAUUAGGGCCUGUUUUCCUUCCAAACUGGAACCAAAACACGCCCUUAGUUUCCACUAAACACAUGACGAAUUUGGCACACGCCAAUCUAACUAUCCAGAUACCUUAGAUACCUUAGACUUGUGAAGAACAAAUUAGCCUCAUCUGCACAUAAGCAGUGCAGAAAAUUCAAGCAGACGGAAACAACAAACUUGUGGAGAACAAAUGAGACUUUGCAUAUAACUAAGUUCGGAAAAUUCUGAGCAACAGUAACCAUAGGAGGGGGGGACUGGCAGAAACAAACAAUUAUCAUAUCACAAUGAACCUCCAACAUAGCUCGCUCACCUGUCUGCCAAAUUUCUAAUAAAAUCUUCACUACCACCCAAGUGUAGUUUCGGGUCAAGCAUAACGAGAGACGUGGUUACUCAAAGAAGCUACGAUGCCAACAAAAGAAAGCAGCAAGCAGUCAAAACAAAGGGUAGUACAACUGAUAUAAUAUAGUUCAUAUUAUCUUGUUGAUAAAUAAAGCGACAAGAGUCGGUGUUGAGGCAAUAUAGACGAGAUGGAUACAUAUUAAUAAAAAAGGUCUAGAAACAGACAAACGAAGGAUAGUCCUGAGACACCCUCCAUCAAUGCACAUGCAUUAUUUUCAGGUCAUAUACUCCAGUUCAGCUCACAUGCAAACUCCUUCCACUUGUUAAUCACCAUGGCGUCAUCUCCGGUCACUGCUCAGCUUCUUGCACGCCUUUCCCUGGCAUAUCAAAUUUAGCAUGUCUUCAGUAAUACUAGUUCGGAAGAAAAAAAAGCUGAUCCAUACCCAACUUUGAUUCACGGCCC
rnacentral:lncRNA from 1 species